rnacentral:lncRNA from 1 species
AGUUCAGCGGCUUCGGGUGAUGAUACCACGAUGGUUGGUACUUUGCCUAGCAUUAUCGACAUGAUGGGUCCAUAUUUUUUGGCGAGAUAGUGAAGACUUUGGUGUGGGAGGUUCCCUAGCAUGUGGAUGUUACCUAUGAUGGGAAGAGGGGCAGGACCGGGUGGAAGUUUCCGGCCAUUUUUGUUGCGGUUUGGUGAGCUGAAGAAGUAGAUAAAGGAACAGAGAGUUCCAAGGAGGACAAAGAGUAAGGUUAAUGUUGAAGAAGACAUUUGGGAGGGAAGCCAAUCACAAUAGCUGAUAGCCAUUGGGGAUUGAUUGAUUGAUUGAGUACUUGUAGAUGGAAGCAACCGAUGGCAGCUGCAAGUCGGGAGAAUUCGCCAAAUAUGUCGAUUUUAACAAAAACUACGGAGUUCGACUUUUUUUUUUUUUUUAAAUGUAAGGAAAUAAGUUGAUUUUGGCUCAUACAUGGGUAAAAGCUUUGCGGGCUUAAUUUGCCAGUUGAAUUACUUAGCGUGGUAAGAAAAUAUUAUUAUAAUUUUGAUUUUAAUUAAUAUUAUUUUUAAGUUUUUAAUGUUAUUAUAUUUUUUUUAUUUUUUAUGUUUAUAUAAUCAAGAAGAUCAAAUUAUUGAAAUUUAUAUACACACAAUUUAAGUGCAAGAGCACCACGUGUUAUUGAACAAUGCUUGAAAGAGGUGAGAUUCUUACACGUGUCUCAUAUGCUCAACGAGACUAAAUUGGAGUCUGCACUUGUCAGUGCUUUGCUGGAGAGAUGGAGAUCCGAAACACAUACAUUCCAUCUAUCAUGCAGUGAGUGUACGAUUACAUUUAAGGAUGUAUCAUUACAACUCGGUCUGCCAAUUGAUGAGGCUGUCAUUACAGGAGUGGUGCACAUUGGGGAUUGGAGGCCAAUUUGCCACCAGCUAUUAGGCAAGGUGUCAAACAAGUUUAGUGGUAAUCAAAUAUAUAUGAAAUGGUUAGAAGAUAAUUUCUCACAUCACAAAACUCUUCUAGUGCAGUUGAAAGACAACAAUUAACUCGGGCAUUAAUUUAUACCUUCUAAUGCCAUAUAAAUCUCAAAAUUUGAUACAUUUAAGGGGACUCUUAUAACUAAUCGACCUAAAAGAAACUGGGCAACUCAGUUGGAGAUCAAUUGUCUUGGUUACAUUGUAUCGAAAGUUGUGUUGGACAAUAGAAGCACAAAAAUUAAAAUCGUUGGUUGUAUAUUCCUUCAAUCAUGGGUAUAGUAUCGUUUACCAUUUUUACAUCCCGAGGAAACUCCCAUUAUCAAUUAUUACUCGUAAUAAGGUAACAUUCAUUUAAUAAUAUAGUUAUCAUAUUAUCUUUUUUCAUUAUUAUAUUUUUGGAAUAACAUAUUAUUUGAACAGAUAGAAAAAUAACGCGAGUCCUGUGGGUAUACCAAAUAAACUUGAAGAUAUUUGGUUAUUGUUAAAUCAAUGGUUAAUAGUCGAGGUCAGUUUUUGAAUUUUUUUUAAUUACAUAAUAAUUAUUUAAGGAUUUGAAAUUUAAUAUUAGGUGUGUAUGAAAUUUAUAAUUUCAUAUUAUAAUUUAAAUGGAUGUCAUACUCUGAUCCGAGAAUUGAAGAAUGCAUCCCGUCUAAAUUUUUGACGAAUCAUAAUAUCUUACAUGUCAAAGUGUCAUUAAUAGUUUUUGCAUUGUCUAUUUUUAAUAAAUAUAUUUGAGGUAAAGUUUUUUUUUUAUAUAUUCUAUUUGAACUUUUUUAUAUUUAAAAAAAAUAUACAUACUUUUCAUAUAUAUUUUUUAAGAACUAGGACCAAAUUAAUAGAAUAUAUAAACAUUGAUGGUUUAAUUUGUUACUAUAUCAAUUAAAAUUAUGUACAAUUGAUGGAAAAUAUUAUUUUUGAUGAUUAAUUGUCCUUAGUUGCUCACUUUUAAAAUGAACAAUGAUUAAAUAGCUUUGUUGUUUUCAGUAGGACCAAUUUGCUUAAUAUCAAAAUUGAGAGAAACUAAAAAAAAUUUACCUAAAUCUGCUCGUCUAUAUGGGAAGGCUUUCCUUCUUUUAGCUACAAUUGUAUUUAUUAAUUCAUAGAUUUGUCCGGAUAACAAAAAAGUGAUAAUCAAUUAUAAUGAGACAAUGGCUAUUAUUUGCAGAGACCACUGGAUCAAUCACAAAUGCCGACACCUAAAAUCAUAUAGUUAUUUUGGAUAAAUCUAACGUGAUGUAAAGUAUAUAUAUUUAUAAAAAAUUAUAAAUUAUAAUAUCGUAUAAUAAAAUAAUAUAUGAAUUUUAAUUGUAUUGGGUAACAUGUAUUUGUUUUCAACAUACCAUAAUUCUGGGAAGGAAAAUGUGGAUACAGGUAUAAGUUGGACAAGAAGUUAUAAGUGGUUGAACACGGUAUGAUUGCAUGAUGUGAGGGUGACAACUAACUAGUGGACAUGUCCAAGUAGAGGAUGGAUUAAACUUAAUACAGAUAGAGUUGUAUCCAGAAAUAACUCAUUUGCGGGCAUUGGGGGAGUGUUUAGAGGUGCCAACAGCAAGUGGUUAGGUGGUUUGUCGAUGAAGUUAGGAAAGGAUUCAAUUUUCAAGAUUGAGGCGAGAGCCUUACUUAAAGGCCUACUUAUAUCAUGGAGGAAAGGUUAUCGACAAUUGGAAGUGGCCAGACACGCAAAUAGACCCUUCCACAAAAACACGCGGAUCCUGAGGUUGGAGUGGGUCAGGUCGCGGGUUGGCCCCCCAAAACGACGCCGUUUUGGGCGUCUAGGGGCCUAAUGAAACGACGCCGUUUUGAUAACUCCAUUUAAGCCCAAAUUUUUUUUAAAACUUCAUUCCAGUCUUUGUUUUUUAAUAAACUCAAAAAAAAAACCUCUCAACUCUCUCUCAACUCCCCAAAAUUCGGUCAGCUUAGGUUGCCGGACCACCGUGGCGGCCGCCGGUCACCGGCGACGGCGCCGCCGCCCACAAUGGCCAAAAAACCAAAAAAGCCUAUUUUUUGGGGUUUUUUUGACUCCCCGACUUCGAAUAACGCCGAUUUUCAUCGGAAUUGGCACCUCUCUCACCAAAGGUACGUUUUCAAUCCUUUUCUUUUUAUUUAUUUUUUGUUUUUUCCUUCUAAAAAAUAAUAAGAACGAAAGAAAAAGAAGAAAAAAUAAGGAAAAAAAUCCCACUACCUUCGAAAAUCUAUUGAUUUUUUCUAUUCUCUUUCAUUCAUUCGUUCUUAUUAUUUUUUUUAGAAGGAAAAAACAAAAAAUAAAUAAAAAGAAAAUGAUAGAAAACGUACCUUUGGUGAGAGAGGUGCCGAUUCCGAUGAAAAUCGGCGUUAUUCAAAGUCGGGAAGUCGAAAAACCCAAAAAAUGGGUUUUUUCAAUUUUUCGGCCACCGUGGGCUGCAGCGACGGCGCUGGGGACCGGCGGCCGCCACGGUAGUCCGGCGACCUAAGCUGACCGAAUUAUGGGGAGUUGAGAGGAUUUUUUUUGAGUUUUUUUAAAAAACAAAGGCUGAAAUGAAGUUUUUUUUAAAAAUUGGGCUUAAAUGGAGUUAUCAAAACGACAUCAUUUCAUUAGGCCCCCAAACGCCCAAAACGGCGUCGUUUUGGGGGGCCAACCCAUCACCAAACCCGCUCCAACCUCAGGAUCCGCGUGUUUUUGUGGAAGGGUCUAUUUGCGCGUCUGGCCCUUCCGCCUUUUUUUAUUUACAAUUAAGUUUUUUUAUUUUUAUAAUUUUUCCCUAUAAUUUAUCUCGGCUUCCAUUUUAGUCCCUAAUUGAACUUGUUGGGCGGGGAUUAUUGCUCAUUUGGUCCAUCCUUGUUAUUCGCGCAUUCAACUUGGUCCUUUUCCUCUUUAUUUAUUUCUAAUUUUCCCCAAAUUUAUGUUUUAAGUUCGAUUUGGCCCUUUUUUGUUAUUUUGCUAUUUUACUAUUAAAUUAAUUAAUUUAAUAUUAUUAUCACUAUUAUUAUUUUUCUUUUUCUUUUUUACCUAAAUAUUUCAAAUACAUUUAUUUUAUUUUUAUCCCAUAUUUAUUUAUAUUCUAUUUUAUAAUUUUAAAACUUUAGAUCAUUAUUAUUAUUACUAUUAAUCAUCAUUAAUUUUAAUAUUUUUUUAAAAAAAAUUGUUUAUACAAUAUUUAUUUAUUUAUUUAAUAUUAGGUCUUUAACUUCAAAUUUAGUUUAUUAUUUCAUCAUUUGUCUUUUUAUUUUUAUUUAUUAUUAUCAUUUUGGCUUGUUUAUCGUAUUUUAUUUUCAUUCUUUAUAUUGGCGUUCACAUUCUACUAUGCAUAUCAACACUGUAAUUCAUUUCAUAUUUCACUACCAAUUCGUGAUAUUUCAAUCCUUCUCCGAUAUACAAACUUCAUUUUUAAUAAUACGCAAUAUUUCGUAUUUUGGAAUUCGAAAAGGUUGUUCCCUAACUUACGGGAUUUUGGUUUUUUCCGAUGAAUCCGAAUAUACGAAUCAUUUUUCAAAAACACAUUUUUUAAAUUAUCUCAGGAAUUAAUAAGACUGUGUUCUAACUUAUGGAAUAUGGUCUUUUCUAAAACCUAAAUAAUAAAAUAUCUUUCAAAUAAGUAAAUUUUUUCGACAUUUAUUCUCGUAUCGGGAAUUUAAGACAUUGUGUCCUAACUUACUGGACGUAAUUCUCUUUCUCGAUUAAAAGUGAAAUGUGCCCCCUUUUUUUGAAAUUUUUUAAUAUUUUAACAAAAGAUCGUAUUUUAAAUUCUUUUUGAGUUUUCAACUUUCGACAUUAAGACACUAAUUAAUCAACUAGGUACUAAUUUUUGGGCGUUACAAGGGUGCUAAUCAUUCAUCGUACGUAACCAACUCCCGAACCCAUCUUUCUGAAUUCCGUGGACCAAAAUUGUUGUUUUAAUAAAUCAAAUUUGUAAGAGCCCAUUUUUGCCCGGGCCCAAAAUAGAGACCCAAAAUCCAAAAUAAAACAGUCCAUUACAGUAGUGGCCCAAACCCAAAAUAAAAAUAAAACCCAAAAUAUAUAUAUAAUAGUCCAAAAUUAUAGUCUAAUGGGCCCGAACAGCCCAAACCAAAAAUCUAGGCCCGAUUGACCCACCCCUCAAACAUUUCAAAAAAAAACCCUAGCAGCCCCUACUGCCCAUGUGCGCUGCUCAGCCUCCUCGCACGCCCCCUGGCCAUCGUUGUUGCUUGCCUAUCGCCUCAUCCGCAUGCUCUGACACCUCUCUGCCAUCACCUGCAAAAGCAGACAACAAGCAAACAAACAAAUCACAAGCAAACAAAAUAGAGGAAAAUAGUUUUGUAUUUCGGCUAUAAAGCCAAAAUCAGAUGCCUGUAUUUUUUUUCCUUUUUUUACACACAUCAGUUAAUCAAAAACAGAACAAAGAUUUGAAAAGGUUGCAAAAUCUUAUCGUUUUUUAUUUCGUUUCUCUGUUUCCUUUUUUUAUUUUAUUUAUCCAUUCGUUCAUUUCUUUUACAAAUCAGUUUCAACAAAUAAUAGGGAAUAGAAAAAGGAAAAAGGAAGGAAAACUUGCCUGAAAAGCCCAUCGGUCGCGUCGUCGGAGGUCUCACCGUCGCCGAAAUCAGCCUUAAAAGGUGGGUUUGGGGGGUCUUUUCUCUCGGCCUUCGGGCUAAAGAAGUUUGGCCUUCGAAGGGAUUUGAAACAGAGGCAUGAAAAUCGCCCUUUGCGCAACGCCGGCCACGGCGGCGCUGCGGCGGUGGCCAUGGCCGAAACUCUAUGGCCGGAUGUGGGGGGAGAGUAUUUGAGAGAGUGCUGCAUUUUUUUUCCUUUGGAAAUGAAAGAGAAAGAAUUUUUUUUAAAAAAAAUGGAUUAUAUAAGUGCACGAAAUGACGUCGUUUUGCGCCAACGCACAUCGUCGUUGAAAAGACGCCGUUUGGCCUAGGGACCCGAAGACCCGACCCGCAUUCAUGGGAUCCACGUGUUUUCUGAUGUGAGGGGAUAUUUGUGCAAUAGGCCCCUCCUGCUUUGCGGCGUGUUCAAUGCGAUCCUUUUUAUUUUUAUUUUUGAUUUUGGCCACAAAGUUUGCUUCCGAUUCAAUCUGGUCCUUCAACCAUGUGCAGAUGCUACCCCCUAGAGCGACACCGUUUAAAGGACGAGGAAUAUUUCCGUUUUGGUCCUCAGCCUUCGCGCACCUUUGAUUUUGGUCCUAUUCGUUUAUUUUAUUACAGUUUUUACUUUAAAUUCUAUUUUUGUCCCAAUUUAAUCCCUAAUAUGUUUUAUUUUAACCUUAAUCGUUUUUCUUCAUAUUAUCAUUUUUAACAAUUUUCAUUUUUUAUAUAUCUUUUUUAUUUAUUCAUUUUUUAAUUUUAUAAACAUUAUUUAUAAUAAACCGUACUAUAUCAUUUUAGAUAUUAUGUGUUUUAAAUUAUUCCAUAUAUUAUUUAUGUUGAAUUGCUAUAUAUGUUAUGUUAUCUUAAACGUUUCAUAGAUGUGUAUUAUUUCGUUUACUCAUAUUUCCAUGCUAUGGUAAUCCAUUCGUAUAUCAUGUUGUUCGAAAAUCAUUUCACCAUAUUAUAAAUUGUCACCCCCAUCAACGCAACCCUUUUGUUCACGCAUUAUUUCAAACAUUACAUUUUUACCCAAACAUGCAAAAAUGAAAAUUUCAAAUAAGGCAAUAUUUUGUGUAUUGGCGAUUCUAGAAAAUUGUACCCUAACUUACGGGGUUUCGAUUUUCCUCGAUAAAUCUAAAUACAUGAAUCUUUUCAAACAAAAGUUUUUAAAUGUUCUCGAUAAUUAAAGAUCGUGUUUUAACUUACGGAAUAUGAUCUUUUCUAAAAUCGAGAUAAUUGAAUGUCUUUCAAAUAAGUAAAUUUUUCGGCAUGUAUUCUUGUAUCAGGAAUUCGAUACGUUGUGUCCUAACGCAUUGGAUAUGACAUGUUGUUUUCUCGAUAUGAGGAUUUUUCUAAAAAUAAUAAAGGCAAUAUUUUGCAUUUGGAAAUUCGAGAAAGCGUGCCCUAACGUGCUGGGUUUCGAUUUCUCGUUUGACCAAAUAGCCAAAUAUCCUCUUAAAACUUCAAAGUAUGGGUUUUUGAAACCAUAUGGUGAUCUUGGUUUCGAUGGUUUAAAGUAUUAUGUCCUAACGUGCUGGAUGUGAUAUUCCUUCAGAACAAGAGAAUCUUAAAUUUCAAUCCAUGUUAUUCGAGUUUUUUUUAAGGAUCGUAUUUUUAAAACUCUUCAAAGUUUUCAACCUUUGGCACUAAGACACUAAUUAAUCAACUAGGUACCAAUUUUGGGGGCAUCAAUGGUGCUAAUCCUUUCUCGUGUGUAACCGACUCCCGAACCCGUUUUCUGAUUUUCGUGGACCAAAAUCGAUGUUUUGAUAAAACCAAAUUGUUUAUUAAAAUAACCAUUUUUUGAGGUGGUCCGAUCACACUACAUCAAAAAAUAUUGGUGGCGACUUUCAUUUUCGUCGACCUCGUUUUAUCAAAAAAUGGUGUCAACAGCUUGGCGACUCCACUGGGAAACUUAAAAAGAGAGUCAAGCCACGUGUUGAUUACUUUUUGUCUUUUUAUCAAAAAUUAAAAACUUGGUUUAAGUGUACGAUCCUUUCAUUGCAUUACAUUCGUCUUUAUUUCGGUAUUUAUCAUUGUGGUUUAUAACUACUGUGUUAAUUCAAGUUUGGAUAUAUUUCUGCGCAUUACAUUGCAUGAUCGGUAGAUCUUACCCUUCUAAGUGGGAGUGAGAAACUACGCCUUCGUGAGGUUUUCACCUCCGCAUGGGAUAGUGAAUCGCUUUCGGGAUACAUCCGUACCUAUGUCUUCGUGAGGUUUUCAUCUCCGCAUGGCCAUAGGGAAAUGUAUUCUCCUGAACUAAACUCUAUCCAUAUGAGCCUAUAAUGGGUGAGGAUCGAGGAAUCUGCCUGUUCGGGUACCUUUACUUUAGAACCAAACCGUAUAUAGUGAGCCCUAAGAACCUAUCCUAGGUAGAACCAUGCCAAAACCUUAGUGGUCACCCGAUUAGGUGCUCUAUUUGUUUCUUUCUUACUUACUUUUGCUUUGUAAUAACCCGUUUUGUUUUGUUUCGGUUAUGAUUACAUUGCAUUUUUCAUUAAAUAGAAAAGAGGUGUUGAUUCACGUUCAAGUAUCUAAAUAGAGAGCUUGUCAUAAGAAAAUGAGUUUCUUGAUAAAAUGAAAGACAAUGCGGUCGUCCGAAUAUGGUCCGAGAAAACGUAACGAGGGAAGGGUGAUAGUCUGGUGAAUGAGUACACGACUUGCCUCGUUUCCCGAAGACUCAAGCUGACGAAGACUAUUUAAGAGCCGUUAGCGUCAACUUUCUUAAAGAAGCCAAUGAGCAUCACGAGAAUGAGUGAACAAUGAGUCGUAGCUCAGAUCAAGUAAAAAGGAGAUAGAGGAGGUACCCUUUUAAAGAGUUUUCGAGAUUCAAUCUUAACAUAUGGUUUGAAGAAAGGGGUCGAUGUCUUCGUCUAGAAAAUUAGGGCAAGGCCGUAUAUGUAAAUUUUCGUUUUAUGUAAAGAGAUUUAUUUUCUAGUAAAGUUGUUCUAAUAGAAUUGAAUUAGAAUCAACGUCUCUUUUUGCAUUCAUGCAUCAACAUUACAUUUCAUUGCAAUAAAUAAAUUUCCUAAAAUCCAAAAGUGCAUAGAGUUCAGAACUCUAGUAUAGAGCCAUAUGGAUGAUAAAGAAUUGGAUUUCUUUGAAUAUAUCGAUGGUUCGAAAGGUAAAGAUGUUUGUGCCUUUGAAGAAGAAACUAAAAAACUAUCAGGAAUUUGUUUCUACAUCCCUAGAGGUGUUCUAAACAACUGGACUGUGGAGUAAAUUCUUGUAGUUUUUAGGACCAUUUUAGAGUAAUAUUCAGAACACUCUUAUUGCUCUAAGCCUAGGAGCAAUAGAAAAUCUUUUUGUGAAAAAGGCACAUGUCCACUAUUUUUUAUUUCAACGAAAUGCAUCUUUGUGUCCUGUUUUGGCAAACAUUCUUUUGUUUUUUCCAUUUUAUUCAUACUCAUACCACACAAAUAAUUCCCCUUUGAUUCAUUUGUUCUUUGAGUCUUCUUUCGUUCCUUUAAUAGGUCUCUAGAUAUCAAUGAUAUGAGUGACACUGCUAUUGACUCAGAACCUUCUUUUGAGCAAGAUAUGUAUCCAGAGGAACCUCAGGACUUUGAAGAUGACCGAGACUAUAGCUUAUCUCUUGAUUGCUAAGGAUGAGAGAACAAGUCGAGAAACAAAUCCUACUUUACAAAGAAUCAGUAAAAAUUGUGAGCUUAGAAGAAGAGAAAGAGGUGAAGAUCGGAGCAUGUAUCACCGCAGAGACAAAGCAAGACGUCAUGUAUUCGUUUGAUCGUAUCAAGAUAUGACUGAGCUACUAAGACUUGUAGACACUGUUGAGGCUAAAAAAAAGUGUUUGAGGAACACAUGCUAAUGGUUUUGCAAUGGCCAAGCAACUUAUGAGAUACUAUUGGUCCACCAUGGAAGGAGAUUGCAUCAGUUAUACCAAGCAAUGCAUAAGUGCCAAAUUUAUAGAGAAAAGAUUCAUGUGCCUCAUUCAUCUCUUCUUGUUAUAACUUUUCGAUGGGCUUUCUCUAUGAGGGCCAUGAUGUCAUUGGGCUGACCUCGCCAAAAGCUUUUAGCAGUCAUCGAUUUAUCUUUGUGGUCGUCGAUUACUUAAUCAAGUGGGUAGAGGUUGUUUCAUAUGCCAAUAUCACAAAGUUAACAGUCAUCAAAUUUUUGAAAAAAGAAAUCAUAUGUCGGUAUGAAAUGCCAAAAAAGGAUCAUAUCUGACAAUGCACUGAAUUUGAACAACGGCAUAGUAUCAAAAGUUUGUAUUCUGUUCAAGAUUAAAUGAGUUAUCGCCCCAAAGUAAACGAUGCAGUGGAGGCAAAAAAAAGAAAAGAAAAAAUCCCUUUACUGGGGCAACUCAUUUCUUAUUGGUAUAUGAAACAGAGGUAGUUUUACCCAUUGAAGUUGAUAUUCCUUCCCUUCGAGUCUUGUUAGAGCUGAAGUUGGAUGAAGCUGAAUAGAUCCAAUCCCGAUAUAAUCAGAUAAAUUUGAUUGAUAAGAAAAGGUUGACAGCUAUCUGUCAUGGUAAAACGUACCAAAAGCGAAUGAUACGAGCUCACCAAAUAAGGUUCGCCCUAGAGAAUUCCAUGAGGGGGACCUGAUAUCGAAGAAGAUCCUUCCCAUACAAAAUAACUUCUAAAGAAAGUGGAUGCCAAACUAGAAAGGACCUUAUGUGGAAGGUCUUAUCUGAAAAAGCGUCGAUAUUGACCAAGAUGGACGGCAAGAACCUGCCUAGUCCUGUGAAUUCUGAUUCAAGCAAUAAAUACUUCACUUGAAAAAGAAACGAAAAAAAUAAAAGAAAAAAAAAUAAAAAUAAAAAUAAAAAAUAGAGGCCAAGGCAAAAACCCGCAAAGGGCGCUUGAGAUCAAAGGGGUUUUGAAUUGAAAGCCCAGAAAAGGGCAAUUCAAAAUUUUUAUCAAAGGUGGGGCAUGUGGUAAUCUUGUCAUCUCUGAAUUAGCAAGAAGAGGAGAUGCUACAUCUUGGGGCAUUAACAAAGUCUUCUAGGACCUCUAAACACAUAUCAAGUUCAAAAGGGUCCUCAAGAAGUUUGUGCAGAGAAGCUCAUGCUGCGAUAUCUAGGGCACCUGUUUGCAUCUCAAUUUGUCUAAAGCAAACACAACAGCUAAUAAUUUUUUCUCAGUGGUUGUGUAAUUGCUUUGGGCAUCAUCCAAAGUCUUCGAAGCAUAAUAGAUAACAUGAGGCUCUUUCCCUAUUCUUUGGCCAAGAAUAGCUCCCACACUUUGGUCACUUGCAUCACACUUGAUUUCGAAUGAGAAGUUCUAAUUUGGUGGUUGCACUAUGGGAGCGGAAACCAAUUUCAGCAAGUCAAAUGCGUCUUUACAAGUUUGGUCAAAUUCAAAUUCUUUAUCCUUUUGUAUUAGAUUGCAAAUCGGUUGCACGAUCUUCGAAAAGUCUUUUAUGAAUCGUCUAUAAAAUCCUGCAUGGCCAAGAAACGAACGUACUCCCCUCACAGAUGUAGGGUAAGGUAAUGAGUCAAUAAUAUCCGUUUUUGCUUUAUCGACCUCAAUACCUUCUGAGGAAACUAUAUGACCCAAAAUUAAUCCUUUGUCAACCAUGAAGUGGCAUUUUUCAUAAUUUAAAACAAGAUUAAAUUCUAGGCAUCUUUGUAAUAUCUUAGCAAGAUUAUAGAGACAUUCGUUAAAAGAGUUACCGUACACCGUGAAGUCAUCCAUGAAGACUUCAAUGAUUUUCUUGACAUAAUCGAAGAAUAUACUUACCAUACAUCUCUGGAAAGUGGCCAGAGCAUUACAGAGUCCAAACGGCAUUCAUCUAUACGUAAACGUUCCAAAGGGGCACGUGAAAGUUGUUUUGUUUUGAUCCUCUAGAGCCACCAGAAUUUGGAAAAAUCCUGCGUACCCAUCGAGACAACAAUAAUGGGUCUUACCAACUAAUCGCUCAAGCAUUUGAUCGAUGAAGGGAAGUGGAAAAUGGUUUUUCUGAGUAGCUGCAUUCAACUUCCUGUAAUCGAUGCAAACCCUCCAUGCAUUCUGGACUCGGGUAGGGACUAGCUCUCCUGAUGAGUUUUUCACCACUGCCACGCCAGUUUUCUUGGGCACGACAUGAACCGGGCUAACCCAAACACUAUCGGAGAUCGAGUAUAUCAUUCCAGUAUCCAACAAUUUCUGAAUCUCCUUAUUUACUUCCUCUAUCAUGGGUGGAUUAAGGCACCUUUGAGCAUCUCUCUUUGGUUUCGUGUUAUCUUCGAUGGAAAUUUUGUGCAUACAAGUGGAUGGACUUAACCCUUUUAUGUCUGCUAUUGUCCAACCAAUAGCUUCCUUAUAAUUCCUCAGAACUCGAACUAGACUUUCCUCCUUGUCUUUGAUUAGUUUGUUUAACACUAUCACUGGUAAAGUGUCUUUCUCUCCCAAAAAGACGUACUUGAGGUGGUCCGGUAAUGCUUUAAGCUCCAAGGUUGGUGGCUGCAAAACCGAAGGCAACAUUUUAGUUUGGAAAGGUAAUAGUUCAAAUUGGUUACCUCGAUUCAUCAACGAUGGUUGCGUCUCCAAGUGUUUGACAAUUUCUCACAACGGAUCUCCUAUAAUUGAUAAUUCCUUGAGACGACUUAAAACAUCCAUGUCAAUGCUUCUGUAAAGGACAGUUUCCAACUCAUCAUGGUCAUGAUAUUCAAAAUAAGAUUAAGUUAAACAAUCUAUAAUAUUGAUACUAGAAAUACUUAAUAGUGAGUUAGGAUGACCCAUAGCUUUGUAGACAUUGAAUUUCACGAUCUCACCGUCAAACUCCAUUGUCAGUGUUCCGCACCGAACGUCAAUUUUUGUGCUUGCGGUACUUAGGAACGGUUUUCCAAGCAAAAUGUCAGAUGAAUUAGUUGAGUUAUCGUCCUCCAUAUUAAUAAUGUAGAAAUCUGAAGGGAAAACUAAUUCAUUAACUUUAACAAUGACGUCUUCAAGCAACCCUUUGGGAAAGACGACUGACCUGUUCGCCAACUGAAUUAUUACUCCUGUCUCUUUUAAAAGACCCGUGUUAAUCAACUUAUAAAUAGGAUAAGGCAUAAUAUUAAUGGAAGCCCCUAAAUCACACAUGGAUUUCUUAAUGCCUACAUUACCUAUCUCACAGGAAAUAGCAAACAUACAUUGGUCAUUGUAUUUGGGCGGAACUUUCUUUUGCAGUAUGGCGGAGACAUUUUCUCCUACAUUUACUCUUUCGUUACCUAUUAACCUCUUCUUUAUAGUACACAAUUCCUUGAGGAAAUUUUCAAAACGAGGGAUUUGUUUGAUAGCAUCAAGCAAAGUGAUAUUUACCUCCACCUUCCUGAAUGUUUCGAGGAUUUUUUUCCUCCUUAUCUUUUUUAUCCCUUGCGAGCCUCUCUGGAAAAAGGAGGUGGCAUCACAACUAGUCUCUGAAUUUUUGAUUUCGGUCUGGCUUUUGGAUCAGAGAUCUAUUUUUCCCGUUCAUUGUCUUACCCAUGACUUUAGUCUGGAACUGUUUCCAGAACCUUUCCGCUACGAAGAGCUAUUGCACUUGUAUUCUGCCAAGGAUUCGGCUCUAUCUGGGAAGGUAAUUUACCUUGAGAUUCUAAAUAAUUAACCACCAUCGAGAGUUUACUAACUUGAUUAGUUAACUCUUGUAUUGAUGCAUCUGUCCUCUGUUAGUAUUUUACAGCAUCGACGGUAAGUCUCUCCAUAAUAGCUUCUAGAGAUAUGCUCGGCUUGGGUUGUUGUUGUGGCGGUGGCGGAGGUCUUGGUUGGUAUGAUAGAUUGUACCGGUGAUUAGCUCCAUAAUUCAAGUUUGGAUGAUCCUUCCAUCCGGGAUUGUAGGUGUUAGAGAAAGGAUCAUAGCGUCUUUGCGAAGGUCUUGAAAAACCUCCGACAGCAUCAACAUGUGCCAUUGAAUUAUCGUUAAGGAUUGGGCAUAAAUUCGUUAGAUGUUCAUAUUCCACACAGUUGGGUCAGAUUCUUCUUUUUUUGUAAGUAUAGAUUGAACAAUAUUAGUAAGCUUAUCCAAUUUAUCUUCUAAGGAUGAAACGUUUACCUCAUUAACCCGUCUUGUGGGUUCUGGAUUUGGCCGAUACUGUUGAGAAUUUACCGUCAUGGUGGAUAUCAGUUCUCUUGCCCUUUGAGGAGUCAUAUUUACAAGUGCCCCUCCACUAGUAGUGUCAAUCAUCUUCAUUUCCAUAGGAAGCAAACCCUCGUAGAAAUACUGAAGAAAUGAUUGUUCGGUCAAACUAUGUUGAGGACAACUUGCACAUAGUUUUUUGUACUGCUCCCAAUAGUCGUAGAGCGAUUCACUCUCCAUUUGGCGAAUUCCUACUAUGUCUCUCCUAAGUUCAGCUGCUCACGAUUCUAGAAAGAAUCUGUCAAGAAAUACACGAGAUAAGUCAUCCCAUGUUGUAAUAGAACCGAGGGUAAGUAAAAUAACCAUUCUCUUGUUGUAUCAACUAAAGAAAAUCGAAAGGCCCGAAGUUUAAUUUCAUCUUCAGUUACUCCCUGAGAUUUCAUGCUUGAGCAGACCAUGUGGAAUUCUCUCAAGUGAGUUUGUGGAUUUUCGUUAUUCAAGCCUCGAAAAGUGGGCAAAAGGUGAAUUAGGCCUGAUUUCAACUCAAAUGGGGUUUCUCCGGUUGGAUAGUUGAUGCAUAACGGUGUUUGCUCGUUGGGAGCAGCGACUAGUUGAUGAAUGGUUUGGUUUGCCAUCCUUUCUGGUUCACCGAGGUUAUCUUCUGCUUCUUUCGUUUCAGGAAGUGGUUUGGCCUCAGGUUUAACCACUUCGACUUACUUCCCACGUUGAAUUGCCUCUGCACGAAUUGCUUGACUCAACUUUUCGACUUCAGAUUCUAGGAUCCCUUGUCCUAGCUGAACUUCUACUUUACUUGCACGUUUAAGAGCUUCUGUCUCUUUUCAUCGUGCUCGUGCUAAUUUCUCGAUCUUUGGGUCGUAUUCGAGAUCUUCGGAUGAAGAUCAGGUCCUGAAAAUGAUUUAAACAAUUGUAAGUGUUGCCAGUCCCCGACAACGGUGCCAAAACUAAUGGCUGUCGAUUCCACCAAUAUAAACCUACGCCUAAUUUACAAUUUAAGCAGUAUAGGGAGUAGGGUCGAUCAUUCAGAAACUGGGUUUACUAAAAAUUGUUUCUCUUUCUCGACUAGAUUUUUGUCUGGGCAGUUGUCGUGCCCAAGAAAUUUGGAGGAAGGAUAAAAUUGAAAACCUGGAACCUGAAAUAAACAAGAAAAAAUGCGUGAAAAGUAAAAGCUGAAAAUAAAAUAAUAAAAAUAGUUAAAUAAAUCUGAAGAAAAAUUAAUUAAACUAAGCUCAGCUUUAGGCAUGGGUUUUUCCUCGUCUUUAAACUGAUCCUCGAAAUAAGAUGAACUCCUCUUUUCUAAUAAGCUAGUUAUAACUACCAAGGACACCUCGGACACCAACCCUUCAUUGUGUAAAUUAGUUAUGGAACGUCCAAUAACUAACCCUUACCAAUCGAACAACCAACGAAACGUUCGUGAUUUAGAACUCUGGCAGCUUGGCGUCCUAGAAGAGCCUAGCUCAAACCAAUGCCCUCAACCGCGUGGGACAUUUAAAUCCGAUUAAUACUUCCCUUGACGGAACCAAACAGCAAUCUCCACUUCACACGCCAAUGUGUUCACAGAAAACCGAUUAAACAAUCCAUCCUUUCGGAAUUCGAACUGUACGUCUAACCACACUAACUCAAACGACGUCUUUUUUGACUUAGUGUUGAUUUGACAUUGUCAGUUGACGAAAUCAUACUCUUAAUCCGAAGAAACAACAAGUACUAGAUUUUAGAAGUUAAUUUGCUUAGGUUCGUAACUCACGGAUCUUGACAAGGCUAACUCCGACCUAAAGCUGAAAAUGGAUUUAGUUGACUAAGGUUUGGGACAUGUUGGUAUUGGUCAUAAAUUAAAUAAGGUAAAAAUGGGUAAAAAGAAUGGGUGGCGUGAUUAAGUAUGAGGGCUGGAAUUUUGGUAAUGUAUUAGAGUGGGAUGGUUUGACUACUGGAAAUGAAAAGGAAGUUUGAAAAAGAAAUUGUAAAUGGUUUAAGUUGGUUACAAACUAGAAAUCAAUAAAUAAAAAGAAAAAAAACAGAAACAACGAAUAGCUUCGUGAGAAUGAAGAAGAGAUUGCAUUCAAAGAGGAAAGCUUGAUUUAUGACUUGAUGAAUAAAUGAACAAUGUAGCCCCCUAUUUAUACUAGUGGCUUUGCUAAAUUAAGAGCCACUAGCCAGAGAAAAUCAAGGAAAUAAAAUAUUCCAUGAUAUAAACAAUCCCUACAAAAUCUCCCACUAAGUCAACAAAAAUUUCAGCUAAUUAUAUUGAUUAAAUACUAAAGUUACAUAUUUUAUGUAAUUAAUUUGGUUAAUUUAUGAAAGUGCACCACUAAUUUUGCCAUAUUUAUUAAAUUUUGUGCAGGAAUGCAAUUUGGGGCUAAAUAGAAGAAAAAGGAAACAAUUGGGCUAGAUUGAAGAAAGAAGCAAAGAAGGAGAGCCAAAGAAGAAUUUUUCCAAAAUUAAUUAGCUGAAAUUUUUGAGUUAGUGGGAGAAUAUUUUGGGAUUUAUUUUAUUAUGGGAUAUUUUUCCUUAAUUUCCUAUGACUAGUUGCCUCCUAAUUUAGUAAAUCCUCUAGUAUAAAUAGAGCUUGUAUUGUUCAUCAUUUCAUCAAUCAAAAAAAUAUUAAGCUCUUGUCUUUCAAUACAUUCUCUCUUUUCUCACGUAGCAUUGUUGUUUCUUUAGUUUCCUUUCUUUCAAUUUUUUCCAGUAGCUAAUCACCAAAUCAAGCCAUUUGCAAUUUCUUUUUUUUUCAAUUCUUUUCCAAAUAGUAAACCACCCCACUUUAAUAUAUUCCAACCCCCAUACUCAAUCACAUCACCCAUCUUUUCACCCAUUUACCUUAAUUAAUUUAUCAAAUACCAACAUGUCCCAAACCUUAGCCAACUAAACCCAUUUUUAGCUUUAGGCCGAAAUUAGCCUCGUCAAAACCCGUGAGUUACGAACCCGAGCCAUUUAACUCCUAAAAUUCCAGUACUUAUUACUUCUCCGGAUUAAGAGUGUGAUUUUGUCAGCUCAUAAAGUCAGAUAAACACUAAGUCAAAAAAGACGUCGUUUUAUUUAGUGUGGUUAGACGUACAGUUGGAAUUCCGAAAGGAACGUUUCCAAUCAGUUUUCUGUGAACACAUUGGUGUGCCAAGUGGAGAUUGCUGUUUGGUUCCGUCAAGGGAAGUAGUAACCGGAUUUAAAUGUCCCACGCGGUUGAGCACAUUGGUUCGAGCUAGGCUCUUCUAGAACGCAAAGUUGCCGGAGUUCUAAAUCACGAACGUUUCGUGGUUGUUCGAUCGGUAAGGAUUAGUUAUUGGACGUUCUAUAACUAAUUUACACAAGGAAGAGUUGGUGUCCGAGGCGUCCUUGGUAGCUAUAACUAGCUUAUUAGAAAAGAGGAGUUCAUCCAAUUUCGAGGAUCGGUUCAAAGACGAGGAAAAUUCGUGUCUAAAGCUGAGCUCAUUCUAAUUAAUUUUUCUUAAUAUUUAUUUCACGGUUUUUAUUAUUCUGUUUUCAACCUUUACUUUUGACGUUAUUUUUCUGUUAAUUUCAGGUUUUCAAACUUUUAUCCCCCCGAACUUCUUAGGCACGACAGCUACCCCGACAUAAAUCUGGUCAAGCGAGCAACAAUUUACAGUAAACCAGUCUCUGAGGGAUCGACCCUACUCCCUAUACUGCAUAAUUUGCAAAUUAAGGCGUAGGUUUAUAUUGGUGGAUUCGACACCCAUCAGUUUUGGCACCGUUGCCGGGGGACUGGCAAUACUUAUAAUUGUUUAAAUUAUCUUCAUGACCAGAUCUUCAUCCGGAGAUCUCGAAUACGACCCAGAGAUCGAAAAAUCAGCACGAGCACGACGAAAAGAGACAGACGCUCUUAAAGAUGCAAGUAAAGAAGAAGUUGAGCUAGGACAAUGGCUCUUAGAAACCGACAUUGAAAAGUUGAGACUAGCAAUUCGAGUAGAGGCAAUUCGACGUGGAAAACAAGUCGAAGUGGUUGAUCCUAAAACCGAACCACUUCCUGCAACAAAAGAAGUAGAAGACAACCUCGGUGAACGAGAAAGGAUGGCGAACCGAACCAUUCGUCAACUAGCCGCUGCUCCCAACGAGCAAACACCGUUAUGCAUCAACUAUCCAAUCGGAGAAACCCCAUUCGAGUUGAAGUCAGGCCUGAUCCACCUUUUGCCCACUUUUCGAGGCUUGAAGAAUGAGAAUCCACAUACCCACUUGAGAGAAUUCCAUAUGGUCUGCUCAAGCAUGAAACCACAGGGAGUAACCGAAGAUGAAAUUAAACUUCGGGCCUUUCCUUUUUCUUUAGUUGAUACAGCAAAAGAAUGGUUAUUUUACUUACCUCCAGGUUCUAUUUCAACGUGGGAUGACUUAUCUCGUGUAUUUCUUGAUAGAUUCUUUCCAGCAUCACGAGCAGCUGAACUUAGGAGAGACAUAGUGGGAAUUCGCCAAAUGGAGAGUGAAUUGCUCUACGACUAUUGGGAGCGGUACAAAAAACUGUGUGCAAGUUGUCCUCAACACGGUUUGACCAAACAAUCACUUCUUCAAUAUUUUUACGAGGGUUUGCUCCCUAUGGAAAUGAAAAUGAUUGACGCAGCUAGUGGUGGGGCGCUCGUCAAUAUGACUCCUCAAAGGGCAAGAGAACUGAUAUCCACUAUGGCGGCAAAUUCUCAACAGUAUCGGCCAAAUUCAAAACCCACAAGACAGGUUAAUGGGGUAAACAUUUCAUCCUUAGAAGAUAAAUUGGAUAAGGUCACUAAUGUUGUUCAAUCUAUGCUUACAGAAAAGAAGAAUCGGACCCAACUGUGUGGGAUAUGUACUACGUCUGAACAUUCGACGGAUUUGUGCCUAAUCCUUAACGAAUAUUUAACGGCACAUGUCGACGCUGUCAGAGGUUUUCCAGGACCUCCACAAAAACGCUAUGAUCCUUUCUCCAACACCUACAAUCCCGGGUGGAAAGAUCAUCCCAACUUGAAUUACGGAGCUAAUCCCUGAUAUAAUCCGUCAUACCAACCGAGACCUUUGCAACCACCGCAACUGCCACUCAAGCCGAGCACAUCUCUAGAAGCUAUUGUGGAAAGACUUGCCGUCGAUGCUGUGAAAUAUCAACAGAGGAUAGAUGAAUCAAUUCAGGAGUUAACUAAUCAAGUUAGUAAACUCUCGAUGGCAGUUAAUCGUUUGGAAUCUCAAGGUAAAUUACCUUCCCAGACAGAGCCGAAUCCUCGGCAGAAUGCAAGUGCAAUAACUCUUCGUAGCGGAAAAGUUCUGGAAACAGUUCCAGACAAAAGUCAUGGGCAAGACAAUGAACGGGAAAAAUAUAUCUCUGAUCCAAAAGCCAGACCAAAAUCAGAAAUUCAGAAACCAGUUGUGGUGCCACCUUCUUUUCCAGGGAGACUCGCGAAGGAUAAGAAAGAAAAGGAGGAAAAAGAAAUCCUCGAAACGUUCAGGAAAAUGGAGGUGAAUAUCCUUUUGCUCGACGCCAUCAAACAAAUCCCUCGUUAUGCAAAAUUUCUCAAGGAAUUGUGCACUAGCAAAAGGAGGUUAAUAAGUAACGAAAGAGUAAAUGUAGGAGAAAAUGUCUCCGCGGUACUACAAAAGAAAGUUCCGCCUAAAUACAAGGACCAAGGUAUGUUUGCUAUUUCCUGUGAGAUAGGUAAUGUAGGCAUUAAGAAAGCAAUGUGUGAGUGAGGCGCUUCCAUUAAUGUUAUGCCUUAUCCUAUAUAUAAGUUGAUUAAGGCGGGUCCUUUGAAAAAGGCAGGAGUAAUAAUCCAGUUGGCAGACAGGUCAGUCAUCUAUCCCGAAGGGUUGCUUGAAGACGUCCUUGUUAAAGUUAACGAAUUAGUUUUCCCUGCAGAUUUCUACAUUAUUAAUAUGGAGGACGAUAACUCAACUAAUUCGUCUGAUAUUUUGCUUGGAAGGCCAUUCUUAAGUACCGCAAGCGCAAAAAUUAAUGUUCAGAGUGGAACAUUGACAAUGGAGUUUGAUGGCGAAAUCAUGAAAUUCAAUGUCUACGAAGCCAUGAGUCAUCCUAACUCAUUGUCAAAUAUUUCCAGUAUCGAUAAUAUAGAUUGUUUAACUUAAAAUUAUUCUGAAUAUCAUGACUUUGAUGAGUUGGAAACUGUCCUUUACAGAAGCAUUGACAUGGAUGUAUUGAGUCGUCUUGAGGAGUUAACGGUUAUAGAAGAUCCGUUGCGAGAAACUGUCAAACACUUGGAGACUCAACCAUCAUCGGCGAGUCGAGGUAACCAUCUUGAACUAUUACCUUCCCAAGUUAAAAUGUUGCCUUCGAUUUUGUAGCCACCAACCUUGGAGCUUAAAGCGUUACCAGACGACCUCAUGUAUGUCUUUUUGGGAGAGAAAGAUACCUUACCGGUAAUAGUGUCAAAUAGACUAACCAAAGACGAGGAGGAAAGUCUAGUUCGAGUUCUGAAGGAUUAUAAGGAAGCUAUUGGUUGGACAAUAGCUGACAUAAAAGGGCUAAGUCCGUCCACUUGUAUGCACAGAAUUUCCAUCGAAGAUAACACGAAACCAAAGAGAGAUGCUCAGAAGCGCCUUAAUCCACCCAUGACGGAGGUAGUAAAGAAGGAGAUCCAGAAAAUGUUGGAUGCUGGAAUGAUAUACCCGAUCUCUGACAGUGAUUGGGUUAGCCCAGUUCAUGUCGGCCCAAGAAAACUGGCGUGACAGUGGUGCAAAAUUCAUCAGGAGAGCUAGUUCCUACUCGAGUCUAGAAUGGAUGGAGGGUUUGCAUCGAUUACAGAAAGUUGAAUGCAGCUACCCAGAAGGACCAUUUCCCACUUCCCUUCAUCGAUCAAAUGCUCGAGCGAUUAGCUGGUAAGACUCAUUAUUGUUGUCUCGAUGGAUAUUCAGGAUUUUUCCAAAUUCCGGUGGCGCUUGAAUAUCAAGACAAAACAACUUUCAUGUGCCCCUUUUGAAUGUUUGCGUAUAGACGAAUACCGUUUGGACUCUGUAAUGCUCCGGCCACCUUUCAGAGAUGCAUGGUAAGCAUAUUCUCCGAUUACGUCGAGAAAAUCAUUGAAGUCUUCAUGGAUGACUUCACGGUGUACGGUAACUCUUUUAAUGAAUGUCUCGAUAAUCCUGCUAAGAUAUUACAAAGAUGCCUAGAAUUUAAUCUUAUUUUAAAUUAUGAAAAAUGCCACUUCAUGGUUGACAAAGGAUUAAUUUUAGGCCAUAUAGUUUCCUCAGAAGGUAUUGAGGUUGAUAAAGUAAAAACGGAUAUUAUUAACUCAUUACCUUACCCCACAUCUGUGAGGGAAAUUCGUUCGUUUCUUGGGCGUGCAGGAUUUUACAGACGAUUCAUAAAAGACUUCUCAAAGAUCGCGCAACCGCUUUGCAGUCUGUUACAGAAGGAUAAAGAAUUUAAAUUUGACCAGACUUGUAAAGAUGCAUUUGACGUACUGAAGCAGAAAUUGGUCUCCGCCCCUAUAGUACAACCACCAAAUUGGAACUUCCCCUUCGAAAUUAUGUGUGAUGCAAGUGAUCGAAGUGUGGGAGCUGUUCUUGGCCAAAGAAUAGGGAAAGAGCCUCAUGUUAUCUACUACGCUUCGAAAACCUUGGAUGCUGCCCAAAGCAAUUACACAACCACCGAGAAAGAAUUAUUAGCUGUUGUGUUUGCUUUAGAUAAAUUUAGAUCUUACCUGUUGGGAACUAAAGUAAUUAUAUUUUCUGAUCAUGCAGCUUUGAAGUAUUUAGUAGGGAAGAAUGAGGCAAAACCUCGACUGAUCAGGUGGAUUCUACUUCUGCAAGAAUUUGAUUUUGAAAUUCGAGAUAGAAAAGGAUGCGAAAACUUAGUAGCUGACCAUCUGAGUCGAUUACCGAUUCCAGUAGACGACACACCAUUGAAAGACAACUUCCUAGAUGAAAACCUAUUUUCAGCAAAUGUGGUUCAUCCUUGGUACGCAGAUAUAGUAAACUAUCUUGUCACAGGUACUAUACCUUCAGAAUUACCAAUGUUUAAAAAAGAUAAGAUUAAAAAGGACGCUCGAUAUUACAUUUGGGACGAUCCUUACCUAUGGAAGCAUUGCUCCGAUCAGCUAAUCCGACGGUGUGUAACAGAAACAGAGGUACAGUCUAUCCUUGCCUAUGGAAGCAAUGCUCCGAUCAGGUAAUCCGACGGUGUGUAGCAGAAAUAGAGGUACAGUCUAUCUUAACUUUUUGUCAUUCUUAUGCAUGUGGGAGGACACUUUGGACCCAAACGCACUGCACACAAAAUUCUAAAGUGUGGACUAUUUUGGCCAAACAUAUUUCGUGAUGCCUUCUUAUUCUGUAAAACCUGUGAAAGAUGCCAAAAAGUUGGUAACCUUAGUCGACGAAAUGAGAUGCCCCUUACUCCGAUCCAUAUUUGUGAAAUUUUUGAUGUGUGGGGCAUCUAUUUUAUGGGUCCUUUUAUUUCUUCUUUCGGUAAUUUUUAUAUACUCUUAGCUGUUGAUUACGUUUCUAAGUGGAUAGAGGCAAAUGCUACUCGCAAUGAUAAUGCUAAGACUGUGGUUGACUUUCUUAAAAGUUCUAUCUUUUCCAGGUAUGGCACCCCACGAGCAUUAAUCAGCGACAGAGAAACUCAUUUCUACAAUAAACUCGUAAGUGCACUUAUGGAAAAAUAUGGAGUGACUCAACGAAUUGCCACUGCCUACCAUCACAAACAACGGACAAGCUGAAGUGUCAAAUCGAGAAAUCAAGUCCAUACUGGAGAAGACUGUUAAACCUAACAGAAAGGAUUGGAGCUUGAGACUAAACGACGCACUUUGGCUUAUAGGACAGCUUACAAGGGUCCAAUAGCAUGUCACCUUAUCGACUUUUUUUUAAACCGUGCCAUCUCCCGGUCGAAUUAGAGCAUAAAGCUUUUUGGGCAGUUAAGCAGUGUAAUAUGGAGAUGGAGAUCGCAGGAAGAGCUCGAAAGUUGGACAUUCAGGGACUUGAGGAAAUUAGAAACGAUGCAUAUGAAAAUGCUCGAGUUUAUAAAGAAAAGAUGAAGGCGUUCCACGAUGAUCACUAGGAAGCGGUUUUCAAUAGGACAAAAAGUUCUCCUAUACGACUCCACCUUAAAAAUUUUUGGUAAGCUUCGAUCCAAAUGGAUAGUCCAUUACUACCACUAAUUUAUUCUCAAAUGGUGCAGUGGAAAUUCAAAGCGAAGAACCCGGAAGUGCUUUAAGGUGAAUGGACAACGAUUGAAACCCUUCUACGAGAAUUUCAAACGCACACGAUUGAGGAGAUUGUUCUCGAGGAGCCCGAAAAUUGAAUAAUAGGUCGUCGAGCUAAACGACGUUAAACAUAGCGCUGUUGGGAGGCAACCCAAAUUUUCUUUUCCUUUAUGCAAAUAAUUUUUGGUAAAAUGGAAAAUGAAAAUGCAUGUCGANNNNNNNNNNNNNNNNNNNNNNNNNNNNNNNNNNNNNNNNNNNNNNNNNNNNNNNNNNNNNNNNNNNNNNNNNNNNNNNNNNNNNNNNNNNNNNNNNNNNNNNNNNNNNNNNNNNNNNNNNNNNNNNNNNNNNNNNNNNNNNNNNNNNNNNNNNNNNNNNNNNNNNNNNNNNNNNNNNNNNNNNNNNNNNNNNNNNNNNNNNNNNNNNNNNNNNNNNNNNNNNNNNNNNNNNNNNNNNNNNNNNNNNNNNNNNNNNNNNNNNNNNNNNNNNNNNNNNNNNNNNNNNNNNNNNNNNNNNNNNNNNNNNNNNNNNNNNNNNNNNNNNNNNNNNNNNNNNNNNNNNNNNNNNNNNNNNNNNNNNNNNNNNNNNNNNNNNNNNNNNNNNNNNNNNNNNNNNNNNNNNNNNNNNNNNNNNNNNNNNNNNNNNNNNNNNNNNNNNNNNNNNNNNNNNNNNNNNNNNNNNNNNNNNNNNNNNNNNNNNNNNNNNNNNNNNNNNNNNNAAUAGAUAACAUGAGGCUCUUUUCCCUAUUCUUUGGCCAAGAAUAGCUCCCCACACUUUGGUCACUUGCAUCACACUUGAUUUUCGAAUGAGAAGUUCUAAUUUGGUGGUUACACUAUGGGAGCGGAAACCAAUUUCAGCAAGUCAAAUGCGUCUUUACAAGUUUGGUUCAAAUUCAAAUUCUUUAUCCUUUUGUAUUAGAUUGCAAAUCGGUUGCACGAUCACGAUCUUCGAAAAGUCUUUUAUGAAUCGUCUAUAAAAUCCUGCAUGGCCAAGAAACGAACGUACUCCCCUCACAGAUGUAGGUAGGUAAUGAGUCAAUAAUAUCCGUUUUUGCUUUAUCGACCUCAAUACCUUCUGAGGAAAUAUGACCCAAAAUUAAUCCUUUGUCACCAUGAAGUGGCAUUUUUCAUAAUUUAAAAACAAGAUUAAAUUCUAGGCAUCUUUGUAAUAUCUUAGCAAGAUUAUAGAGACAUUCGUUAAAAGAGUUACCGUACACCGUGAAGUCAUCCAUGAAGACUUCAAUGAUUUUCUUGACAUAAUCGAAGAAUAUACUUACCACAACAUCUCUGGAAAGUGGCCAGAGCAUUACAGAGUCCAAACGGCAUUCAUCUAUACGUAAACGUUCCAAAGGGGCACGUGAAAGUUGUUUUGUUUUGAUCCUCUAGAGCCACCAGAAUUUGGAAAAAUCUUGCGUACCCAUCGACAACAAUAAUGGGUCUUACCAACUAAUCGCUCAGCAUUUGAUCGAUGAAGGGAAGUGGAAAAUAGUUUUUCUGAGUAGCUGCAUUCAACUUCCUGUAAUCGAUGCAAACCCUCCAUGCAUUCUGGACUCGGGUAGGGACUAGCUCUCCUGAUGAGUUUUUCACCACUGCCACGCCAGUUUUCUUGGGCACGACAUGAACCGGGCUAACCCAAACACUAUCGGAGAUCGAGUAUAUCAUUCCAGUAUCCAACAAUUUCUGAAUCUCUUACUACCUCUAUCAUGGGUGGAUUAAGGCACCUUUGAGCAUCCUCUCUUUGGUUUCGUGUUUAUCUUCGAUGGAAAUUUUGUGGCAUACAAGUGGAUGGACUUAAACCCUGUUUAUGUCUGCUAUUGUCCAACCAAUAGCUUCCGUAUAAUGCCUCAGAACUCGAACUAGACUUCCUCCUUGUCUUUGAUUAGUUUGUUUAAAAACUAUCAACUGGUAAAGUGUCUUUCUCUCCCAAAAAGACGUACUUGAGGUGGUCCGGUAAUGCUUUAAGCUCCAAGGUUGGUGGCUGCAAAACCGAAGGCAACAUUUUAGUUUGGAAAGGUCAUAGUUCAAAUUGGUUACCCUCGAUUCAUCAACGAUGGUUGCCGUCUCCAAGUGUUUGACAAUUUCUCACAACGGAUCUCCUAUAAUUGAUAAUUCCUUGAGACGACUUAAAACAUCCAGUCAAUGCUUCUGUAAAGGACAGUUUCCAACUCAUAUGGUCAUGAUAUUCAAAUAAGAUUAAGUUAAACAAUCUAUAAUAUUGAUACUAGAAAUACUAAUAGUGAGUUAGGAUGACCCAUAGCUUUGUAGACAUUGAAUUUCACGAUCUCACCGUCAAACUCCUAUUGUCAGUGUCCGCACCGAACGUCAAUUUUUGUGCUUGCGGUACUUAGGAACGGUUUUCCAAGCAAAAUGUCAGAUGAAUUAGUUGAGUUAUCGUCCUCCAUAUUAAUAAUGUAGAAAUCUGAAGGGAAAACUAAUUCAUAACUUUAACAAUGACGUCUUCAAGCAACCCUUUGGGAAAGACGACUGACCUGUUCGCCAACUGAAUUAUUACUCCUGUCUCUUUUAAAAGACCCGUGUUAAUCAACUUAUAAAUAGGAUAAGGCAUAAUAUUAAUGGAAGCCCCUAAAUCACACAUGGAUUUCUUAAUGCCUAAAUUACCUAUCUCACAGGAAAUAGCAAACAUACAUUGGUCAUUUGUAUUUGGGCGGAACUUUUCUUUUGCAGUAUGGCGGAGACAUUUUCUCCUACAUUUAACUCUUCGUUACCUAUUAACCUCUUCUUUAUAGUACACAAUUCCUUGAGGAAAUUUCAAAACGAGGGAUUUGUUUGAUAGCAUCAAGCAAAGUGAUAUUUACCUCCACCUUCCUGAAUGUUUCGAGGAUUUUUUUCCUCCUUAUCUUUUUUAUCCCUUGCGAGCCUCUCUGGAAAAAGGAAGGUGGCAUCACAACUAGUCUCUGAAUUUUUGAUUUCGGUCUGCUUUUGGAUCAGAGAUCUAUUUUUCCCGUUCAUUGUCUUACCCAUGACUUUAGUCUGGAACUGUUUCCAGAACCUUUCCGCUACGAAGAGCUAUUGCACUUGUAUUCUGCCAAGGAUUCGGCUCUAUCUGGGAAGGUAAUUUACCUUGAGAUUCUAAAUAAUUAACCACCAUCGAGAGUUUACUAACUUGAUUAGUUACUCUUGUAUUGAUGCAUCUGUCCUCUGUUAGUAUUUUACAGCAUCGACGGUAAGUCUCUCCAUAAUAGCUUCUAGAGAUAUGCUCGGCUUGGGUUGUUGUUGUGGCGGUGGCGGAGGGUCUUGGUUGGUAUGAUAGAUUGUCCGGUGAUUAGCUCCAUAAUUCAAGUUUGGAUGAUCCUUCCAUCCGGGAUUGUAGGUGUUAGAGAAAGGAUCAUAGCGUCUUUGCGAAGGUCUUGAAAAAACCUCCGACAGCAUCAACAUGUGCCAUUGAAUUAUCGUUAAGGAUUGGGCAUAAAUUCGUUAGAUGUUCAUAUUCCCACACAGUUGGGUCAGAUUCUUCUUUUUUGUAAGUAUAGAUUGAACAAUAUUAGUAAGCUUAUCCAAUUUAUCUUCUAAGGAUGAAACGUUUACCUCAUUAACCCGUCUUGUGGGUUCUGGAUUUGGCCGAUACUGUUGAGAAUUUACCGUCAUGGUGGAUAUCAGUUCUCUUGCCCUUUGAGGAGUCAUAUUUACAAGUGCCCCUCCACUAGUAGUGUCAAUCAUCUUCAUUUCCAUAGGAAGCAAACCCUCGUAGAAAUACUGAAGAAAUGAUUGUUCGGUCAAACUAUGUUGAGGACAACUUGCACAUAGUUUUUUGUACUGCUCCCAAUAGUCGUAGAGCGAUUCACUCUCCAUUUGGCGAAUUCCUACUAUGUCUCUCCUAAGUUCAGCUGCUCACGAUUCUAGAAAGAAUCUGUCAAGAAAUACACGAGAUAAGUCAUCCCAUGUUGUAAUAGAACCGAGGGUAAGUAAAAUAACCAUUCUCUUGUUGUAUCAACUAAAGAAAAUCGAAAGGCCCGAAGUUUAAUUUCAUCUUCAGUUACUCCCUGAGAUUUCAUGCUUGAGCAGACCAUGUGGAAUUCUCUCAAGUGAGUUUGUGGAUUUUCGUUAUUCAAGCCUCGAAAAGUGGGCAAAAGGUGAAUUAGGCCUGAUUUCAACUCAAAUGGGGUUUCUCCGGUUGGAUAGUUGAUGCAUAACGGUGUUUGCUCGUUGGGAGCAGCGACUAGUUGAUGAAUGGUUUGGUUUGCCAUCCUUUCUGGUUCACCGAGGUUAUCUUCUGCUUCUUUCGUUUCAGGAAGUGGUUUGGCCUCAGGUUUAACCACUUCGACUUACUUCCCACGUUGAAUUGCCUCUGCACGAAUUGCUUGACUCAACUUUUCGACUUCAGAUUCUAGGAUCCCUUGUCCUAGCUGAACUUCUACUUUACUUGCACGUUUAAGAGCUUCUGUCUCUUUUCAUCGUGCUCGUGCUAAUUUCUCGAUCUUUGGGUCGUAUUCGAGAUCUUCGGAUGAAGAUCAGGUCCUGAAAAUGAUUUAAACAAUUGUAAGUGUUGCCAGUCCCCGACAACGGUGCCAAAACUAAUGGCUGUCGAUUCCACCAAUAUAAACCUACGCCUAAUUUACAAUUUAAGCAGUAUAGGGAGUAGGGUCGAUCAUUCAGAAACUGGGUUUACUAAAAAUUGUUUCUCUUUCUCGACUAGAUUUUUGUCUGGGCAGUUGUCGUGCCCAAGAAAUUUGGAGGAAGGAUAAAAUUGAAAACCUGGAACCUGAAAUAAACAAGAAAAAAUGCGUGAAAAGUAAAAGCUGAAAAUAAAAUAAUAAAAAUAGUUAAAUAAAUCUGAAGAAAAAUUAAUUAAACUAAGCUCAGCUUUAGGCAUGGGUUUUUCCUCGUCUUUAAACUGAUCCUCGAAAUAAGAUGAACUCCUCUUUUCUAAUAAGCUAGUUAUAACUACCAAGGACACCUCGGACACCAACCCUUCAUUGUGUAAAUUAGUUAUGGAACGUCCAAUAACUAACCCUUACCAAUCGAACAACCAACGAAACGUUCGUGAUUUAGAACUCUGGCAGCUUGGCGUCCUAGAAGAGCCUAGCUCAAACCAAUGCCCUCAACCGCGUGGGACAUUUAAAUCCGAUUAAUACUUCCCUUGACGGAACCAAACAGCAAUCUCCACUUCACACGCCAAUGUGUUCACAGAAAACCGAUUAAACAAUCCAUCCUUUCGGAAUUCGAACUGUACGUCUAACCACACUAACUCAAACGACGUCUUUUUUGACUUAGUGUUGAUUUGACAUUGUCAGUUGACGAAAUCAUACUCUUAAUCCGAAGAAACAACAAGUACUAGAUUUUAGAAGUUAAUUUGCUUAGGUUCGUAACUCACGGAUCUUGACAAGGCUAACUCCGACCUAAAGCUGAAAAUGGAUUUAGUUGACUAAGGUUUGGGACAUGUUGGUAUUGGUCAUAAAUUAAAUAAGGUAAAAAUGGGUAAAAAGAAUGGGUGGCGUGAUUAAGUAUGAGGGCUGGAAUUUUGGUAAUGUAUUAGAGUGGGAUGGUUUGACUACUGGAAAUGAAAAGGAAGUUUGAAAAAGAAAUUGUAAAUGGUUUAAGUUGGUUACAAACUAGAAAUCAAUAAAUAAAAAGAAAAAAAACAGAAACAACGAAUAGCUUCGUGAGAAUGAAGAAGAGAUUGCAUUCAAAGAGGAAAGCUUGAUUUAUGACUUGAUGAAUAAAUGAACAAUGUAGCCCCCUAUUUAUACUAGUGGCUUUGCUAAAUUAAGAGCCACUAGCCAGAGAAAAUCAAGGAAAUAAAAUAUUCCAUGAUAUAAACAAUCCCUACAAAAUCUCCCACUAAGUCAACAAAAAUUUCAGCUAAUUAUAUUGAUUAAAUACUAAAGUUACAUAUUUUAUGUAAUUAAUUUGGUUAAUUUAUGAAAGUGCACCACUAAUUUUGCCAUAUUUAUUAAAUUUUGUGCAGGAAUGCAAUUUGGGGCUAAAUAGAAGAAAAAGGAAACAAUUGGGCUAGAUUGAAGAAAGAAGCAAAGAAGGAGAGCCAAAGAAGAAUUUUUCCAAAAUUAAUUAGCUGAAAUUUUUGAGUUAGUGGGAGAAUAUUUUGGGAUUUAUUUUAUUAUGGGAUAUUUUUCCUUAAUUUCCUAUGACUAGUUGCCUCCUAAUUUAGUAAAUCCUCUAGUAUAAAUAGAGCUUGUAUUGUUCAUCAUUUCAUCAAUCAAAAAAUAUUAAGCUCUUGUCUUUCAAUACAUUCUCUCUUUUCUCACGUAGCAUUGUUGUUUCUUUAGUUUCCUUUCUUUCAAUUUUUUCCAGUAGCUAAUCACCAAAUCAAGCCAUUUGCAAUUUCUUUUUUUUCAAUUCUUUUCCAAAUAGUAAACCACCCCACUUUAAUAUAUUCCAACCCCCAUACUCAAUCACAUCACCCAUCUUUUCACCCAUUUACCUUAAUUAAUUUAUCAAAUACCAACAUGUCCCAAACCUUAGCCAACUAAACCCAUUUUUAGCUUUAGGCCGAAAUUAGCCUCGUCAAAACCCGUGAGUUACGAACCCGAGCCAUUUAACUCCUAAAAUUCCAGUACUUAUUACUUCUCCGGAUUAAGAGUGUGAUUUUGUCAGCUCAUAAAGUCAGAUAAACACUAAGUCAAAAAAGACGUCGUUUUAUUUAGUGUGGUUAGACGUACAGUUGGAAUUCCGAAAGGAACGUUUCCAAUCAGUUUUCUGUGAACACAUUGGUGUGCCAAGUGGAGAUUGCUGUUUGGUUCCGUCAAGGGAAGUAGUAACCGGAUUUAAAUGUCCCACGCGGUUGAGCACAUUGGUUCGAGCUAGGCUCUUCUAGAACGCAAAGUUGCCGGAGUUCUAAAUCACGAACGUUUCGUGGUUGUUCGAUCGGUAAGGAUUAGUUAUUGGACGUUCUAUAACUAAUUUACACAAGGAAGAGUUGGUGUCCGAGGCGUCCUUGGUAGCUAUAACUAGCUUAUUAGAAAAGAGGAGUUCAUCCAAUUUCGAGGAUCGGUUCAAAGACGAGGAAAAUUCGUGUCUAAAGCUGAGCUCAUUCUAAUUAAUUUUUCUUAAUAUUUAUUUCACGGUUUUUAUUAUUCUGUUUUCAACCUUUACUUUUGACGUUAUUUUUCUGUUAAUUUCAGGUUUUCAAACUUUUAUCCCCCCGAACUUCUUAGGCACGACAGCUACCCCGACAUAAAUCUGGUCAAGCGAGCAACAAUUUACAGUAAACCAGUCUCUGAGGGAUCGACCCUACUCCCUAUACUGCAUAAUUUGCAAAUUAAGGCGUAGGUUUAUAUUGGUGGAUUCGACACCCAUCAGUUUUGGCACCGUUGCCGGGGGACUGGCAAUACUUAUAAUUGUUUAAAUUAUCUUCAUGACCAGAUCUUCAUCCGGAGAUCUCGAAUACGACCCAGAGAUCGAAAAAUCAGCACGAGCACGACGAAAAGAGACAGACGCUCUUAAAGAUGCAAGUAAAGAAGAAGUUGAGCUAGGACAAUGGCUCUUAGAAACCGACAUUGAAAAGUUGAGACUAGCAAUUCGAGUAGAGGCAAUUCGACGUGGAAAACAAGUCGAAGUGGUUGAUCCUAAAACCGAACCACUUCCUGCAACAAAAGAAGUAGAAGACAACCUCGGUGAACGAGAAAGGAUGGCGAACCGAACCAUUCGUCAACUAGCCGCUGCUCCCAACGAGCAAACACCGUUAUGCAUCAACUAUCCAAUCGGAGAAACCCCAUUCGAGUUGAAGUCAGGCCUGAUCCACCUUUUGCCCACUUUUCGAGGCUUGAAGAAUGAGAAUCCACAUACCCACUUGAGAGAAUUCCAUAUGGUCUGCUCAAGCAUGAAACCACAGGGAGUAACCGAAGAUGAAAUUAAACUUCGGGCCUUUCCUUUUUCUUUAGUUGAUACAGCAAAAGAAUGGUUAUUUUACUUACCUCCAGGUUCUAUUUCAACGUGGGAUGACUUAUCUCGUGUAUUUCUUGAUAGAUUCUUUCCAGCAUCACGAGCAGCUGAACUUAGGAGAGACAUAGUGGGAAUUCGCCAAAUGGAGAGUGAAUUGCUCUACGACUAUUGGGAGCGGUACAAAAAACUGUGUGCAAGUUGUCCUCAACACGGUUUGACCAAACAAUCACUUCUUCAAUAUUUUUACGAGGGUUUGCUCCCUAUGGAAAUGAAAAUGAUUGACGCAGCUAGUGGUGGGGCGCUCGUCAAUAUGACUCCUCAAAGGGCAAGAGAACUGAUAUCCACUAUGGCGGCAAAUUCUCAACAGUAUCGGCCAAAUUCAAAACCCACAAGACAGGUUAAUGGGGUAAACAUUUCAUCCUUAGAAGAUAAAUUGGAUAAGGUCACUAAUGUUGUUCAAUCUAUGCUUACAGAAAAGAAGAAUCGGACCCAACUGUGUGGGAUAUGUACUACGUCUGAACAUUCGACGGAUUUGUGCCUAAUCCUUAACGAAUAUUUAACGGCACAUGUCGACGCUGUCAGAGGUUUUCCAGGACCUCCACAAAAACGCUAUGAUCCUUUCUCCAACACCUACAAUCCCGGGUGGAAAGAUCAUCCCAACUUGAAUUACGGAGCUAAUCCCUGAUAUAAUCCGUCAUACCAACCGAGACCUUUGCAACCACCGCAACUGCCACUCAAGCCGAGCACAUCUCUAGAAGCUAUUGUGGAAAGACUUGCCGUCGAUGCUGUGAAAUAUCAACAGAGGAUAGAUGAAUCAAUUCAGGAGUUAACUAAUCAAGUUAGUAAACUCUCGAUGGCAGUUAAUCGUUUGGAAUCUCAAGGUAAAUUACCUUCCCAGACAGAGCCGAAUCCUCGGCAGAAUGCAAGUGCAAUAACUCUUCGUAGCGGAAAAGUUCUGGAAACAGUUCCAGACAAAAGUCAUGGGCAAGACAAUGAACGGGAAAAAUAUAUCUCUGAUCCAAAAGCCAGACCAAAAUCAGAAAUUCAGAAACCAGUUGUGGUGCCACCUUCUUUUCCAGGGAGACUCGCGAAGGAUAAGAAAGAAAAGGAGGAAAAAGAAAUCCUCGAAACGUUCAGGAAAAUGGAGGUGAAUAUCCUUUUGCUCGACGCCAUCAAACAAAUCCCUCGUUAUGCAAAAUUUCUCAAGGAAUUGUGCACUAGCAAAAGGAGGUUAAUAAGUAACGAAAGAGUAAAUGUAGGAGAAAAUGUCUCCGCGGUACUACAAAAGAAAGUUCCGCCUAAAUACAAGGACCAAGGUAUGUUUGCUAUUUCCUGUGAGAUAGGUAAUGUAGGCAUUAAGAAAGCAAUGUGUGAGUGAGGCGCUUCCAUUAAUGUUAUGCCUUAUCCUAUAUAUAAGUUGAUUAAGGCGGGUCCUUUGAAAAAGGCAGGAGUAAUAAUCCAGUUGGCAGACAGGUCAGUCAUCUAUCCCGAAGGGUUGCUUGAAGACGUCCUUGUUAAAGUUAACGAAUUAGUUUUCCCUGCAGAUUUCUACAUUAUUAAUAUGGAGGACGAUAACUCAACUAAUUCGUCUGAUAUUUUGCUUGGAAGGCCAUUCUUAAGUACCGCAAGCGCAAAAAUUAAUGUUCAGAGUGGAACAUUGACAAUGGAGUUUGAUGGCGAAAUCAUGAAAUUCAAUGUCUACGAAGCCAUGAGUCAUCCUAACUCAUUGUCAAAUAUUUCCAGUAUCGAUAAUAUAGAUUGUUUAACUUAAAAUUAUUCUGAAUAUCAUGACUUUGAUGAGUUGGAAACUGUCCUUUACAGAAGCAUUGACAUGGAUGUAUUGAGUCGUCUUGAGGAGUUAACGGUUAUAGAAGAUCCGUUGCGAGAAACUGUCAAACACUUGGAGACUCAACCAUCAUCGGCGAGUCGAGGUAACCAUCUUGAACUAUUACCUUCCCAAGUUAAAAUGUUGCCUUCGAUUUUGUAGCCACCAACCUUGGAGCUUAAAGCGUUACCAGACGACCUCAUGUAUGUCUUUUUGGGAGAGAAAGAUACCUUACCGGUAAUAGUGUCAAAUAGACUAACCAAAGACGAGGAGGAAAGUCUAGUUCGAGUUCUGAAGGAUUAUAAGGAAGCUAUUGGUUGGACAAUAGCUGACAUAAAAGGGCUAAGUCCGUCCACUUGUAUGCACAGAAUUUCCAUCGAAGAUAACACGAAACCAAAGAGAGAUGCUCAGAAGCGCCUUAAUCCACCCAUGACGGAGGUAGUAAAGAAGGAGAUCCAGAAAAUGUUGGAUGCUGGAAUGAUAUACCCGAUCUCUGACAGUGAUUGGGUUAGCCCAGUUCAUGUCGGCCCAAGAAAACUGGCGUGACAGUGGUGCAAAAUUCAUCAGGAGAGCUAGUUCCUACUCGAGUCUAGAAUGGAUGGAGGGUUUGCAUCGAUUACAGAAAGUUGAAUGCAGCUACCCAGAAGGACCAUUUCCCACUUCCCUUCAUCGAUCAAAUGCUCGAGCGAUUAGCUGGUAAGACUCAUUAUUGUUGUCUCGAUGGAUAUUCAGGAUUUUUCCAAAUUCCGGUGGCGCUUGAAUAUCAAGACAAAACAACUUUCAUGUGCCCCUUUUGAAUGUUUGCGUAUAGACGAAUACCGUUUGGACUCUGUAAUGCUCCGGCCACCUUUCAGAGAUGCAUGGUAAGCAUAUUCUCCGAUUACGUCGAGAAAAUCAUUGAAGUCUUCAUGGAUGACUUCACGGUGUACGGUAACUCUUUUAAUGAAUGUCUCGAUAAUCCUGCUAAGAUAUUACAAAGAUGCCUAGAAUUUAAUCUUAUUUUAAAUUAUGAAAAAUGCCACUUCAUGGUUGACAAAGGAUUAAUUUUAGGCCAUAUAGUUUCCUCAGAAGGUAUUGAGGUUGAUAAAGUAAAAACGGAUAUUAUUAACUCAUUACCUUACCCCACAUCUGUGAGGGAAAUUCGUUCGUUUCUUGGGCGUGCAGGAUUUUACAGACGAUUCAUAAAAGACUUCUCAAAGAUCGCGCAACCGCUUUGCAGUCUGUUACAGAAGGAUAAAGAAUUUAAAUUUGACCAGACUUGUAAAGAUGCAUUUGACGUACUGAAGCAGAAAUUGGUCUCCGCCCCUAUAGUACAACCACCAAAUUGGAACUUCCCCUUCGAAAUUAUGUGUGAUGCAAGUGAUCGAAGUGUGGGAGCUGUUCUUGGCCAAAGAAUAGGGAAAGAGCCUCAUGUUAUCUACUACGCUUCGAAAACCUUGGAUGCUGCCCAAAGCAAUUACACAACCACCGAGAAAGAAUUAUUAGCUGUUGUGUUUGCUUUAGAUAAAUUUAGAUCUUACCUGUUGGGAACUAAAGUAAUUAUAUUUUCUGAUCAUGCAGCUUUGAAGUAUUUAGUAGGGAAGAAUGAGGCAAAACCUCGACUGAUCAGGUGGAUUCUACUUCUGCAAGAAUUUGAUUUUGAAAUUCGAGAUAGAAAAGGAUGCGAAAACUUAGUAGCUGACCAUCUGAGUCGAUUACCGAUUCCAGUAGACGACACACCAUUGAAAGACAACUUCCUAGAUGAAAACCUAUUUUCAGCAAAUGUGGUUCAUCCUUGGUACGCAGAUAUAGUAAACUAUCUUGUCACAGGUACUAUACCUUCAGAAUUACCAAUGUUUAAAAAAGAUAAGAUUAAAAAGGACGCUCGAUAUUACAUUUGGGACGAUCCUUACCUAUGGAAGCAUUGCUCCGAUCAGCUAAUCCGACGGUGUGUAACAGAAACAGAGGUACAGUCUAUCCUUGCCUAUGGAAGCAAUGCUCCGAUCAGGUAAUCCGACGGUGUGUAGCAGAAAUAGAGGUACAGUCUAUCUUAACUUUUUGUCAUUCUUAUGCAUGUGGAGGACACUUUGGACCCAAACGCACUGCACACAAAAUUCUAAAGUGUGGACUAUUUUGGCCAAACAUAUUUCGUGAUGCCUUCUUAUUCUGUAAAACCUGUGAAAGAUGCCAAAAAGUUGGUAACCUUAGUCGACGAAAUGAGAUGCCCCUUACUCCGAUCCAUAUUUGUGAAAUUUUUGAUGUGUGGGGCAUCUAUUUUAUGGGUCCUUUUAUUUCUUCUUUCGGUAAUUUUUAUAUACUCUUAGCUGUUGAUUACGUUUCUAAGUGGAUAGAGGCAAAUGCUACUCGCAAUGAUAAUGCUAAGACUGUGGUUGACUUUCUUAAAAGUUCUAUCUUUUCCAGGUAUGGCACCCCACGAGCAUUAAUCAGCGACAGAGAAACUCAUUUCUACAAUAAACUCGUAAGUGCACUUAUGGAAAAAUAUGGAGUGACUCAACGAAUUGCCACUGCCUACCAUCCACAAACAAACGGACAAGCUGAAGUGUCAAAUCGAGAAAUCAAGUCCAUACUGGAGAAGACUGUUAAACCUAACAGAAAGGGUUGGAGCUUGAGACUAAACGACGCACUUUGGGCUUAUAGGACAGCUUACAAGGGUCCAAUAGGCAUGUCACCUUAUCGACUUGUUUUUGGUAAACCGUGCUAUCUCCCGGUCGAAUUAGAGCAUAAAGCAUUUUGGGCAGUUAAGCAGUGUAAUAUGGAGAUGGAGAUCGCAGGAAGAGCUCGAAAGUUGGACAUUCAGGGACUCGAGGAAAUUAGAAACGAUGCAUAUGAAAAUGCUCGAGUUUAUAAAGAAAAGAUGAAGGCGUUCCACGAUAAGAUGAUCACUAGGAAGCGGUUUUCAAUAGGACAAAAAGUUCUCCUAUACGACUCCACCUUAAAAAUUUUCGCUGGUAAGCUUCGAUCCAAAUGGAUAGGUCCAUUUACUACCACUAAUUUAUUCUCAAAUGGUGCAGUGGAAAUUCAAAGCGAAGAAACCCGGAAGUGCUUUAAGGUGAAUGGACAACGAUUGAAACCCUUCUACGAGAAUUUUCAAACGCACACGAUUGAGGAGAUUGUUCUCGAGGAGCCCGAAAAUUGAAUAACAGGUCGUCGAGCUAACGACGUUAAACAUAGCGCUGUUGGGAGGCAACCCAAAUUUUCUUUUCCUUUAUGCAAAUAAAAUUUUUGGUAAAAUGGAAAAUGAAAAUGCAUGUCGAGGAUUAGUUCUGUCUAAAGAAAGACUUAGUACUUAAGUAUGUCCAUUGUGACUCACCUCUCUUUCCUGGGAACUUACUUGGCACAUUCAUCACUACUGUUUUACCAAAUCUCGUAAUCUUGGUUUUUAAUAAUUUAUUUCUCGAGUUUAUAGCUUAGCUAAUAAAUUUGAAAAAAAAACAUUUUAAUUUUCCUAUUAUUAUUAUUUAUUUUUACUAUUUUAUUUUAUUUUCAUUUUUAUUUUUACAGGAAACAUUCCAAGACAAAAUUAAAUUCCACAUGUCAACCUUCUUUUUAUUUCAGCCAAGGCCCACUCUAUCUACGAGACCACCCUCCAUGACAUUGAAAUACAUGGGGAGUUUCUUUUUUCUCUCUUUCUCCUACUUAUCUUUACUUUUAUUCUUUAAAUUACAUUGGGACAAUGUAAAAUAAGUAGGGGGGAAGGAAACAUAAAUUGGUUCUAAUAUGAUUAUCUGUCAUCACUAUUUUUGCAUGUUUUUGGUAAAAGGUAAAAUUUUUCUUUUGAUAAAUUGGGAUGGUACACUUAUGGUUUGACCUAUUUAGCUAUUUAAUUCUUUACACAUGGAACUUUUCAAUAACCUAGACUUAGUGGGUAAGAAAUUUUUAGGAAUUAUAAGUUUGCUUGACUGCCUACUUUUUAUCAUAUGUCAAAUUUUUGAAUGUCAAAAAAAAAUACUCCUCUGAUACGAAUGUUAAGAGUGAAAAAUUGGGGUUUUACAUCGGGCUGAGUAACCAGAACAUGGUGCUUGGGUUGUCAUCAUGUCUCGCGUAAAAAGGUUCAUGUGGUUGCCCAAUUUCUUUGCACUCACUCCGCUAACAAGUUAUCAUGAGUAGGGCGAAAUAACCCGCUUAGAGACGUCCGAAUUGAGUAACCGGAAUAUGGUGCUUGGGUUGUCAUCAUGUCUCGCGUCAAAAAAUUUGAAAAUGCCCUAAGUACAAAAAUAAUAAAAUGAAAGGUAAGCCUAUCAAGCUCUCAUAAAUUCUGAAAUAUAUUUACUUACUUCUUAGGCUAGGCUAUUUGAGAUGUUAAUGUGCUAGGAUUAAAUUGUUGAAAUGUGCAAACCAUGGGGGUCAAGUCCUAUUUUGGAGAAAAUUUUUCCUUUUGCAGAUACAUACAAAAUGCUCGAGGACUAGCAUAAGCUAAGUGGGGGGAAUUGAUUAAAUACUAAAGUUACAUAUUUUAUGUAAUUAAUUUGGUUAAAUUAUGAAAGUGCACCACUAAUUUUGCCAUAUUUAUUGAAUUUUGUGCAGGAAUGCAAUUUGGGGCUAAAUAGAAGAAAAAGGAAACAAUUGGGCUAGAUUGAAGAAAGAAGCAAAGAAGGAGGGCCAAAGAAGAAUUUUUCCAAAAUUAAUUAGCUGAAAUUUUUGAGUUAGUGGGAGAAUAUUUUGGGAUUUAUUUUAUUAUGGGAUAUUUUUCCUUAAUUUCCUAUGACUAGUUAGCUCCUAAUUUAGUAAAUCCUCUAGUAUAAAUAGAGCUUGUAUUGUUCAUCAUUUCAUCAAUCAAAAAAAUAUUAAGCUCUUGUCUUUCAAUACAUUCUCUCUUUUCUCACAUAGCAUUGUUGUUUCUUUAGUUUCCUUUCCUUCAAUUUUUUCCAGUAGCUAAUCACCAAAUCAAGUAAUUUGCAAUUUCUUUUUUUUUUUCAAUUCUUUUCCAAAUAGUCAACCACCCCACUUUAAUAUAUUCCAACCCCCAUACUCAAUCACAUCACCCAUCUUUUCACCCAUUUACCUUAAUUAAUUUAUCAAAUACCAACAUGUCCCAAACCUUAGCCAACUAAACUCAUUUUCAGCUUUAGGCCGAAAUUAGCCUCGUCAAAACCCAUGAGUUACGAACCCGAGCCAUUUAACUCCUAAAAUUCCAGUACUUAUUACUUCUCCGGAUUAAGAGUGUGAUUUUGUCAGCUCAUAAAGUCAGAUAAACACUAAGUAAAAAAAGACGUCGUUUUAUUUAGUGUGGUUAGACGUAUAGUUGGAAUUCCGAAAGGAACGUUUCCAAUCGGUUUUCUGUGAACACAUUGACGUGCCAAGUGGAGAUUGCUGUUUGGUUCCGUCAAGGGAAGUAGUAACCGGAUUUAAAUGUCUCACGCGGUUGAGCACAUUGGUUCGAGCUAGGCUCUUCUAGAACGCAAAGCUGCCGGAGUUCUAAAUCACGAACGUUUCGUGGUUGUUCGAUUGGUAAGGGUUAGUUAUUGGACGUUCCAUAACUAAUUUACACAAGGAAGAGUUGGUGUCCGAGGUGUCCUUGGUAGCUAUAACUAGCUUAUUGGAAAAGAGGAGUUCAUCCAAUUUCGAGGAUCGGUUCAAAGACGAGGAAAAUUCGUGUCUAAAGCUGAGCUCAUUCUAAUUAAUUUUUCUUAAUAUUUAUUUCACGGUUUUUAUUAUUCUGUUUUCAACCUUUACUUUUGACGUUAUUUUUCUGUUAAUUUCAGGUUUUCAAAUUUUUAUCCCCCCGAACGUCUUGGGCACGACAGCUGCCCCGACAUAAAUUUGGUCAAGCGAGCAACAAUUUACAGUAAACCAGUCUCUGAGGGAUCGACCCUACUCCCUAUACUGCAUAAUUUGCAAAUUAAGGCGUAGGUUUAUAUUGGUGGAUUCGACACCCAUCAUAUAUCUUGGAAAUAUUCUGCUUUGGCCCUCCUACUUUGCUUCUUUCUUCAAUCUAGUCCAAUUGUUUCCUUUUCCUUCUAUUUAGCCCAAAAUUGCACCGCUGCACAAAAUUCAACAUAAACAUAGAAAAAAUCAGUGGUGCACUCUCAUAAAUUAACCAAUUUAAUUACAUAAAAUAUGUAAUUUUAGCAUUUAAUCAACCAAUUUUAUCCAUUCUAACUAGAAAUUCUAUCAAUCAAACCCUAAUUCAACAAUUUGUUCAACAUGAAUCAUAUUAAAAAAUCUAAUAACUUUCAAAAUUUUAACUUAAAUUCAACAAAACUUUGUUUUAAGACCUCUAAAACAUCAAAAUUAAAAGAAAAGGACUUGAUUAACUUACCAAAUUAAAGCUUAAAGCCUCAAACCCUAGUUUUUCCCUUUUCUUUUCUUUCCCCUUUCCUUUCUUUCUUUUUCAUCUAUUAUCUGUUUCUUCUUUCUAUUUUGUUUCCCUUUCAUUUCAUUUCAUUUUCUUUUAUUUGUUUUGUUUUGUUUUAAUUAUAAUAAUAUAAUAUAUAUUUACUUAAUUAAUAACCAAUACAUAUUUUAUUAUGAAAUACAUAUGUUUAUUAUUAUUACACAUGUAUUUACCAACACCACUCACUUGUCUAUUAUCAUCACCAUACACUUGUCUUAAUUUUAAUUUAUUCCAUAAUAUAAUAAUAUAAUUAAUAUAAUUAUAAUUUUUUAACACCCCAAACCCGUCCUGGACGUUAUGGCCAAAUCUGGCGAUGUCACAUAGAAGUGCAUUUGAAAACCGUAUCAUUGCUAAAAUCAUUAUCCGUUUAGAACUUAUCAUUAUCUUUCAUUAAUUCUCAAAUCGUGAUUCAUUUCCAAAACGCUAUACUUUGCGGAAGCUUUUAAAAUAGCUUGUGUGUGCGUGGUAUUUUGAUAAAACAUUCAUCUCUUUUAAAACCUGAGUUUUACCUACCUCUAGCAGAUAUAAACAGAAAAUAGUAGAAAAUCCAAAUUUUAGGUAAAAAAUCCAUAGAGGCCAUUAUUACAGAAAAAUACCCCAAAAUAAAACUUAAAAUUGUAAAUAAGUAUCAAAUAGAAAAAAUGAGUCGUGUGGCCACCGCUGAGUCCUCCACCACACCGAUCCACCUAUGUCUGGGGCUUACCUGUACAGAUUAAAUAGAAAGGGUAAGUUUACGUAAACUUAGUGUGUAAUCCCCAUGCAAACAAAUAGACAAUAACAGAUAAUCUCAGUUUGGGCCUAAGCCCUUUUCAGUAUCAGUAAGCAUUAGGGCCUUAGCCCAUCACAGUACAGUAACAGUGACAGUUAUGCGGUUAUAAAUCCUACCCAACCAGCCUCUACACUCCAUCUCCAUCCAACCCUACACUCUAUGUGGGGAUAUAAUCAACCCACCUAUCCCUACACUCCAAAUAGUACCGAAUGCGGCACUAAACAGUAGUUGCAGCUAAGCUGCCAGUAAGUUAGGCUUGAAGCCAUUCAGUACACUUCCUCCAAUCAAUAUAGUGUAUACAGCAUGCUCAACAUACAGACAUACAUAUCUAUCUUAUAUAGGCAUAUAACAGUCUUUCAAUCAUUUCAGUCAAUUAGGGGUCUAAGUAAACUUACCCACCCUACAGUAGGUUCACAGUCGACUUGGACGACCCGUGCAACCUUAGCAGUCAAUGAGUGAAAAUGGGCCCACAGGCCUAUGUUGCAUCCCAUGUAGGCCCACAUGCUCGUGUGGCCCACACGGCCCAAAAUGGCCUCGGCCGUAUGGAUCACACGGUCUAUCACAAUAUUCUUACAUGUCCGUGUGGUUUAUCUGUACGAGGCCCACACGCCCGUAUGGCCCAUACGGCGUAUUUCAGCUCAGCCCAUGAAUCGCAUAUAGCCGGCCUCGUUGAUCACAUGCUCAUGUUCGAUCACACGACCUACCACAUAGGCAGCCGCACACCCGUGUGACGUCGACAAUUACAUUUUUUGGCUUUUCGCCUAUUUCUGUUUUCAGAGUUGUGUUUACACACCUGGUUCGUUUGUGACGUUAAAACACUUCCAAGAUCCCCAGCACCUAUGGUCAACAACCAAACCCCACAAUCAGUCCUAAUUCCUAGUUAACUUGAAACCAAAAUAUUGACAAUGAUUCGUUCAAUCCAUUCGUUACCUACCUUUAAAACCGAGCAACCCCCAACUAUGGAUUCGAACGAGAUAGGUUACCACUCCCACAAUUCACUGCUGACAAAUCUGAUAGACCCAAUAAGACAACAAUUCACAUCUUCAUAGCUUAAAAGAAUAGAAAAGCUUCCCCUAAUUCACCAAACACAAUCACCUUACCUACUAAACGAAUGACGGCAGAACCACACCGCUCCAAUGCUAAUCGAUUCGUUCUGGCCCUUAACCUUCAACAAUGAAGCAGUCGACCUAUCACCAAAAAUCCAUAAACCAAAUAACACCACAGUUACAAAACUUACCACCAAUGCACAAAAACAAAACGGAGAUGACAAAUUGCGGCAAUAAAGAUUUGAGAAGGAAAUGGACUACUAAAAAAACCAAAGCAGGGAGAGAAGGAAAUUUUCAGCGGUAGUCGACAACAAACAAAAAGAGGAGAAAAGAAAGGCCAAUGGCAUAAUUCGCAGAGAGAAUAAUAGCCAGGUAAAAAAAUAGAGGAGGAAAAACAGUCGACUGCAAGGGAGAGAAAAGAAUCGGCAAAGAAAAUGAAGGGGAAGGAUGAAAAGAGGGAGAAGAUUCAACCAAGGGAGGAGGGGGACGUUUGCUCACCUUAAUUAACUCCCCCUAUCCCUAAAUUUGGGAAGCACAGAAUUCCACUCAAUUACCACUACCCCCUAAAUCCCUUAAUUAACUCCCCCUAUCCCUUAAUUUCACUCCCCAAUCGUCCACCACAAUCCCCUCAACCAUCGAAUUCAAACCCCACUCAAAACACCCUCACGACACAAGCAGUAAAAAUAAAUCUCAUGUUUGAGUAAGAACUUGAACUCCAAACCUCCUACUCAAUUGCAAUCCACUUAACCACCAAACCAACAAACUCAUUUUAAUGUAUUUUACCAAUAUUUAUUUAUAAGCCUACUGACUAGAGAUAGAGGUUUAUUCAUUUAAAAACAAAAAAUUUUCCCAAGCUAAUGCUUGAACUUGGGACCUCCCAAAUAUUCCCAAAAUACAUAGCUAUUAAAAUUGACAGAUAUUUUUGAUACAAAUAUACGAAAAUAAAUAUAUAAGAGAUUUUUGGGACGUUACAAAUUUUGAAUAAAUAAUAAUAUAUCUAAUUAAUUAACAUAAAUAUCUAAGAUUUUUAUACACAUUUGCCGCCUCAUUUAAUGGAAUAGGCUUAAUUGCCUAUUUAGUCCCUACUAUUUUCUUUUAAUCUAUAAUUAAACUUUUGCACCUUAUUCUAUUUAGUCCUUUUUCCUAAUUUCUCUUAUUUAAACUAAAUUCAUCCAAUUAAAACUUAAUCGGGCACAUCACUAGACUCAUAAUUACUCCUAAUAAUUAUUUACGGACUCGGUUUACUAAGACGAAGGCCCGAUAUUGCACUUUUUCGAUGCCCAUGAAUUUUGGGUCAUUACAUAUUGUAGAUAGACACUAAUCUUAGUUUAUGUAAUUCAAUCUAUACCGAAAGAUUUGGGUAUGCUUUUUAUGUCUACAAUUCUUUCGUGGGUAUGCUUAUAUUACUUUUUGUGUAGUGUCUUGUUUUACAUAGUUUAUAAUUGUCCCAACGAAUUUAAUUUAGAAUUUCUUUUUUUUUGUUUAUUCUGUGUGUUGUGUCAAUUUAUUUAUUUAUUUAUUUAAAAUGUUUUUUUUAUGUUCUAUUUUUUUUUCAUUUGUAAGCUUUUAUAAGAUUAUAUUUAUUUAUACAUUAAUACUUUUUCUUAUGUAAAAUUUUGUACGUUAACAUAUUUUUAUCGUAUUUACUUUAUUUUCCAUGACACGAUAUUUUUAAUUAUUUUUAAUACUUCUAUAUCAUGUUUUAAUUCGACAAUGUUCAUAGUUUUAUGAAAAUAAUUCUAUUUUAUUCUAAAUCAUGAUAAUGAUAUGGGCACCCAAACCGCAAACUUCACUACAAAACCCCAAAAACACAGAGAGCAAAGUCAAAACUCUUAACGAAAGACAUGAUGGAAUUGGCGAUGGAAACACAGAACAGAACAGCGACACCUUAAUUAAGUCCCCUACAUCAUUCUCUCAACAUAAACCAAAGGAUUAAGUCUCCAUUAGAAUAGGUUUUAUUUGUUUAUUCUCAUUUAUUUAUUUUGAUAAAUCAACAUAAACAACAACCCAAAUGUUGAUUUACAACCUUAACUUUAAGCAAUUAAACGAUAAGUCGGCUUUACAAGUAAAUGAUUAGCCCUCGGCAACGAAAGGCCGAACUUCUCGGUCAUGUCGAGUUCAAUAGGCAACAUCCCAUCAGGCAACUCCCAAUCAAAGCAAUGGGCUAAUUGAGCUAAAAUAAGACGCAUGCUGAUUAGAGCUAACUGCAUUCCGGGACAUCCUCUACGACCGGUUCCGAACGGAAUGAGUUCGAAAUCAUGCCCUCGAAGGUCUAUCUUCCUAUCCUUGAAUCUUUCUGGAAAGAACUCUUCGGCAUUGCUCGACCAUAUCUUGGGGUUUCGCCCCAUGGACCAAGUGUUCACCAAAAGCCGCGACUUCUUAGGUAUGAAAUACCCAUUAACGGUGACAUCUUCGGUCGACUCGUGCGGGACUAACAACGGUGCCGCCGGAUGCAACCUGAAACUCUCUUUGAUGACCAUAUCCAAAUAGGCAAGUUUCGGUAGGUCCGACUCUUCUACCAUUCUAUUCCUUCCGACAACACUUUCUAGCUCUUUCUGGAGAGCAACCAUGACUCGAGGAUGCUUUAGAAGUUCUGUAAAUGUCCACUCAAUGGCCGUGGAUGUAGUGUCGAAGGAAGCUGCCACCAUGUCCACCAUUAUAGCCUUGAUGUUUUCUCUACCAAUGAUGUAGGGUUGAUCUUUAUCGUUAGGGUUUAUGGGUGUAUCCAACAACGAAACCAUCACUUGAAAGAAACUUCUAUAAGGUUUUUGGUCAUCCAUGUUAAUCCCUUGUUGGUAUUCAUCUAUCAUUUUCUCAAAAAAUUCGUGAAGGCCACUACUCACCUUCUUAAGCCUUCUUGUAUAUCCCUGCAGCGUAAAGAUAGAUAUGAUAGAAUCAGUUUUAUAUUAAUUGUAUUUUUCAUUAUAAUUAUUCUUUGUGAAAAAACCAACGAGUCAUUCAACCAAAUAUUAAGACUUCCGAGUUUCACUCUGCAUCUUAUAAGAUUACUAUAACACAAUUUAUUAUGCUUUAAAAUUGGUAUUACUAUUAGUACGAAAAAAUAAAUAAAUUAUGAAAAAGAAAAAUAGUACAUAAAAAAACAGGAUAUAAGGAGGAAAAAAAAAACGUUACCUGAAGAUCAAGUGGAGCAAGGAAAGGCACAUAAUCCGAGAGAUUGAAAACCCCAGAUAAGUGCAGGGCCUCAUCAACCAGCGGCUUAAAAUAGAUUUUAUCAUCCAUGGACCGCCCGAAUAACACUUUCGACAUCAUUUCUUCAAGAACCUUAGCCACCGCCUGGCUAAGGUUUAUUGUUUCACCCGCCGCAGCUACCUUUCUCACUGAUUCAACCAAUAACCCCACCUCCGCCUUCCUUAUCGGGGCAAAGCAUUCAACUUUGGAAGCACUGAGGAAAUGCAAAAUACACCAUUUCCGUACAGUUCGCCAGUAAGAACCGUACUGGGUAAAACCAACGGCCUUGCCACCAUAUGCCAAGUAUUUCGCGGAUUGGACUUUAGGCCUGGAAGCAAAAACGACGUCAUGGACCUUGAGGAACAGUUCAGCGGCUUCGGGUGAUGAUACCACGAUGGUUGGUACUUUGCCUAGCAUUAUCGACAUGAUGGGUCCAUAUUUUUCGGCGAGAUAGUGAAGACUAUGGUGUGGGAGGUUCCCUAGCAUGUGGAUGUUACCUAUGAUGGGAAGAGGGGCAGGACCGGGUGGAAGUUUCCGGCCAUUUUUGUUGCGGUUUGGUGAGCUGAAGAAGUAGAUAAAGGAACAGAGAGUUCCAAGGAGGACGAAGAGUAAGGUUAAUGUUGAAGAAGACAUUUGGGAGGGAAGCCAAUCACAAUAGCUGGUAGUCAUUGGGGAUUGAUUGAUUGAGUACUUGUAGAUGGAAGCAACCGAUGGCAGCUGCAAGUCGGGAGAAUUCGCCAAAUAUGUCGAUUUAAAUAAAAUUAGGGAGUUCGACUUUUUUUUUUUUAAUGUAAGGAAAAAAGUUGAUUUUUGCGGGCUUAUUUUUCCAGUUGAAUUAUUUACAUGGUAAGAAAAUAUUCUUAUAAUUUUUAUUUUAUUUUUUAUGUUUGUAUAACCAAGAUGAAGAUUAAAUUAUUGAAAUUUAUAUACAAGCAAUUUAAGUGCAAGAGCACCACGUGUUAGUGAAUAAUACUUGAAAGAGGUGAGAUUCUUACACAUGUCUCAUAUGCUCAACGAGACUAAAUUGAAGUCUGCACUUAUCAGUGCUUUGUUGAGAAAUGGAGAUCCGAAACACAUAAAUUCCAUCUUUCGUGCAGAGAGUGUACGAUUACAUUUAAGGAUGUAUCAUUACAACUUGAUCUACCAAUUGAUGAGGCAGUCAUUACGGUUGGGGAUUGGAGGCCAAUUUGCCACCAGCUAUUAGGCAAGGUGUCAGGCAAGUUUAGUGGUAAUCAAAUAUAUAUGAAAUGGUUAGAAGAUAAUUUCUCACAUCACAAAACUCUUCUAGUGUAGUUGAAAGACAACAAUUAACUCGAGCAUUUAUACUAAGGUUAAUCGGGGGUCUUCUAAUGUCAUAUAAAUCUCAAAAUUUGGUAUAUUUAAGGGGACACCUAUAACUAAUUAACCUAAAAGAAACUGGGCAAGUCAGUUGGGGAUCAAUUGUCUUGGCUACAUUGUAUCGAAAGAUGUGUAGGACAACAGAAGCACAAAAAUUAAAAUCGGUGGUUGUAUAUUCCUUCAAUCAUGGGUAUAGUAUCGCUUACCAUUUUUACAUCCCGAGAAAACUCUCAUUAUCAAUUAUUACUCGUAAUAAGGUAACAUUCAUUUAAUAAUAUAGUUAUCAUAUUAUCUUUUUUUCAUUAUUAUAUUUUUGGAAUAACAUAUUAUUUGAAACUAAUAAACUUGAAGAUAUUUGGUUAUUGUUAAAUCAAUGGUUAAAAGUCGAGGUUAGUUUUUGAAUUUUUUUAGUUACAUAAUAAUUAUGUAAGGAUUUGAAAUUUAAUAUUAGGUAGGUAUGAAAUUUAUAAUUUCGUAUUAUAAUUUAGAUGGAUGUCAUACUCUGAUCCGAGAAUUGAAGAAUGUAUCCCGUUUAAAUUUUUGACGAAUCAUAAUAUUUGACACGUUAAAGUGUCAUUAAUAGUUUUUACAUUGUCUAUUUUUAAUAAAUAUAUUUGAAGUAAAUUUUUUUAUAUAUUCUAUUUGAACAUUUUUAGAUUUUAAAAAAAAAAUUAUACAUACUUUUCAUAUAUUUUUUUUAAAAAUUAGGACCAAAUUAAUAGAAUAUAAAAAUAUUGAUGGUUUAAUUUAUUAUUAUAUCAAUCAAAAUUAUUACAAUUGAUGGAAAAUAUUAUUUUUCAUGAUGGAAAACAAUUAUACAUACUUUUCAUCCACCUAAAUCUGCUGGUCUAUUUGCGAAGGCUUUCCUUCUUUUAGCUACAAUUGUAUUUAUUAAUUCAUAGAUUUGUCGGGAUAACAAAAAAAUUAUAAACAAUUAUAAUGAGCCAAUGGCCAUUACUUGCAGGGACCACUGGAUCAAUCACAAAUGCCGACACCUAAAAUCAUAUAGUUAUUUUGGAUAAAUCUAACGUGAUGUAAAGUAUAUAUAUUUAUAAAAUAUUAUAAAUUAUAAUAUCAUAUAAUAAAAUAAUAUAUGAAUUUUAAUUGUAUUGGGUAACAUGUAUUUGUUUUCAACAUACCAUAAUGGGAAGGAAAAUGUGGAUACAGAUAUAAGUUGGGCAAGAAGUUACAAGUGGUUCAACACGGCAUGAUUGCAUGAUGUGAGGGUGACAACUAACCAGGGGACAUGUCCAACCAGACGAUGGGUUAAAUUUAAUACGGAUAGAGUUGUAUCCAGAAAUAACUCAUUUGCGGGCAUUGGGGGAGUGUUUAGCGGUGCCGACAGCUAGUGGUGAGGUGGUUUUUCGAUGAAGUUAGGAAAUGAUUCAAUUUUCAAGAUUGAGGCGAGAGCCUUACUUAAAGGCCUACUUAUAUCAUGGAGAAAAGGUUAUCGACAGUUGGAAGUGGAAUGUGAUAAUACUCUCUUAGUUGAAUUGAUUUUAGCUGGCAGAGUUGCAGAUAGUCAUUUGACUGAAAUGCGCCUUAUCCAUCAUUUAUUGAGUUGGAAUUGGAAGAUCCUUGUUCCUCUUACUUCGAGGUCGCAAAAUACAGUAGUUGAUCAUAUGGCCAAGUGUAUGGCGACUAUUUCCACAUAAAUUCAUUGGUUUGAAGAACCACCGCAAUUAGCUAGAAGUUUAAUUGAGGCGGAUUAUGUUCUUACUUUGAGUCACUAGUGUCAUUUUUUGAGUUUUUCGCUUUAAGCUAUCUUUUUUCUACCAAAAAAAAUGUGUACAAUUACUUUACACUACAUGAAUUAUUGAGAGGAGAAAUUCAUAUUAGUUAUAUAUAUUAUAAUUUGUAUAUAAUAAAUAUUUUAAUAAUUGUUGCAUGUUAUAUUUAUGUAAUAUGGUAUGCAACCGUUUUUUUAUUGUUUAUGUCUAUUUACAAUUCAUAUUCAAGGUUCGUGUGGUUAUUCUUUCCAACAAAACUAUUUCUAAGGUCCAAAAAAAAUUUCAUAUUUGAAUUUAAAUGGAAAAUUGUUAUUAAAUAAAAGAUAAUUAUAAUUUCAUAGUUCAAAUUUAAAACUCAAUAUAUUUAUUUAUCAAUUUUUUUAAAUCUAAUAUUUAAAUAUAUCAAAUGGUUUAAACCAUUUAAUCUAAAUUUAGAUUAAAUAUUUUUAAAUAUAAAAACAUUAAUUAAUUGUAUAAAUUUUCAUCAUUUAAUAAAUCUAAAGUAAACCUUAAAUCCUAAACCAUUUAAUAUAUAUAAAAUUGAUCUAUUAUCUCUUAAAUAAUUUAAACUAUCUCCUAAACCCCUAUCUCCUAAACCCUACAUCAUAAAACAUAAACCCUAAACCCCUAACCCCUAACCCUUCUUUUACAAUUAUAUAAGAACUUAAUUAAUAUAUAAAUUAAAAAAUACUAAUUAAUCUAAACCUUAAACCCUAACCCGACCUCGAAUCUCUAAACCUUAAAUCACUAACUCUUAACCUCUAACUCUAACCCCAAAUCCCAAACCCCAAACCCCUAACUACUAACCCCUAAACCUUAUUUAAUAUAUAAAUUAAAAAACACUAAUUAAUCUAAACUCUAAACCGUAACCCGAAUCCCUAACCCUUAACCCCUAAAUCACAACCCUUAAACCAGAAUCCCUAAUUCCAUAAUCUAUAAACCUUAAAAUUGCAACUCCUAAACCGGCCUUAAAUCCUAAAUUAACCAUAUACCCUAAACCAUAUAUAUUAAACCCUAAACUAUAAUGAUAAUUAAUUAAAUAUUUUAAAAUUAAUACUAUUGUAUCUUUUACAAUUAUAUAUGAAAUUAUUUAAUAUAUAAAUUAAAAAUAAAUCAGUCAUGUACCCUAAAAAUUUUUAAAUUAUUUUAAAUAAUAGUAUUUUAAUUUUUUCCAUUUUUAACAAGUAUAUUUCUAUGUUUUUUUAUUUGAAAUUAUUUCUACGUGUCAUUAUUUCAAAUUUAACCUUUUUUAAAAAAUAUUCAAUUAAAAAUAAAUUGAAUUUUAAUUAAUAUAAAUAAACAAAUUAAAUAGUAAAUAGACAGAUAAAAUGCAUUAGCGGUGCUUUUUCAAAAACGCCGCUAAAAGUCUGAGCAUUAGCGGCGCUUUUUUAAAACGCCGCUAAAAGCAUGAGCAUUAGCAGUGCUUUCUAAAAAACGCCGCUAAAAGCCUGAGCAUUAGUGGCGCUUCUUCAAAAACGCCGCUAAAAGCCCCGAAAGGUUUGGACUUAGGUUUUUAGCGGCGGUUUUCGAGAAAACGCCGCUAAUGCUCGGUCUUUAGCGGCGUUUUAUGUAAAGCGCCGCUAAUACUUAAUUUUUAGCGGCGUUUUUUGUCCAAACGCCACUAAAAACGCCGCUAAAAGCCUAUUUUGGUGUAGUGUAUGCAACCACUUUUUUUUAUUACAAUUCAUAUUCAGGGUUCGUGGUUAUUCUUUUCAACAAGACUAUUUCUAAGGUUCAAAGUUGUAUCUCUAUUUAGGUAUGCAAAAUAUCUUACCAUUAGACCAAACACUUGAAUAAAUGAAAACUGUAUAACUAUAUAUUCCACUAAAAAAGUCAUCACUUGCUUUUCUUUUAAGGGUAAAGUACAAAAAUAUCACUAAACUAUUGACUUUAUUCUAUUUUGGUCAUUCAAUUAUUAAUGUAAUAGCCCGAUUUUCAAAAAUGUCGAAAACAGUGGUACGAGACCACCAAAUUCAGAAAAUAAGCUCGUAAAUUUUAUUAUCAAUAAUUACGAGCCAAAUAUGAUUUUUAAGAGAUUUUUAAAUUAGUAAUUUGUAUUUUAUAAAAAUUUAUUAAGUCAAGAAAUUGAGAAAAAGAGGUAUCGAGACUUCGAUAUUAUAAACCGAGCCGUAAAUAUUUUUAUAAAUAUUUACGGAGUGUCAAUAUGGUAGUGUUAAAGUUUCGUCAGAAAAUUUUAAUGUUUUGGCAGUUAAUUAAUUAAAAAGGACUAAAUUAAAAAGAUGCAAAACUUGCUAAAGUGAUUAAAUAGCUUAACAAUUAAAUAAGGAAGGAUUAAAAGAGAAAAUGGACCAAUUUAGGGGCUGGAUGACAUACCGUUAAAAAAAUCUAAGAUUUUAAUGUAUUAAGGACAAAAUUGGAAUUACAAUAAAGUUUAUGUGGCCAAAUUUUAUUUUAAGCAUUUCAAGACCAUUUCUUCUUGAAAUUUCGGGGGGAGACAGCCAUGGAAGAGGGUUUGGAGCUGGUAUUCCAUAUUUUGGCUUCAAGUAAGUUUAAUUCUUGCUUUGUCCUUGAAAUUUUUAUAUUUUUAGACUUUUACAAUUAGGUCCAACUUAGUAUUCUACUAGUUUCUCAUUUUGUUGAAAGUUUUGGAAGAUACUAAUGAUAAGUUCAUAUGAUUGUUGUUAUUUUGUGAUGAAAUUGAGAUGUUAAUGGAUGUUUAAAGGUGUUUUAUUAAAGAAUUUUAGAUGAAAACAUGUUUUAGGGAUUAAAUUGAAAAGUAUUGAAAUCAUGGAGAAAUUCUAAAAUUUCAUGGAAUCUAUGGGAUUUUAUUGAUAUGUAUGAGAAAUACUAGGCUUGAAUCAAGGAUUAUAUUGCAAGAAUUUCAUUUUCCAAGCCUAGGGACGAAAUUAUCAUGUAUUAAAAGUUUAGAGUCAAAUUGGUAAUCAAUAUAUUACACUAAACAGUUUUGGGCAGCAGCAGUGGUCUGACUUUGAAAAAUCACCAAAAAUUUUGGGAAUUGAAUUAGAGGGUGAAUAAAAUAUUAAAUUAAAGCUUAUUGAGUCUAGUUUCUCAUAGAAGAAACGGUGUAAGUAAUGAAAUUGUAAAUCAUGAGAUAUAAUAGAUUUUGUGAGACAAGGUCAGAAUGAAUUCGGGUUCCCCUGUUCUGAAUUUGGAAAAUCAUUAAAAAUUGUACAAAAAUGAUUAUGAGUUAUAAUUUAUAUGAUUAGAAUCCUUAAUGAGUCUAUUUUCAGAAGAAACCAAUAUAAAUAUCAUCCAAAUUCUGUACAAUGAGAUAAUUAAUUUUUAGUGAAGAGUGGUCGGAACUGUCAGACAGCAAAACAGGGGAAACUUUAAAGAAUAAACUGUACUAUUUGGCUGAACCAAAAAUUCUGAAAAUUUUAUGGUAAGAAGGUAUGUGAGUCUAGUUUCAGGGAAAAUUAACGGAUCUUAAUUUGGAGCUCUGUAGCUCCAGAUAAAAAUAAUUUAGUGACUCUGAUUCGGAUAAACAGCUUUGAAUAUACAUGUGAGUGAAUAGUGAAAUUAUAGCUAAUGUUGUUUAAGUGUGUUAUACACAAUAAGGAUGUGGAAUGGAGAGGAGCAGGAGGAAAAUUGGGAAGUAUAUGAAUGAUUUGUGUAUAAUUGGUCAUAUGCUUGAUUAUAAUUGAUAAACGAUGAAAUAGAAAUAAUGCUUAUAUUUGUGCAUUAUUGGUUUUGGUUUAAGCUCAUGUGUGAAAAUAAAGUUUCAUAGUAUGUGUGUAUCGUAUAUUCGGUAUAUGAUUUGGCAUGAAAUAAUUUCAUGAAUGGUUUAUCAUGUGGUUAGUUCCAAAAAGAGUUAUGUUUAAAUAUACUAGCUUGUGACUAUGGUUGAAUGAUAUGUUUAUAUCUUGUGUGAUGUGCAUAGGAAACAAGUGUGGUAAGAUAAUGAAAUAGUAAGUUCAUAUGACCGAAAUUUAAUGAUUAAAUGUUAAUUUCAUGAGUUAUGUAAUGUAUGAUGAGAUAUAUUUAUUGAUGAAAUGAGAAUAAAAUAAAAAUGCGAAAAUUGAAUAAAUGAUCAAAUUGAGCGGAACGCCGGAUUUGAGUACUUCUGAUCAAGUGACAAAGUGAUAAGUGAUAAGUGGCUACACUUAUCUGAUCAAGAAACAAAGUGAUAAGUGGCUACACUUAUCUGAUCAGGGACAAGUGAUAAGUGAUCAUACGUAAGACCAUAGUUAUACUAUGGCAAAGUGAAAGUGAAGUACUCAAUUUUCCGUAACCGUUCCCUAAUUUGAUUAAGGAUGGUAAGUGACAAAUGGGCCCAAAUGAAUUAAAGUAAAUGAAUAAGUGGUAGUGUAUUUAUACCAGGAUGAUGUUGUUAUUUAAGCUAAAGUGAUAUUUUCAUUGCAAAAUUAAGAAUUUCAUAAAUGUGUUAUUGAAUGAUAUAAUCGAUAAACGUUGAGUUAAAUGGUAAAUACGUAUUAGUGUUAAACUUAGGGACAUUGAAUUGUACGUGAAUUAAAUGGAAAUUGCUAGUGAUAUGAUCUAAAUUGUGAGCAUGAGAAAUUGCGAAUUAAAUGAAAUGGAAAUGAAGCAUUGAAUUGUAUGAGUAUGUACCGGGUCUCGUAGGCCCUAAUUAUUAUGAUUAUAAUAUUUUGAGGAUAUAUUGUGAAAAGUUAUAGAAGCAUUCUAAUUAUUUUGAAAGUUUUAAUUUAGUUGAAAUUUUAUAACUCGGUUAAAUACGUUAACAAGUGUAUGUAUUUUGGUAAUGCCUCGUACCCUAUUCCGGUGUUGGAUACGGGUAAGGGGUGUUACAAUUAAUUUUUCUUAUUUAAUCACUAAGCUUUUCAAAAUUAGAUAUUUUGAUCAUUCUCAUGUUAGUUACCAUUAGAUGAGUAACGAAAAAUUGACGUGAACCUUUUUUUUUUGGUCUAAUAAUAAAUUUAACAUUCUCAUGUUUACACAUUCUAUCAAUUUGAUCUCAAAUAUAAAAAAAAUCAACAAAUUUAGCCUUUAAUGUUUGCAGAAUUUGUCAUUUUAGUUCAAAUUCUAAAAAAUUCAAUAAAUUUAGCUCUCAACAUAUACAAAAGGUCAAGUUUUGAUUUUUAAAAAUUUACCCUAAACUUUUAGUGGUCGGAUCUCUUUUGUCAAUGUCAAGUUUAUAUAUGUAAAAUAUUAUCCUAAACAUUGAGGGUUAAAUUUAUUAAAUUUUUUAAUAUUUAGGAUCAAAUUAAUAAAAUGUGUAAAUAUUAGAUAGCUAAAUUUGUUAUUAGACCAAUAAAUAAAACUUGCAUUAGCUUUCCACUACUCAUCUAACGGUAACUAAUGGGAGAGUGACUAAAAUAUUUAAUUUUGAAAAGUUUAGUUACUAAAUUGAAAAAAUUAAUAAUUGAGAGAUCAAAAUAGAUCAAAGUUAAUUGUUUAGUGACUACCCUUUUUAAAUGAGGCAAGAAUUCACCUUUUAAUACAUAACCUUCCAUGUUGCUUUUACGGUUAUUUUUUAUGCAUUUAGAAUAAUAUAAAUUUAUAUAAAAGAACAUUAAUAAGUAAUCAUUACUGAAAAUCAUUAAAAUUAUAUAAUAUUCAAAAAUAAAUAAAUUUUGAAUUAUAUCAUAAAUAUUUGAUAGUAGAAUUUUAUUUAAUUUGUAGGUGUAUAUUAAUAAUAGAUAAAAUUAAUUGUGAUUUUAAUUUAUUCAGAUUAUUAAAAUAACUAUUAAUUUUUAAAAUUAAUGUUAAAACAUUAAUUUCAAGUUUUAGCUUUAAUAUUAAAAACUAUUUUUUAACAUUUUAUAUUUCAAUUUUUUUAAAUUUAAAAUCAAAUAAAAAUAUUAUUAAUUGUAAAAAAUAGAAUGUCGAUAAUGACAAUUUAUCGCAAAGAAAAGAGAAAUAAAAAUAAAAACACACAAAUUUUACGUGGAAACCCUUUAGGGAAAAAAACCACGGGUAGAGGAAAAGAUAAUUCACUAUGUCGAAUUCGAAUAAUUACAAGAGGAAUAGACUAUGUCUAUUUAUAGGCUUGUAAAACCAUAUUCUAAUAGGAAUGUAGUAAGAUUGAAACAUGUUAUUCUAAUCAAUAUAAAAUAGAUGGAGUUUAAUAAGGUUUAAAAAUCCUUAUUCUAAAAUAAAAUAAAAGAAGUAUAGUUCUAUAGGGAUUUUACUUUUAUUUUAUUUUACUACUGUAUCUUAUUUAAAUAAGGAUUCGGGUCACUUAAUUCUAACAAUCUCCACCUUGAUACGAAUUCUCAAUGAACAAGUUCUUCAUCGCGAACUCUCAACGAACAAGUUUUCUACCUCUUCCAUAAAACCCCUUAAGGAUUUAACUUCAACAUUGAACACCAAUCAAGUCUAAGCAAUGCUCAAACUUGGUUAUAGGAAGUGACUUAGUCAUCAUAUCUGCAGGAUUUUCAUGAGUACUAAUUUUGCUCACAACAAUAUCACCACGAGCAAUAAUAUCACGAACAAAAUGAUACCGAAUAUCAAUGUGUUUUGUUCUCUCAUGAAACAUUUGAUAUUUUGUAAGGAAGAUGACACUCUGACUCUCACAAAAUACUGUAUAGAUUUGAAGGUCUUCAUUGAGUUCGCUAAAGAGUCCAUUCAACCAAAUAGCUUGUAACACCCCUUACCCAUAUUCGACACCAGAAUAGGGUACGAGGCAUUACCAGAACACAUACACUUGUAAACGUAUUGAACCGAGUUAUAAAAUUCCAUUAAUUAUUAAAACUUUAAAAUUAUUAACAUACUUUUAUAAUUCUUCACAAUAUAAAUAAUGCAACAUUUCCUACCAACCAUAAUCGAGCUUCUGAUAAUCAUCUCACUGCAUCUAAUAAUUGCAUAUAUUACCAAUAAUAAUUCAAUUUCAAUAAUAAAACACAUAUCUAUAUAAUAUUCAUCAUCAAAUAACAUUCACUUUAAUUAAAAUUAUACAGAAUAUAGUUCAUACGAACUUACCAGGCUAAAUUGUAGAAAUACCAAAAUUUAGGGACAUUUUGGUAAUUUUCUAUUUUCUCAAAUUUCCACCCAAUCUUGAUCUAAAUUAAUAUUUCAUUCAAUUUACUAAUUUAAAUACUAAAACAAUUCAUUUUAUGCAAUUUGGUCACUUUUUGACAUUUUUACAAAUUUACCCUUAAAGUUUCACAUUUGUUCAAUUUAGUCCCUGAACCUAAAACAUGUAAAUUGGUCAUUUUUAAUGAAAACUCAUGCUAGUUUAAUUAUCAUAUAUUUUCCUCCUCCUCCUCUCCAUUCCACAUCCUUAAUGUAUAUAACAUGCUUAUAGGUAACAUUAGCUAUAAUUUCACCAUUUACUUAUAUAUUCAUUCAAAGUUGUCCACUUGCGUCAUAGUCACUAAAUUAUUUAUAUCUUGAGAUACAGAACUCCAAAUUAAGAUCCGUUAAUUUUAUUUAAAACUAGACUCACAUAUCUUCUUACCAUAAAAUUUUAAGAAUUUUUGAUUUAGCGAAUAAGUACAUUUUAUUCUUUAAAGUCAUCCCUGUUCUGCUGUCUGAUAGUCCCGACCCUUCUUCAUUAAAAAUUAAUUAUAUCCUCAUAUAGAAUUAUAAUGAUGUUAACAUUUGUUUAUAUUGAAAAUAUACUCAUUAAGGAUUUAAAAAUAUAAAUUUAAGCCUCUAAUUAUUUUUCUCCAAUUUUUGAUGAUUUUCCAAAGUCAGUACAGGGAAACCCAAAAUCAUUCUGACCUUAUCUCAUAAAACCUAUUAUAUCUCAUAAUUUACAAUUACAUUUCUUACACCGUUUCUUCUAUGAGAAACUAGACUCAAUAAGAUUUAAUUUCAUAUUUUUUUCAUCCUUUAAUUCCAUUUAUACAAUUUUUGAUAGAUUUUCAAAGUCAGACUUCUGCUGCUGUCUCAAAAAUGUUUUAGUGUAAAAUGUUGAUAACUAAAGUUAUAACACUUUCCUUUCCUUUCUCUUCAAUAUUUUCCAUCACUUUCUCUUAUUUCCCUUUACUAACAUAACAAGAAUAUAGAACCUUAUAUAAUGAAACUCUACCUUAACAUUAAUUUCCUACUUUUUCAAUAAUAUCAAACUCAAAAGUAUAUAAAAAUCUUGAUGUUCUUACCUUAUGCCAUUGAUUUCAAUCUUUAACUUGAUUUUCUCCCUCCUCCAGCUUCUAUUUCUUGAAUCUAACUUGAUAUUCUAGCUCCCCAUAGUCUCCUUGUUAUCUUUCUCUCUUGAUGAAUAUGGAAAUUCUUUUGAUUUCUAAGUGAAAAUGGUGAGUUUUUGGUAAAAGGACCAAAUUGUAAAGAAAAGAAAGUUUCUCUCUUUCUUUUCUCUUCAUACGUUAGUUGCAUGGGAAAGAAGAUGAUGAUUCUUCAUCUUUUCUUCCAUAUAUAUACACUAAAUAAAAUAAUAAUAAAAUAAUAAAAUAUCAUUUAAAAAUCAAAUUAAAAUAUUAAUAAACUAAUAUUUAUUUAUUUAAUCUAAAAUAUCUUUAACAUCAUCAUUAUUUUCUAGAUUUCUCUUUCUUCUAAUUGACCAUUUUGCCCUUUAGAUCUUUUAAAAUUCCAUCCUUGAGUCAUCACUUAAUUUGGUAAAAUUACAAUUUAGUCCCUCAUAAUUCUUCAUCUAUUCAAUUUGGUCCCAAUUCAUCCAUCUUCCUUAGUUUCUAGAUUAUUCCACCCUUAAAAUAUUUACACUAUUGGUCCUUUAAAUUUUUUAUAUUUACACUUUAACCCUUCAAAUUUUACGUAUUUACUUUUGGGUAACAAAACUUUUCUCACUUUUGCAAUUUAAUCCUUUCUUGAAUUUAUAUGUCAUAAUAUACUUUCGAAUGUUGACAUAACUCAAUUACCUUUUUUUAUCACUUUAUUUCCUUGUCGGAUUUGUGAUCCCGAAAUCACUGUUCCAUCUAGACCCAAAAUCGGGCUGUUACAUAGCUUCUUUACGAGCCUUAGUAAUCGCCAUGUACUCAGCUUCAGUGGUAGACAAAGCAACUAUAGUUUGCAAAGUGGCUUUCCAACUGAUUGCACAACAUCCGAUUGUAAAGACAUAACCUGUGAGAGAUCUUCUUCUAUCAAGGUUUCCAGCAAAGUCAGCAUCAACAUACCCAAUGACUCUAUCUCUAGUUCUUCAAAUCUAUAAUCAAACAUCAGUAGUACCUCAUAAGUAUCUUAAAAUCCACUGAACUGCUUUCCAAUGUUCUUUACCGGGAUUCACCAUGUAUCUACUAACUGCACUGACUGCAUAUGAUAAAUUUGGACGUGAACAAACCAUAACAUACAUGAGAGAUCCCACUGCACUAGAGUAUGAAACAUGUGACAUGUACUCAAUCUCAUUAUCUGAUUGUGGAAACAAAGCUGAUGAAAGUCUAAAAUGGGCUGCUAAAGGAGUACUAACAGCCUUAGCAUUCUUCAUAUUGAAUCUACAAAGAACUUUCUCAAUGUACCCCUUCUGACCAAGAAGAUCAUGAUUGUAAAUUCUGAAAAGGUCCCAAUUGAGGGAGUAGUACAAUGAGUUAAGUUACAGAUCGGUCAAUGGAAAGGCAAAAAAGACUUGAAGCUCAUCUACUUGAAGUCUUAGUGUCCUAGUGAAAUACUCCCGUAAAACUAAAGUUACCAAGGUAAUUAUUGUAAAUCCUAAAAGAUAGAUAUGUAUAGAGUUUAAAACCCUUAGGACUCUCAUCUUGUAGAUAGACACUAAUCUUAGUUGAUGUAAUUCAAUCUAUACCGAUGGAUUUGGGGGGAGAUCAACUAUAAAUAGAGAUCUUCUCCCUUAUUUAUAAUCAUCUCUUUGUAUUUUGUUCUUGAAUUAAAGAAUACUUUUGAGAGCAUUUACUCAAACACGUAGUGUGUACUCUUUUUUUAUGGCUAUUCUGUUCAUUCGUGGCUUUUUUCUCUUUCAAGAUUAUUUUCGUUUUUUUUUCAGUGGCUUAAAGGAUUUUAGAAAGAAUUCUCACUUUUCAAGAGUUAGACUGACUUAGGAAGAUUUAAAUAAAAGAAAUCGCCUAAAAUUACACGGUUUUCCAGACUAGAGUUCUAGCCCUAAGACAUAUGGAGGUCUCCAUAUUGCUUUUACCGUUACUUUUUAUACAAUUAUAAAGUUAUAAAUUUAUAUAAAAACUAGUUUUUAAUAGUUGUGUGGUGCACAUUAAUAUACGUAUUGUCGAAACCAUUUUUUUGAAAAACGGGGUCGACCUUUUUUGAAAACGAAAAUUAAAACGAGAGUCGCCACCAAUCCUUUUUAUUUAAGUGUGAUCGGAUCACCUCAUAAUUUAAUUAUUUUAAUAAAAUUUUAAAUUUACUAAAACAAUAAUUUUUUUGGUCUACAAAAUCCAGAAAACGGGUUCGGGAGUCGAUUAUGCACGAGGAAGGACUAGCACCCUCGAUAUGUCCAAAAUUGGUACCAGUUGAUUACUUUAUGUCUUAAUGUCGAAAGUUAAAAUUUUAAAAAGAUUUUAAAAUACGAUCCCUUUUUUAUUAAUGUUAAUAAAACUUGAAUAAAUCGAAAAGAGAGUUAAAGACCCACUCGUCCCAAGGUAACUAAAUACCACAUCCCGUAAGUUAGGAUACGAUAUUUAGGACCUUUGAGAAUAAGCUCGCCUUUAAUUUUUAUUAAUUUUUUUUAUUUUAAAAUUUUAAAAGGAUAUUUUACUAUUUAGGUUUAACGAGGAAACCAAAACCCCGUAAGUUAGGGUACGGUUUCUCGAAUUCCCAAAAGCGCGAAAUAUUACCUUAUUAUUUUUUUUAAAAAUUUUCUUAUUACGAAUUGGAACAAGAAUUAAUGCAAUAUCUAAUAAGAUAUAUGUUUAAUUUAUUCGAAUGUAGUGUGAAAGCGAACAAAUAUAUAUAUUGUUGACACCAUUUUUUGAUAAAACGGGGUCGACUCGGGUUUUGAAAAACGAAAACGAAAACGGGAGUCGCACCAAUCCUUUUUGAUGAGGUGUGAUCGGAUCUCCUCGUAAAGUGGUUGUUUUUAAUAAAUAAUUUAAUUUUAUUAAAACAACGAUUUUGGUCUACAAAAUUUAGAAAAAUGGGUUCGGGAAUCGAUUAUGUACGAGGAAGGAUUAGCACCCCCGUAACGCCCAAAAUUGAUACCUAAUUGAUUAGUUAAGGUCUUAAUGUCAAAAAUUGAAAACUUUGAAGAAUUUUAAAAAUACGAUACUUGUAUUAAAAUGUUGAAAAUCUUCGAAAAAGUGGCAUAUUUCACGUUAAUCGAGAAAGAAAAUCAUAUCCAGUAAGUUAGGACACAAUGUUUCAAAUUCCCAAUACGCAAAUGUAUGCUAAAAAUUUGCUUAUUUAAAAGAUUAUCUCGGAUUUUAGAAAAAAGAGAUCAGGCCCAAUAAGUUAAGACUUGAUCUUUUCUUAAUUUCCGAAGUCGUUAAAGCUUGGUUUAAAAAAAAACUUGUGUUUUUAGAUUCAUCGUGAAAAUUAAAACCCAGUAAGUUAGGGUACGAUCUUCUUGAAUUUCCAAAUGCAAAAUACUGCCUUCAUUAUUUUUUAGAAAAAAUCCUCAUCUCGAGAAAACAACGUGUCAUAUCCAAUGCGUUAGGACACAACGUAUUUAGAUUCAACGAGUAAUCUCAUUUUUAUUAUUAUUUUUUAAAAGAGUAAUCUCGUUUAUUUAGAUUCAACGAAGAAAAUCGGAACCCAAUACGUUAUGGCUCGAUUCUUUCGAAGAUCCCAAAUAUCGAGUAUUACUUAUAUUUUUAAAAUUUAUUUUCUUACAAAUUUAAAGAAAAAAAUCAAUGUAAUGUUAAAAAUAACAAUAAUGAAUACGACAAUGUGGACAUAGAUAAUACGAGCAACCGCAAUAAAGAGGAAAAAAAAAGACAAAUCGAUUAAAUAUAAAAUAACAAGUAAAUAAGCAAAUAAAAUUUAAACAUUCUCUCAAAAUAAUGAUGACAAUGUAAAUAAAUAAAUGAAUAAAAAUAUGAAAAUAUAAAAAAGAUAUAUAAAUAUGUAUAUAUAUGUACGUGUUUAUGAAAAUAAAAUGGGUAUUUAGAUAUAUAUAGAUAUGUAUUAAAAUAUAUAAAAAAUAUAUAAAUGCACAUACAAAUAUAAAUAAGUUACAAAAAUAUAUGUAUGUAUGUUUAUAUAGACAUAUUAUAAAAAUGCAUGUGUAUAUAUAAAAAUUAUGAAAUGUAUGAAAAUAUACGAGUAUGUAAAUAAAUGUAUUUUGAAGCUACAAAAUAGGUAAAACAUAUGAAAUAUAAAAUAUUCACAUGAACGUAUAUUAAAAAUAUAUGUAUAUAUGUAUUUCGAAAUUAUAUAAAAAAAUGCAAAAGAUAUAUGCAUGGGUGGUAAUAUACGUGUAUAUAUAUAUAAGUAUAGAACAUAAAAAUACAAACAUGUUUGUAUGUGCAUGUAUAUAUAAUGAAGCUUGGGAUCAAAAGUAUAUAUAAAUACAUGGUGAUAAUAAUAAAUAAGAAAUACAAUAAAUAAUCAUGCAUGAACAAUAAUAUUAAAUUGAUAAAUGAGAAUAAUAAUAAUAAUAAUAAUAAUAAUAAUAAUAGAAGUAAAAAUAUAUAAAAUAAAAGUAAGUAAUAGUAACAACAGUAUUAAACAUAAUGAUAAUAGUAAAAAUAAUGAUAACAUUAUUAAAAUUAAUUAAUAGCAACAAUAGACAGAAGAGGGACUAAUUUGAACUUAAGACAGAACUUCGGGGGAGAAAUCCAUAAAUAAAUAAGGGAGAGGACCCUCUGAACACGGGUGUAUUGUGGGGGGACUAAAAUAAAAAUUUUCCCUCUCCCCCAAAACGGUGCAGUUCAAUCAAGGACCAAAAUGAAAUAGCAAUAAAAUAUGGGGUGCAAUUUUAAAAGACCAAAGAGACUUGAUUGCAAAGUAUAGAAAAAGAGGAGGGGCUAAAACGACAAAUAACCCAACGCUCGAAACGCGCGGAUCCUGGGGUGAAACGACAUCGUUUUAGGGCUACUGUGGUCAGCCCGAAACGACGUCGUUUAGUCCGUCUAUAUAACUCAAAAUUUUUUUAAAAAAAACUUCAGUUCUUUGCUCUUCAGAAAAAAAAUGAGAGUUUUUCUCUCAAAAGCCCCUCUCCCCCGGUCCUAGCUCCGACCGAUAGUCACCUUGCCGGACCCCGGUCGCUGGCGCCAGCGCCACCGCGCACGGUGGCCGGCGAAGGUAAUAAGGGUGUUUUUUAUAUCUCGCCCCCCUAAGCCCAAAUCUGGCCUUAAAAUGCCCAAAAAGCAAAAGAAAAAGGACCACCAGCCUUCUCAACGACCGAUUCUGUCACCGGAGACGAAGCCUCUGACGACAAGGACACGGAACGACUCCGGUGAGUUCCUCUUCCCCUUUCUUUUUGUUUUAUUUUAGUAUAUAAAAACGAAAGCAAAAAAAGAAAAAAUAUCAGUAAACAAAUAUUAUGAAAACUUCAAAGUUUCUUUUCUUUUAUUUCCGAUUUUAUUGUAUCAUCCCCCCCGAAGAGAGAGCUUUACAAUUGGUUUUUGCUUGGCUUUUAUAGCUAUUUUUGUUACAAUAUUUUUGCUUUUGUUGUUACUAUUUGCCACUGUUUCGUUUCUGCUUUGCGUGUUUCCUCUAGUUUACAGGGUUGCUGGAGCAGGUGGGCAGAGGGCAGGUGCGGCGCUGGAUGUGACGGAGGCACAGAAGACCGAGGGUCAGAAGACCCUAGGUGCGGCGCCUAGGGUUCUUUUGUUUUCUGCUAGGGCUUUUCAUUGUAAUGGGUUUUGGGCUUAUUUGUUUUCUCUGGUGGACCGGGCAAAUUUGGGCUUCUACAUAUAUAUUUUAAAAACGUAAUGUAUAAUACGAUAAUAACGAAAUAAUGGAAGAUAACUAUAUGAGUAAAAUAUUUAAAAGGUAAAUAACAAGUAAUGGAAUACAAUAAUAAUGAUGAUGUGAUUAUAAUAACACCAAAUAAUAACAAUAAUCAUAUUAACUAUUAUUCUAAUGCUAAAACAAUAGAAAUGAAUUAAACAUUAAUAAUGAUGAUAAUGAAAUAAUAAUGAAAUGUGUAAGUAAAGAAGUAAACAACACUAUAAAUUCUAAUUACAAGAAAAAUAAAAAUAAAAUAAAAAAUAUACGAAUGAAUAUGCGAAUAAAUAAAUAAAACAAAAAAGAGUAAAUAAAUAAUAAAAGCUUGAAAUUAAACAACGAAGGAUUAAAUUGGGAUUAAAAUAAAAUUUAGAGUCAAAAUUAUGAUGAAAUAGGUGAAUAAACAUAAAAGGGACUAAAUCGGAGCUUGAAUGGGAUUUAAAGGCAUAAAUUACAAAUAAAAAAGGGAGAAGGGGCAAACUAAAACGAGCUGAAAAAGGGUGAGGACUAGAUGGGAAAUUAUUCCUAGUCCUUUGGAGCGCACCGUUUCAAUUUGGACCGAAAUGAAUAAAAAUGAAAUUAUGCCGCAAAAUGUAAGAAAGAAAAAAAGUUUAGGACUAAAUUGCAAAGUCGCGAAAAAGAGGAAGGGCCAUAUGCGAAAUUACCCCUUCAACGCAGAAACACGCGGAUCUUGAGGGCCAACAGGUUGGUUUUCGGGUCUGCGGCCAAAACGAUGUCAUUUUGGCCUCUAGGCUCACUCCUCAAAACGGCGUCGUUUCAUGUCUUUACUUAAACUAAUUUUUUUUCUCAAAAUUUCAUUUUUUUUCAAUGUUUAAAAAAAACUUCAAAAACCUCCCAUCUCUCUCAAAAAACUCUCCCCCCAUUCGGCCGAUGGUCUCCCUCGACCUCCGUCGCGCCACCGCUGUGGCCAGCAACCGGCACUGGAAAAAUGGGCCCCUUAGCCCUUGUUGUACGGCGUCCUUGAGAGCUAAGCUCUCUCAACCCGCGAGGAUAAAAAAAAAACAGGGGAGACUCUCGACGCCUUCGGACCCGAAUUGGGUGAUGAAGGAGAAGCCCUCUGACAGCGCGGCCACGGUCGUCUCCGGUGAGUCUCCUUUUCCCCCUUUUUUAUUUUUAUUACUUAGUAUGUAAAAAAUAACAAUAAAGUAAAAAGGAUAAAUAAUGAGAAUUGAACUUGAAAGUAAAAAGAAAAUCACCUCUCAAAUAUGUUCUGUUUUCGUUUUUUUUAAUGUUCGUAAAAAAGAAAAAAAUUACAGAGAUAAAAUUCGGCUUUUAUAGCCGAUUUGAAAAACCCCUAGUUUUCUAUUUUUUUGUCGUUUUGCAAUUUGGCUUUUUCUUUCUGUUGCGUGUUCAUUUGUUUUGCAGGUGUCAGACGCGUGAGGAGGCGUGCGGCGGCCAGGGGCAAAAGACCUAAGUGCGGUGCACCUAGGGUUGGCAAUCUUUUGUUUUCUUUCUGUUAAGGGUAUUGGGUUAGGGUUAGGCAUUUUUGUAUUGGGCUUAAGUCUAAUGAAUUGGGUUUAAUGUUUUCAUUUUGGUGUUUGGUUUUGUUUGGGCCAUAUUGGGCCCCAAGCAAAAAUGGGCUUGUACACGUAUUUAUAUUUUUAUUCUUUAAUAAAUUGUUUUAUUUCAUAUACUUGCUACAAGUAAUUAUUACUGAAAAUUAUUAAAAUAUAUAAUUUUAAAAAAUAAAUUAAUUUUAAAUUAUACUAUAAGUAAUUGAUAUUAGAAUUUGAUUUUAUUUGUAUGUGUGCAGUGUGCACUAAUAAUAGAUAAAUUAAUUGUGAUUUAAAUUUAUUGAAAUUAUUGAAAUAACUACUAAUUUUUAAAAUUAACGUUAAAACAUUAAUUUCAAAUUUUAGUUUUAAUAUUAAGUGGGUAUUUUUUAACAUUUCAUAUUUCAAUUUUUUUUCUAAUUUAAAAUCAAAUAACAAUAUUAUUAAUUAAAAAAUGAAUUCAAAUUGUAUCAAAUAUAAUUAAAUUAAACUUUAUGAAUCUUGUUCAAAAUCAAUUUAUCUAAGUGGGAAGAGAUUAUCAUAACAUAUUUUUCAAUAAAACAACAAUUGAGAUUGAAUCAUAUAAUUGUAUUAUAAAAAUAUUAUGGAAUAAAUUAAACACUAAUUAGAAAACUUAAACUUUCUAAAAAUAAUUAAAAUAAAAUUAUAUUUAGAAAAAAAAUUAAAAAAUCUAAAUUCCUUAAAAAUUAAAAUAAAAUCUAAUUUAAAAAUAAAUACUUAAAUAUUAGUAAUAUAUUUAAAUUUUCUAUAUUAAUCUUUUUCUUCAAUUGAUUUCUUUUAGACAAAUCUAAUUUAUCAAUGCCAAUAACCUUUUUAUUUUUUUAUGUGAUUAUGGAAAUCACUAUGAUAAUUGAAUUCAACCAAAUCACAAGACAUGUUAGGUUUAUAGAAUCAAAAGUGUAAAUAAAUAUUAUAUAUGGAUAUAAAAAACAAAAUUGAGAAAAUAAAACCUAUCAUCCAUUCUAAAAAUAGUUUUGAUCCCGUCACCUUUAAGCCUCGUUUAAUGCCCAUGGAGUUGCAUGAAUAAUGUUGGUGUAAUUUAAAUGUUAUUGUUUGAAAAUACUUAAUAUUGAAUGCUAUUUAUAAUUGUAACUUUUAAUUUUAAUUAGGAUAUGGAGAUGUCAUUAAUUUAACAAUAAGUAAUUAAAAAUGAUAUCAUUUACGGAUCAAGAAAUCAUAGGAGGGAUGGCUAGAAAAUAAUUAAACUAAAAAAAAAAAAAGGAAAAAGAAAAAAGCUUAUCAGCCUUUGUUGAUAAGGAAAAUUUGCCACAAACUUGAACAAGUAGAUUAAUUUGUCUCAUUCUAAGAACACACCUGGUUCGUUUGUGAAGUAAAAACACUUCCAAGAUCCCCAGCACCUAUGGUCAACAACCAAACCCCACAAUCAGUCCUAAUUCCUAGUUAACUUGAAAUCAAAAUAUUGACAAUGAUUCGUUCAAUCCAUUCGUCACCUACCUUCAAAACCGAGCAACCCCCAACUAUGGAUCCGAACGAGAUAGGUCACCACUCUCACAAUUCGUUACUGACAAAUCUGAAAGACCCAAUAAGACAACAAUUCACAUCUUCAUAGCUUAAAAGAAUAGAAAAGCUUCCCUUAAUUCACCAAACACAAUCACCUUACCUACUAAACGAGUGACGACAUAACCAGACCGCUCCUAUGCUAACCGAAUCGUUCUGGCCCUUAACCUUCAACAAUGAAACAGUCGACCUAUCACCAAAAAUCCAUAAACUAAAUAACACCACAGUUACAAAACUUACAACCAACGCGCAAAGACAAAACGGAGAUGACAAAUUGCGGCAACAAGAAUUUUAGAAGGAAAUGGACUACUAGAAAAAUCAAAGUAGGGAGAGAAUGAAAUUUUAGCAGUAGUCAACAACAAAUAAAAAGAUGAGAAAAGAAAGGCCAAGGGCACAAUUCGUAGAGAGAAUAAUAGCUAGGUAAAAAAAUAAAGGAGGAAAAACAGUUGGCUGCAAAGGAGAGAUAAGAAUCGGCAAAGAAAAUGAAGGGGAAGGAUAAAAAGAGAAGAUUCGACUAAGGGAGGAGGAGGAGGUUUGUUCACCUUUUUCUCUGAAAAGUAAAAAUUUGGGAAGCACAGAAUUCCACUCAAUCACCACUACCCCCUAAAUCCCUUGAUUAACUCCCCCUAUCCCUAAUUUCACUCCCCAACCGUCCACUACAAUCCCCUCAACCACCAAAUUCAAAUCCCACUCAAACUCUUCGGUCAAACUACAACACCCUCACGGCACAAGCAGUAAAAAUAAAUCCCAUGUUUGCACAAAGACUUGAACUCCAAACCUUCUACUUAAUUACACUCCACUUAACCACCAGACCAGUAAACCCAUUUUUACAUAUUUUACCAAUAUUUAUUUAUAAGCCUACUGACUAGAGAUAGAUGUUUAAUCAUUUAAAAACAAAAAAUUUGACCAAGCUAAUGCUUGAACUUGGGACCUCUCAAACACUCCCAGAACACAUAAUCAUAAAAACUAAUAGAUAUUUAUUUUACAAACAUACGAAAAUAAAUAUAUAAGGGAUUUUUGGGGCAUUACAAAUUUUGAAUAAAUAAUAAUAUAUCUAAUUAAUUAACAUAAAUAUCUAAGAUUUUUAUACACAUUGAUGGUCUCAUUUAAUGGAAUAGGCUUAAUUGCCUAUUUAGUCCCUAUUAUUUUCUUUUAAUCUAUAAUUAAACUUUUACACCUUAUUCUAUUUAGUCCUUUUUCCUAAUUUCUCCUACUUAAACUAAAUUCAUCCAAUUAAAACUUAAUCGGACACAUUACUAGACUCAUAAUUACUUCUAAUAAUUAUUUACGGACUAGGUUUACUAAGACGGAGGCCCGAUAUUGUACUUGUUCGAUGCCCGUGAAUUUUGGAUCAUUACAUCUUGUAGAUAGACACUAAUCUUAGUUGAUGUAAUUCAAUCUAUACCGAUGGAUUUGGGGGGAGAUCAACUAUAAAUAGAAAUCUUCUCCCUCAUUUGUAAUAAUCUCUUUGUAUUUCGUUCUUGAGUUAAAGAAUACUUUUGAGAGCAUUUACUCAAACACGUAGUGUGUGCUCUUUUUCUAUGGCUUUUUUCUCUUUCGAGAUUGCUUUUGUUUUGUUUUCGGUGACUUAAAGGAUUUUAGAAAAAAUUCUCACUUUUCAAGAGUUAGAUUUGACUUAGGAAGAUUUAAAUCAAAUAAAUCACCUAAAACUACACACUUUUCUAGACUAAAGUUCUAACCCCAUGACAAUAGUACAGAGGUCUCCAUAUUGCUUUUACCGUUACUUUUUAUACAAUUAUAAAGUUAUAAAUUUAUAUAAAACUAGUUUUUAAUAGUUGUGCGGUGCACAUUAAUAUACGUAUUUAUAUUUUUAUUCUUUAAUAAAUUAUUUUAUUUCAUAUACUUACUACAAGUAAUUAUUACUGAAAAUUAUUAAAAUAUAUAAUUUUAAAAAAUAAAUAAAUUUUAAAUUAUACUAUAAGUAAUUGAUAUUAGAAUUUGAUUUUACUUGUAUGUGUGCACUAAUAAUAGAUAAAUUAAUUGUGAUUUAAAUUUAUUGAAAUUAUUGAAAUAACUACUAAUUUUUAAAAUUAAUGUUAAAACAUUAAUUUCAAUUUUUAGUUUUAAUAUUAAAAGGGUAUUUUUUUAACAUUUUAUAUUUCAAAUAUUCUUUUCUAAUUUAAAAUCAAAUAACAAUAUUAUUAAUUAAAAAGUGAAUUCAAAUGGUAUCAAAUUUAAUUAAAUUAAAAAGAGAUUAUCAUAACAUAUUUUUCAAUAAAACAACAAUUGAGAUUGAAUCAUAUAAUUGUAUUAUAAAAAUGAAAUAAAUUAAACACUAAUUAGAAAACUUAAACUUUCUAAAAAUAAUUAAAAUAAAAUUAUAUUUAGAAAAAAAAUUUAAAAUCUAAAUUCCUUAAAAAGUAAAAUAAAAUCUAAUCUUAAAAAAAACUUAAAUAUUAGUAAUAUAUUUAAAUUUUCUAUAUUAAUCUUUUUCCUCAAUUGAUUUUGUUUAGACAAAUCUAAUUUAUCAAUGCCAAUAGCCUUUUUUCUUAUGGAAAUCACUAUAAUAAUUGAAUUCAACCAAAUCACAAGACAUGUUAGGUUUAUGGCUUAAAUUAUAGAAUCAAAAGUGUAAAUAAAUAUUAUAUUGUAUAUGGAUAUAAAAAAACAAAAUUGAGAAAAUAAAACCUAUAUAUCCAUUCUAAAAAUAGUUUUGAUCCCGUCACCUUUAAGCCUCGUUUAAUGCUCAUGGAGUUGCAUGAAUAAUGUUGAUGUAAUUUAAAUGUUAUUGUUUGAAAAUACAUAAUAUUGAAUGUUAUUUAUAAUUGUAACUUUUAAUUUUAUUUAGGAUAUGGAGAUAUCAUUAAUUUAAUAAUAAGUAAUUAAAAAUGAUAUCAUUUACGGAUCAAGAAAUCAUAGGAGGGAUGGCUAGAAAAUAAUUAAACUUAAAAAAAGGAAAAUGGAAAAAAGCUUAGCAGCCUUUGUUGAUAAGGAAAAUUUGCCACAAACAUGAACAACUACAUUAAUUCGUCCCACUCUAAGAUUGUAAAAUUAUAAGAGUCAAGGUUGCUCGUGACUAAAUAAAGAAACUUGCUUAGAUAAGAGAAGAUAAGAAUUGCAAUAAACAAAUUCUGAAAUUUAGAACAUUCAACAUAUAUCAUGUUGUUUCAUUACUUUGAAAGGAUAUUUUUAUAAGAAAUUAGAACAUCCCCUAAGCAUAGGUAAUAAGUACAUAUAUUAGUGGUUACAUUAAUGACCAAAUACAUGCAUCUAAUCUUAUAUACAUGCAUAAUCACAAAGUGUAUGCUUGUGUUAUGGGGCUAAAACUUUAGUCGGGCAAACUGCAUUGCCUUAUAUACAUGCAUCAUAUCAACAUAAAGAACACUUAGAUUCACACAUAUGUUGUCACGCUAAUAUCAUUAAAACAAUUUCAUUUAAAAAAACAAAUUGACAGUUUUUAAAGGAUUAAUAACCAAAUUUAAUUUAAAAUAAAAAAUAAAAACCAAAUUAAUAAAUAUAUAUAGAUUUUAAGAAAUAAAUUUAUCAUAAUACUUUUUAUGUCUACAAUUCUUUCAUGGGUAUGCUUAUAUUACUUUUUGUGUAGUGUCUUGUUUUACAUAGUUUAUAAUUGUCCCAACGAAUUUAAUUUAGAAUUUCUUUUUUUUUUGUUUAUACUGUGUGUUGUGUCAAUUUAUUUAUUUAAAAUGUUUCUUUUAUGUUCUAUAUUUUUUUUUCAUUUGUAAGCUAUUAUAAGAUUAUAUAUUUAUUUAUACAUUAAUAAUUUUUCUUAUGUAAAAUUUUGUACGUUCACAUAUUUUUAUCGUAUUUAUUUUAUUUUCCAUGACACGAUAUUUUUAAUUAUUUUUAAUACUUUUAUAUCAUGUUUUAAUUCGACAAUGUUCCUAGUUUUAUCAAAAUAAUUCAAUUUUAUUCUAAAUCCAUCUAUUUAACAAUUGAGUUAUUACAGAUGUCAUAUAUUUAUACAAUUAUGCUGUUAAAAAACUUAAUCCUAUUUCAUGAAGCAUAGGGAUCAGUAGGUACUUUCCAGUUCUUAUAAAUUAUGGACCAUAUUAUUUAACAUUAAAUUUAUUUUUAAAUAUUUUAAAAAUGGUGAAUAUAGGAUCUUUGUACUAAUAAAAAAAUAAAUAAUAUCCAAUUAUAAUAACAUUAAUAUUUAUUUUUUAUAUGAAUUUUUUUUCAUUUGCAGUUAUACUUCCAACAACAUACUUCAUUUACAAAAUAAAAAAAAUUAAAAAUAUAAUUUUAUUAAACAAUAAGUCUAACAUUGAUAGCUGGAUUUCUAAGGGUAAUUUACUAAUAAAAGCCCAUUUUUUGCAAAAAUUGCCGAAAUGGGCCCAUUAUUUAAUUAUUUAUCGGAAUGGUCCAUUUUCCGGCAAAUCGCGUCCACGUCAGCGCGAUGUUAGGGGAUGCAUCAUCAGGAAAUCGCGGCCACGUCAGCGCGAGAUGCUGACAUGGCAACAAAUCGCUUCCUCAAGGACGCGAUUUGCUGUCACGUCAGCAUCUCGCGCUGACAUGGCCGCGAUUUCCCCGCGCGUGAACAGUGCCCCAACGGUAAAAAAAAACUAUAAAUACCCCCACCCCUUUUUAUUUUUUUACAAACUAAUCCUCUCUCAUAUUUCCUCUCAAUUUCCUCUAAAUUUCCUUCUAAAAUUCUCUCAAAUCCAUAUUUAAUUUCAAUUUCCUCUCAAUUUCCUUCCAAAAUUCUCUCAAAUCCAUAUUUAAUUUCAAUUUGCUUUCAAUUUCCUUUUUAAAAAUAAUUUUAAAAUUUUUUAUAUUUUUAAAAAUCAUAAAAAUUUGUACGAUUUCAUCAAUAGCCGAAUCAUUGACUCGUCUUGAUAAGCAUCACAUAUCGGUGGAACAAAUGAAAAUGGUAAGUGUUAAAUUCAAUUUUUAAAUAUUAUUUAAGAAAUUUUUAUUUAUGAAUUUUUAGAUAAUUAUUAAUUUAUUAUUUGUUAUAAAAGUCUGUAGAUCGGGUAUUGGAAUGCAAUAUCCGAAAUAUGCAUGGUCCUCCAUCACCGUUGGUAGAGAACUACCUGCGGGAAGCGGGUUUUUGGCACGUGGCGACUGUAGGCCGGGGAUGCAAGUUGUACCCGAAACUAAUUAGUGCGUUGAUCGAGAAGCGGAGACCCGAGACGCACACAUUCCAUCUUCCAUGAGGAGAGUGCACUAUCACUCUAGAAGAUGUGAGUCUGCAAUUGGGAUUGCCGGUGGAGGGGCACCCAGUCAUCGGGUCUUGCCAAUCUAGCAAUUGGGAGGCGGUGUGCUACGAGCUUUUGGGUGCUAUUCCGGAUAAAAUGGAGGGAGGUAAAAUCGAGAUGGGCUGGUUACCUGACACAUUCCCUGAUCCGGAUGAAGAUUCAACCGAAAUUGAAAGAAUCCGAUAUGCUCGGGCAUACAUUCUUCAAUUAAUUGGAGGUUAUCUGAUGGCCGACACGUCACAGAGCCGCGUACAUCUAAGAUGGCUGCUGAAACUCGUUGAUUUUAGAGCAGCCGGUGAACUCAGUUGGGGGUCUGCUGUCUUGGCAACAUUGUAUCAGGAGAUGUGCAGGGCGAAGCGACCGAGGAGAGUGAAAAUCGGAGGUUGUCUGUCACUACUGCAGUCAUGGGCACGGUUUCGCUUUCUAUUUCUACGUCCUCGAGUGGACCACCCAUAUACAUUCCACUCAUAACGAGGUAAAUUUUAUAUUAGAUUUUACAAUUAUUAUGUAGAUUUUUAAAAAUAAAAGUAUGCUAAAAAUUUAUUUAAUUAAGUGGAACCAUUCGGUAAGUUAUUCUCGAUUACCUAGCUCUCUUGAAGAUAUACGGCUUCUAUUGGACCAACGGUCGAAAGCACAAGUGAGUAUGAAAUAAAAUAGAUAUUUCCAUACAUUCGCUAGUCGAUUAGUAUUUAGUAUUUAGUAUUAUUAUGUAUAUAACUAAUAUUUCUAUCAUGUUCAUAUAGUUUGAAUGGACACUAUACGAGGAUCCGGCAAUUCGGGCAGUAAUUCUGGAAGAGUUCUUACAAAAUCCGAACGCCUGGCAUGUGAAAGUCGUGUUGAUCAACUACGCAACCGUGGAGCCGCACCAGUCAGACAGAGUGCUACGACAGUUUGGAUGUAGACAACCGAUUCCUGUGGAUCCUGAGGAGUUUGACGAUCAACACAAAGUCGACCUUCGGUAAUUGAAUACGGAUUGACAGAGAUACUGGUCCGAGUACAUGGAAAUAUGGGAAGAUUGGCAUGAAUAUAUACCUACUCGGGAACCAAUCAUUGUUCCGGAGUUAGCGUGCGUUCCAGAAUACAUGCCAUGAUUUAGGAUCCCUGGCAAGCCGUAUUUACUGACACCAAAGGAGAGGUAGCGGUAAAUACAUGUCGAAAGGGAAAGGCGCGGGCCUCUAAAUCCAAGACGACAAGACGACGAAGGUAGCCCUUCAACGAGGCCCAGACAUUCACCCGACUCAUCAUCAGCUGCCAUGCAAUCACCAGGCCCAACGAGAGCACCGACACAGUCACCCAAUGCAGCAGUUCAACCGAUGAUACCCACGCAACCGCCUUUUCAUAUGAUGUCAGGUGCGUUUCCUAGCCCUUAUAUGUAUCCUAACCCUUAUAUCUAUCCUUUUUCGAGUCCUAUGGUAGGUUGGAGUCAAAUGCCCGGUUCAACUCUAUUUCUUAUUAUGCCGAGUGGACCGCCGAUGUAUAGGCCAGCGGUGCACGAGGGAUCACAAGAGGGACCGUCGGGGAGCCCUCUUUUUUACCAAUCCCCAGCAACGUAUGGGUUUCAGACACCGUCGCCGUUCGUGAUGCAAACACCUCCACAUACACUAUUCUUUGAAGGUGGAUCAUUGUCCCAAGUCUGACAACCAGAUGCCGUACCGGAACAACCAGAAUCCCCGCCGGAAGAACAACAAUCGCCGCCGGAAGAACAACAACCGCCGCCGGAAGCCAGAGAAAGGAGGAAUCCAGCGUGUAACCGUCGACGGCCGCCAUGUGGCACUGAAUCCCCCGGGCAUAGACAUUGAUUAAAUGUAUUUAAAAUUAUUUGUAUAAAUAUUUUGAAUAUUUUGAUAUUAUUUGAUGUAAUAAAAUAGAAGUUCAUUUGAUGUAAUAAAAUAAAAAAAAUUUUGAGUUAUUUUGAUAUUAUUUGAUGUAAUAAAAUAGAAGUUUAUUUGAUGUAAUAAAAUAGAAAUUUUUGAAUAUUUUGAAAAUUUUAAUUAUGUUAUUUGAGAAUUCUACUAACCAUUAAUAACCUAAUUAAAUUGAAAACCCUAACCUAAUUAAAUUGAAAACCCUAACCCUAAUUAAAUUGAAAACUCUAACCUAAUUAAAUUGAAAACUCUACCUUAAUUAAAUUGAAAACCCUAAACCUAAUUAAAUUGAAAACCCUAACCCUAAUUAAAUUGAAAACCCUAACCUAAUUAAAUUGAAAGCCCUAAACCUAAUUAAAUUAAAAACCCUAACUCUAAUUAAAUUGAAAACCCUAAUCUAAUUAAAUUGAAAACCCUAACCCUAAUUAAAUUGAAAACCCUAACCUAAUUAAAUUGCUCUAACCCUUAACAUUCACAUAAUGUUAGAUUUGGAAAAAUGUUUUUUCCUGGUACUAACAAUUAAUAAUUUCAUAUAAUUUGAUAAUUUUACUAACCAUUAAUACAAUUUUUUGAGUUAUUAAUUUUACAUUCACAUAAUGUUAUAUUUGGAAAAAUGUUUUGACUGGUACUAACAAUUAAUAAUUUUAUAUAAUUUAAUAAUUUUACUAACCAUUAAUACAAUUUAUCAAUUACUAAUUUUACAAAUAUAAUUUUGUUACAAUUACAUUCAACUAUUGCGAUUAGGGCAUGAUCGACUUGUAUGGCCUGGAUUCCUACACCAUCCGCACAACUUCGUUUGACUGGCUGUUUCUCAGAUAUCCAUAUUGUUACGUAUUCUAGUUGAGUAAGGUCGACCCUUUGGUUUACGACGUAAUUCUCUAUCCGGUAACAGCUUAAAAGGAGCAAGAGAUACAGGCGGCCACUUACGUUCAUCUGGGACCGGUGGGAAAAUGUGUCUCCAUACGCUGUACAUGUUUUCUAAUUUGUACACUUCGUCCACAUACCUCAUCGGAUCCAGACGGAGAUCCUGACAAGCUGUAAUGACAUGAGCGCAUGGAUAACGAAGUGCAUCAAACAUCCCACAGUCACAAGUCCUGUUUCGUAAGUGUACACGAUAUUGCCCGCCAACAACACCUUCGUGUUGUCUGUCAAACUCUGUCACACGAAACCAUAAAUUUCCUCGAUCGUGACACACUGUGUACAUGGUGUUUGCCCUCGCCUUGGCCUUGUUAAUUUCUUGAACUACCUUACUGCACCAUACAUGGCCUCCCUGCAUCUGGCCUACAUAACUUGCUGCUCGCUUUGGAAAUAGCGCCGCCAAACGAAAAUAUGUCUCUCGCACAACCGAUGUUAUCGGUAGAUGGCGCGUUCCUUUAAGAACAGAAUUUAUUCAUUCAGCCAGGUUCGACGUCAUAUGGCCAUAUCGUAGGCCUUUGUCGUAUGCUUGUGCCCACUGUUCGAAACGUAUGUUACAAAGGUAGUCCUCCCCUUCUACGUUAAUUAAACGUAAAAUUACCAACAUCUCGUGAAAACGGUCUUUAUUUAUUUCAUACCCUGCCAAUAUAAGAUCAUAGCGAAUAAUUUAUACCACUUCUACCAAUAAAACUAAUUCAAAUUGACAAACAAAAUAACACAUAUAUAGAUUAAAUACUCAUGUUGGUCACUUGUCGUCGUUCGCUCUUAGAUGUAUAUUUCCUGUAGUAGUUCGAAGCAAUGUGUCUUAGGCAAUAUCUAUGGUGUGUGCGCUGCCAUAAGCUUCUCUGUCGAUCAAAUGUAGCUAGUAUACCGGUGCCCCGAUCUGAAAUAACACAGAUAUCAUGUUGGGGGCAUACAUGCCUCCUUAACCUAGACAGAAACAAAUUCCAGUCAUCAGACGACUCCCCUAGUGUUAUUGCAAAUGCAAUUGGAAGAAUUCUCCCACCGCCAUCCUAUGCCACUGCAAGCAAUAACCGAUGAGUAUACCUACUGAACAUAAAGGUACCGUCAAUUUGUACUAACGGCUUGCAGUAUGAAAAUGCGUCUCGGCAUUGCUUAAAGGUCCAAAAUCGGCGUUUGAACACUUUUUGUCCACGUAGCAAUCGGUCAUUGUAGUUCGCAUCUUCCGUUUCAAGGUCUGUGAUGGCACCUGGGACGUAUCUCUCUAGCACCUGACACCACUGCCAUAUUUCAUUAUAUGAGGCGUCCCACCCACUAUGCAUCUUCUCCAACGCCUUUUGCUUAACUAUCCAAGCCUUGCGGUAAGAGGGCGUGUACCCCAUUUGGCAACGGAUACUGGCAAUUAACACCGGCACUGAAGUCUUGGGAUCUACUUUUACCGUGGGCAGUAUCAAGCUAGCUAACAUAGCUAAAUCCAUCUUGGGAUGAUCUUGUAAAACACCUAUUAACGGAGUACAUUAAAUAAUGCAACAUUACAUAAUAAAAGUAUUCUUCAGAUACCGUCAAUACUGUACCUGCAGCACAUGUAUGUGGACCUUUGUACUUUUUUAUCUCCCACAACCCUGUCCUUUUCCUUAACGAGACGUAGAUUUUCCAUGAACAUGUGCCGUCUUGCACCACACACUUCGCCUCGAACUUAUCAGAUUUGGAUUUAACGACGUGGUAGUUAACGCCGUUUUUGAUGCUAUGUUGUUUCAAAGCACCAAUAAAACUAUCCUUGUUGGUAAACUGAUUACCAACUUCAAAUUCACCGGAAUCUACCCUCGAACUUGUACGACCACGCAACCGAUGUGGUAGAUCUGGAAACUCUAGCGCAUCAUCUGCAGACAGAUCGACAUUAUGCAAGUGGGUUGGAGGUGAGUAUGCUCUGAAUCGUGGAUUUUCUUCUUCGUCUGAACUCCUUUCACCAUCUUCAGAUUCUGUUGAAAUAGGCUCCGGUUCAGAAAAUAAGCCAACUUCUACACCAUCCGGCCCGGGCUCUCGAGGUGGAUCCACAUCGGAGUCAUCUUCUAACCCACAAUCAUCUACAUCGUACGAGGUCCCCUCACCGGUUGACGUCGUAGGGAGUAUGUCAUCCCUUCUUCUCAGCAUUUGAUAACGUCCCCAAUUGGAUGGAGAUUGCCACCCACUAGAACUUGAUGUCGUUCCCCGGUACGUAUUUCUAGCAUCAAACGUCGAGCCACCGACGUACAUGUCUCAUCCACUGACAGAGUGUCUUGCAGGGGAUGUGCAUUCGACAUUGCCACCGAACAUGGGCUAUUCCGUAUUUUAUAACCCGCUAAUCGAGUGUUGGCCAGGGGUCGUGUAUACAUCUCGAACACCGGUCGUAGGUACAUCAGUUGGCGAUGUAAAUUGUACAUAUAACUCAAUAUAAGGUGCUCUACUAGCAAGAUGAGUCUGCACCAUUGCCUCCAAGCUACGAGCACCUUUUAUGCCGAACGAGUCAUAUGUCAUCGGAUCAACAGAAGAACAAAAUCGAUACGUGAUUGACAGAAAUUUCAUUGGUGUCGUUCUGAAAAUUUUACGCCUAAUUCUUUUACGAAGUUCUGUCAAAUCUAUGUUUUGGUUAAAAAUCAGUCGCACCGUAUUCUCCGACAAAAAAAUAACACCAUUCUCGGUGUGGCAAACCUCACUAUCGUAGUAAAUAACAGCACUAAUACGUUCACUCAUAUUUGAAACUCUAACCUUCUUAGCCUCACUAUAUUGAGAGGAAAUUGAAAUUAAAUAUGGAUUUGAGAGAAUUUUGGAAGGAAAUUUAGAGGAAAUUUAGAGGAAAUUGAGAGGAAAUAUGAAAGAGGAUUAGUUUGUGAAAAAAUAAAAAGGGGUGUGGGGGUAUUUAUAGUUUUUUUGACCGUUGGGGGGCAACGGUCAAAUUUUUGACCGUUGGGGCACUGUUCACGCGCGGGGAAAUCGCGGCCACGUCAACGCGAGAUGCUGACGUGGCAGCAAAUCGCGUCCUUGAGGAAGCGAUUUGUUUCCAUGUCAACAUCUCGCGCUGAUGUGGCCACGAUUUCCUGACGCGUCCCCUGACAUCGCGCUGACGUGGACGCGAUUUGCCGGAAAAUGGACCAUUCCGAUAAAUAAUUAAAUAAUGGGCCCAUUUCAAUAAUUUUUGUAAAAAAUGGGCUUUUUUGUGUAAAUUGUCUGAUUUCUAAAGCUGCAGUUUUUGACAUUGAAUGAAACUCAAACAGAGAAAAAUACAUCUUACAGGAAAAGGAAAGAAAAAAUAGAUGAUGUACAACUAAGGAAAGAAACUGACAGAGGGUGGCCCUACAUCAUGAUAAGGAUGAUAGGCACCCAAACCGUAAGCUUUACUACAAAACGCCAAAAAUACAGGGAGUAAAAUCAAAACUCUUGACAAAAGGGAAUGGAAUUGGCAAUGGAAACACAAAACAGAAAGUAAAGUCAAAACUCUUGACAAAAGGGAUGAUGGAAUUGGCGAUGGAAACAUAAAAUAGAACAGCAACACCUUAAGUCCCCUGCAUCAUUCUCUCAACAUAAACCAAAGGAUUAAGUCUCCAUUAGAAUAAGUUUUAUUUGUUUAUGCUCGUUUAUUUAUUUUGAUAAAUCAACAUAAACAACAACCCAACUGUUCAUUUACAACCUUAGCUUUAAGCAAUUAAACGAUAAGUCGACUUUACAAGUAAACGAUUAGCCCUAGGCAACGAAAGGCCGAACUUCUCGGUCAUGUCGAGUUCAUUAGGCAACAUCCCACCAGGCAACUCCCAAUCAAAGCAAUGGGCUAAUUGAGCUAAAAUAAUACGCAUGUUGACUAGAGCUAACUGCAUUCCGGGACAUCCUCUACGACCGGUUCCGAACGGAAUGAGUUCAAAAUCAUGCCCUCGAAGGUCUAUCUUCCUAUCCUUGAAUCUUUCUGGAAAGAACUCUUCAGCAUUGCUCGACCAUAUCUUGGGGUUUUGCCCCAUGGACCAAGUGUUCACCAAAAGCCGCGACUUCUUAGGUAUGAAAUACCCAUUAACGGUGACAUCUUCGGUCGACUCGUGCGGGAUUAACAACGGCGCCACAGGAUGCAACCUGAAACUCUCUUUGAUGACCAUAUCCAAAUAGGCAAGUUUCGGUAGGUCCGACUCUUCUACCAUUCUAUUCCUUCCGACAACAAUUUCUAGCUCUUUCUGGAGAGCAACCAUGACUCGAGGAUGCUUUAGAAGUUCUGUAAAUGUCCACUCAAUGGUCGUGGAUGUAGUGUCGAAGGAAGCUGCCACCAUGUCCACCAUUAUAGCCUUGAUGUUUUCUCUACCAAAGAUGUAUGGUUGAUCUUCAUCGUUAGGGUUUAUGGGUGUAUCCAACAUCGAAACCAUCAGUUGAAAGAAACUUCUAUAAGGUUUUUGGUCAUCCAUGUUAAUCCCUUGUUGGUAUUCAUCUAUCAUUUUGUCAAAAAAUUCGUGAAGGCCACUGCUCGCCUUCUUAAGCCUUCUUGUAUAUCCCUGCAGCGUAAAGAUAGAUAUGAUAGAAUCAAUUUUAUAUUGGUUGUAUUCUUCAUUAUAAUUAUUCUUUGUGAAAAAAUCAACUAGUCAUUCAAUCAAAUAUUAAGACUUCCGAGUUCCACUCUGCAUCUAGUAAGAUUACCAUAACACAAUUUAUUAUGCUUUAAAAUUGGUAUUAUUAUUAGUACAAAAAAAUAAAUAAAUUAUGAAAAAGAAAAAUAGUACAUAAAAAACAGGAUAUAAGGAGAAAAAAAAAACGUUACCUGAAGAUCAAGUGGAGCAAGGAAAGGCACAUAAUCCGAGAGAUUGAAAACCCCAGAUAAGUGCAGGGCCUCAUCAACCAGCGGCUUAAAAUCGAUUUUAUCAUCCAUGGACCGCCCGAAUAACACUUUCGACAUCAUUUCUUCAAGAACCUUAGCCACCGCCAGGCUAAGGUUUAUUGUUUCACCCACCGCCGCUACCUUCCUCACUGAUUCAACCAAUAACCCCACAUCCGCCUUCCUUAUCGGGGCAAAACAUUCAACUUCGGAAGCACUGAGGAAAUGCAAAAUACACCAUUUCCGUACAGUUCACCAGUAAGAACCGUACUGGGUAAAAGCCAAGGCCUUGCCACCAUAUGUGAAGUAUUUCGCGGAUUGGACUUUAGGCCUGGAAGCAAAAACGACGUCAUGGACCUUGAGGAACAGUUCAGCGGCUUCGGGUGAUGAUACCACGAUGGUUGGUACUUUGCCUAGCAUUAUCGACAUGAUGGGUCCAUAUUUUUUGGCGAGAUAGUGAAGACUUUGGUGUGGGAGGUUCCCUAGCAUGUGGAUGUUACCUAUGAUGGGAAGAGGGGCAGGACCGGGUGGAAGUUUCCGGCCAUUUUUGUUGCGGUUUGGUGAGCUGAAGAAGUAGAUAAAGGAACAGAGAGUUCCAAGGAGGACGAAGAGUAAGGUUAAUGUUGAAGAAGACAUUUGGGAGGGAAGCCAAUCACAAUAGCUGAUAGCCAUUGGGGAUUGAUUGAUUGAGUACUUGUAGAUGGAAGCAACCGAUGGCAGCUGCAAGUCGGGAGAAUUCGCCAAAUAUGUCGAUUUUAACAAAAACUACGGAGUUCGACCCCCCCUUUUUUCUUUUUUCUUUUUUAAUGUAAGGAAAUAAGUAUAGGUAAAAGCUUUGCGGGCUUAAUUUGCCAGUUGAAUUACUUACCAUGGUAAGAAAAUAUUAUUAUAAUUUUUAUUUUAAUGAAUAUUAAUUUUAAGUUGUUAAUGUUAUUAUAUUUUUUUAUUUUUUUAUGUUUAUAUAAUCAAGAUGAAGAUUAAAUUAUUGAAAUUUAUAUACACACAAUUUAAGUGCAAGAGCACCAUGUGUUAUUGAACAAUACUUGAAAGAGGCGAGUUUCUUACACGUGUCUCAUAUGCUCAACGAGACUAAAUUGGAGUCUGCACUUAUCAGUGCUUUGCUGGAGAGAUGAAGAUCCAAAACACAUACAUUUCAUCUAUCAUGUAGUGAGUGUACGAUUACAUUUAAGGAUGUAUCAUUACAACUCGAUCUGCCAAUUGAUGAGGCAGUCAUUACAGGAGUGGUGCACAUUGGGGAUUGGAGACCAAUUUGCCACCAGUUAUUAGGCAAGGUGUCAGACAAGUUUAGUGGUAAUCAAAUAUAUAUGAAAUGGUUAGAAGAUAAUUUCUCGCAUCACAAAACUCUUCUAGUGCAGUUGAAAGACAACAAUUAACUCGGGCAUUUAUACCUUCUAAUGCCAUAUAAAUCUCAAAAUUUGGUACAUUUAAGGGAACUCCUAUAACUAUUCGACCUAAAAGAAACUAGGCAACUCAACUGGGGAUCAAUUGUCUUGGCUACAUUGUAUCGAAAUUUGUGUCGGACAAUAGAAGCACAAAAAUUAAAAUUGGUGGUUGUAUAUUCCUUCAAUCAUGGGUAUAGUAUCGCUUACCAUUUUUACAUCCCGAGAAAACUCCCAUUAUCAAUUAUUACUCGUAAUAAGGUAACAUUCAUUUAAUAAUAUAGUUAUCAUAUUAUCUUUGUCAAAACCAUUUUUUUUAACAAAAAUUAAUUGUCGACUUAAAAACGACAAUUGGAGUCCCCACCAAUUUUUUAUUAAGGUGUGAUCGUUUCACCUUGAAAACGAUUUAAGGUCUACGAAUUUUGAGAAAAUAGGUUCGGGAAUUUGUUACGCACGAGGAAGGGUUAGCACCCUCGUAACGCCCAAAAUAGGUACCGAAUUGAUUGUUUAAUGUCUUGGUGUCGAAAAUUUGAAAAGAUUUUAAAAGAAAACUUUUUAACUUGAAUGAAUUAAAAUAAUAAAACAUUCUUAUUUUAAAGAAAUUAAUCAUCACACCCAGUGAGUUAGGGCACAACAUUUUAAUUUUCAAAAUUAAGCUUGUCUUUUGAUUUAAAACUCAUGCAUUUAAAUUUCAAAAGGAUAUUCGAUUAUUUGGGUUAAAAGAAAAAAAUUGAAACCCAGUAAGUUAGGGCACGAUCACUCGAAUUUCCCAAAUACAGAAUAUUGCCUUUAUUAUUUUUAGAGAAAUCCUCAUCUCGAGAAAACAAUAUGUCAUAUCCAAUGCGUUAGGACACAACGUAUUGAUUUCCCGAUAAUGAGCUUUUAUGUUUUUUUUUAUUAAAGAGCACUCCUGAUUAUUUAGAUUCAACGAAGAAAAUUGGAACCCAAUACAUUAGGGCUCAAUCCUCUCGAAAAUCCCAAAUAUCGAAUAUUGCCUUAUUUUGAAAGCCUUUGAACAAAAAUAGUUUUAAUGCCUUGAUAAAACCAAAUAUAUUUUCUUUUUAAAAAAAUGAUAAAAUGUUAAUAUACACCAUAAAACAAAUACUUUAAUAUGAAUUAUAUAUGUAUAUGUAUUUACAAAAUAUGUACAUAUAUAUAAGUACAAUAUAUAAGUAAAUUUGAAAAUAUGUAUAUGCAUAUAUUAAAACACACACAUAUAUAUAAGUAUACAUAUAAAAAAGAAAAGGAAUGAAAUAUAUAUAUAAAAAAAUUAUAAUAAUUUCUAAAAAAUAUGUAUAUAUAUAUUAUAAAAAAUACAUGUAUAUGUGCAUGGAUUAUAAAAUAAGGAAAAUGUAUAUGUAUUAUAAAAUAUAAAUGUAUAUAUAUUACAUAUAAAGUAUAUACGUGUAUUAUAAAAAGUAUGUACGAAUGCAAUGGUUAUAAUAAUAAAUACCAUAGUAAUCAUAUUAUACAAUAAUAAGAGUAAUAAUAAAAAUAACUAAAUAAUGAACAAGGGACUGAAUCGAAACUAAACAAAAUUUUAGGGUCGAAAUUAAAAAAUAAAAAAAUGGAAAAGGACUAGAUCAUAUUGCGCAUGGAAUGAGGAGGACCAAAUAGGGAAAUAUUCCCACGCCGGUCAAAUGGCACUGUUCCAGUGGGGCGCAUGUAUAUGGUCUAUGGACCAAAUUAAAACAGAAGGAAAAAAGGUGGCCAAAAUUUAAAAAAAAACAUGAAAUAAAUGCAUUAUAGUCGAAUAAAAAAAUAGGGGACUAAUCGUGCAAAUUCCCCUUCCAUACUAAAACGAGCGGAUCUAGCGGGUCGAGUCGUCGGGUUUUGGCCUAUACGGCGUCGUUUUGGGCCCACUGAAACAGGCCUAAACGACACCGUUUUGCAGUCAUUAUAAAACCAAAAUUUCUUUAAAAAACUCAUUUUUCUUUCCCGUUUUGACACAAAAUAGCAGAGAAACCCUCUACUAGGGUUUCGUUUUCUAUGCCGCCGCCGAUCAAGGCCUUCCCACGGUCUCAGUCGCCGACCUAGUCUCCGAUCGCGACGGAGAAAGGAACAGAACGCGACAAUACCGGGUAAGUCUCUCUCCUCCCUCUUUUUUAAAAGAAAAAAAAAAGACAAAGAGGAAAAAACCUCGAAAGAAAAUCGAAAAGAACGCAAAAAAAGAAAAAGAAAAAGAAAAUAAAUGAGACGAUUAACAAAGACGCAGUUCACCUUUAUUUUUUGUUAUAACUUUCCUUUAUUUUCCUUAUCUGUUUGAGAAUCUUUCUUUUUUUUAAUGCAAAAACAAAUCGGCCUUUUUAUAGCCCGGGGAAAAAAAAUACAAUUCCUUUAAUUGACACUAUUUUCUUUUUGUUUGACUCUUUUAGUCCGUUUUUACAGGUGAUCGUGGGGGAUACGGCGCACAUGGAGGAGGCCGGUUCCGAAUCUUGCGACGGCUGGGGUCUGCUGGAGGCCGUAUGCUGUUAGGGUUUCCCGACCCUUUCUCUGCCAUUGGUUUCGGGCUUGGGUUAGUUGGGUUUUAGGUUUAGGGUUAUUGGGCUUGUAAAAAAACAGGACUGCCUAUUUUUGUUUUGUAUGGGCCCGAGCCAAUUGGGCCUGUUACAAUCUUUUUUUCAUUAUUAUAUUUUUGGAAUAACAUAUUAUUUGAACAGAUGGAAAAAUGUGGGUAUACCAAACAAGCUUGAAGAUAUUUGGUUAUUGUUAAAUCAAUGGUUAAAAGUUGAGGUCAGUUUUUGAAUUUUUUUUAAUUACAUAAUAAUUAUGUAAGGAUUUGAAAUUUAAUAUUAGGUAUGUAUGAAAUUUAGAAUUUCAUAUUAUAAUUUAGAUGGAUGUUAUACUCUGAUCCGAGAAUUGAAGAAUGCAUCCCGUCUAAAUUUUUUACGAAUCGUAAUAUCUUGCAUGUCAAAGUGUCAUUAAUAGUUUUUGCAUUGUCUAUUUUUAAUAAAUAUAUUUGAAGUAAUUUUUUUAAUAUAUUCUAUUUGAACUUUUUUAUAUUUAAAAAAAUAUAUACAUACUUUUCAUAUAUUUUUUUAAGAAUUAGGACCAAAUUAAUAGAAUAUAUAAACAUUGAUGGUUUAAUUUGUUACUAUAUCAAUCAAAAUUAUGUACAAUUGAUGGAAAAUAUUAUUUUCCGUGAUUAAUUGUCCUUAGUUGCUCACUUUGAAAAUGAACAAUGAUUAAAUAGCUUUGUUGUUUUCAGUAGGACCAAUUUGCUUAAUAUCAAAAUUGAGAGAAGCUAAAAAGGAAAUUUUACCUAAAUCUGCUCGUCUAUAUGGGAAGGCUUUCCUUCUUUUAGCUACAAUUGUAUUUAUUAAUUCAUAGAUUUGUCGGGAUAACAAAAAAAUGAUAAACAAUUAUAAUGAGACAAUGGCCAUUACUUGCACAGACCACCGGAUCAAUCACAAAUGCCGGCACCUAAAAUCAUUUAGUUAUUUUGGAUAAAUCUAACGUGAUGUAAAGUAUAUAUAUUUAUAAAAACUAUAUGAAUUUAUUUACAUUGAUAACAUAAACAAGAACCCAAAUGUUCAUUUACAACCUUAACUUUAAGCAAUUAAACGAUAAGUAGGUUUUGCUUAUUAGCCCUCGGUAUUGAAAGGCCGGACUUCUCAGUCAUGUCGAGUUUAUUAGGCAACAUUCUAUUAGGCAACUCCUAAUCAAAACAAUGGACUAAUUAAGCUAAAAUUAGACGGAUGCUGGUUAGGCCUAAUUGCAUUCCAGGGCAUGCUCUGUGACCAGUUCCGAAAUCAUGCCCUCGAAGGUCUAUCUUGCUAUCCUUGAAUCUUUCUGGAAAGAACUCUUUGACAUUGCCCGACCAUAGCUUGGGGUUUCGCCCCAUGGACCAAGUGUUCACCAAAAGCCGUGACUUCUUAGGUAUAUCCAUUAACGGUGACAUCUUCGGUCGACUCGUGCGGGACUAACAACAGCGCCACAGGAUGCAACCUGAAACUCUCUUUGAUGACCAUAUCCAAAUAAGCAAGUUUCGGUAGGUUCGACUCUUGUACCAUUCUAUUCCUUCCGACAACACUUUCUAGCUCUUUCUGGAGAGCAACCAUGUCUCAAGGAUGCCGUAGAAGUUCUGAAAGUGUCCACUCAAUGGCUGUGGUUAUAGUGUCAAAGGAAGCUACCACCAUGUCCAGCAUUAUCGCCUUGAUGUUUUCUCUAGCAACGAUGUAGGGUUGAUCUUCAUCGUUAGGGUUCAUGGGUGUACCCAACAAGGAAACCAUCACUUGAAAGAAACCUGUAUAAGGUUUUUGUUCAUCCAUGUUAGUCCCUUGUUGGUAUUCAUUUAUCAUUUUAUCAAAAAAUUCGUGAAGGCCACUGCUCGCCUUCUUAAUCCUUCUUGCAUAUCCCUGCAGCGGAAAGAUAGAUAUGACAGAAUCAGUUUUAUAUUAAUUUUAUUCUUCAUUAUAAUUAUUCUUUGUGAAAAAACUAACUAGUCAUUCAAUCAAAUAUUAAGACUUCCAAAUUCCACACUGCAUCUAAUAAGAUUACUAUAACACAACUUAUUAUACUUUAAAAUUGUAUUAUUAUUAGUACGAAAAAAUAAAUAAAUUAUGAAAAAGAAAAUAGUACAUAAAAAACACAGGCUAUAAGGAAAAAAAAGAUGUUACCCGAAGAUGAAGUGGAUCAAAGAAAGACGCAUAAUCCGAGAGAUUGAAAACCCUAGCUAGAUAAGUGCAUUCCCUCAUCAACCAGCGGCUUAAAAUCGAUUUUAUCAUCCUGGUGAAAAUUUUGUCGAGGUGACAUUAAAAAUGGAUGAGAUGCAAUCACAAUUUCAACAUGGAUUGUAUAUAAUAAUAAUAAAAACAAAUUUGAACUUUUUUUCCAUGAAUCGAAAAUUCUCAAACAUUGCGUCUACUUUGUGUUUUUGUAUAAGAAAAACCAUGAAAAUCAAUUUAGCUUUUUGUUUUUAGGUUUUUUUUUAUGCCAUUUGUAACUAAACUUUAUAUAAUUAACAUUAAAAAUGUGUGUUUUCUUAAUUCUAUUUCCUUCAACUCCUAUUUUUCUACUUCAAUUUCUAAUUUAAAAAUGUGUUAACUGUGCUUUAAAAAAUUAUUAUGUGUAUUUUUUAAUAUUUUAUUAUACAAUAUUUAUCAACCUUUUAAUUUUUAUAAUAAUAAUGUACCAAAUUUUUUUUCUUAUAAAUAAACAUAUUGUAAUAAACCUUGAAAGGUUGAGACGACUUUUAAAACACAUGAAAGAUUGAAGCCUAAGAGAAAAUUAAAUGAACUUUUUGAUACAGCACACAGGGAUGGUAGUAAACUUCAACCAAAGUUAUGCCUUUAUUUUAAUAUUUACACUUCCUUGUUGAUAAAUGGUGCAAGAGCAAGUCUAAUAUAUUGAAGAUAGCUGGUUGUCUAUAUGUGGACCUAAAUCAAUGUGACUUUUGGCUAAUAUAUAUUGAAAAUAGGUGGUAGUUGAGUACUUGAGUGUCGAUUUCUAUAUGUAGACCUAAAUCAAUGUGACUUUUAUGGCUAAUAUUGAAGGUAGGUGGUAGUUGAAUCAAUGUGCCAUUAAGAGGGUUUUUUUACUAAAAUAUUAUAAAAGAAAAUAAAAAUAACUAAAAUAUUAUAUUUUUUUAUUUACAAAAAUAUACAAAAAAAAUAGAAAAAAAAACUGCAGCCGAUUUGACAAUACCCUAGAGGAGGGUAUCUGAUUGGCGGCACCAAAGGUGCCUAACUGAUUGGCGACACCGAUGGUGCCAUUUCCAUGGGCGACACCGAUGGUGCCAUUCCAAUGGGCGGCACUAGUGGUGCCCAUAUAAUGGUCCCCAUUCGGCUAGUGGGUUAGGAUACAAUGUCUCAAAUUCCCGAUAUGCGAAUGAAUGCCAAAAUUUACUUAUUUAAAAGAUAUUUGGCUAUCUCGGAUUUAAAAAGGAGAUCACGACUAGUAAGUUAGGACACGAUCUUUUUUAAUUCCCGAGAUCGUUUAAAACUUGAGUUUGAAAAGAUUUGUGUAUUUAUAUUUAUUGUGAAAAUCGAAACUCAGUAAGUUAGGGUACGAUCUUCUCAAAUUUUAAAAUACAAAAUUUUGUUUAUUUUGAAACCAUAUUAAAUAAAAUUAAUUUAGCAUGAAAUGGUAGGAAUAAAUACAAUAUUAACUUGUAAAACAAAAUGAUGAUGAUGAUACAAGCACAAAUAAUAUAAGCAAUAAUCAAAGAGAGAUAAAAUACAUAAAAAAAACAAGUAUAUGAAAUAAUAAAUAAAUAAAUAAUUAAAGCAUUUCGUAAAAAUAAUAUCAAACACAUGACUAAAUAAAUAAAUACCGAAUAGUACAAAAAUAAUAAUACAAAUAGUAGGAGAUAAAUUAUUUAUGUAUGUAUAUAAAUAUUUAAAUUAUAAAUUAUAAAGUGAGUGAAUAUAUAUAUGUAUAUAAAAAUGAAUAUAUAAGGGUACGUAUAUAUAUAUAGAUAGAUCAUAAAAAUAUGAAUAUUAUAUAUAUAUAUAAUAUGAAAACGCGUAUAUGUAUGUAUAUAACAAAGAUUCCAAAUAAAAAAAUAAAUGAACAACUUAAUAAUAACAAUAAUAAUAUUAUUUUAUAGAAAAAAAAGAAAAAUAAAAAAUGACGAAAGGACUAAAUUAAACUUUGAAACAAGAUUCGGGGUUUAAAAUCGCAAAUACAUAAAAUGGGUUUAUAAGGUACCGAAAUAAAACGUGCUUAAAGCGCGAGGGAUCUGUUGGGAAAUAUUCCCUUACACUGAAACGCUGCGUUUCGACCGAGGGGGGGCAUGGUCUUAGGACCAAAUCGAAAAACAAACUAAAUUCACGGGCCAAAUAACGAAUAACCAAAAAGGAUCAGAUCGGCUACGGCGUAAAAGCGAAGGGGGCUACUGCGCAAAUAUCCCCCUAAAGCUAGACGCGCAGACCCUCCGGGUCGGAUCGGGUCGACGCGUGGGCCUGGGGGCCAAAAACGGCGUCGUUUUCUAUUGCUAUUUAAACACCCCUUUUUUUAUUUUUUCAUUUUAGCAACAGUUUUUUUUAAUUUCAAAAACAUUCCAUUUUCUCUCAAAAACCCUACCCUUGGGUCCUCUUAGCGCCGCCGUUGCGCUUGCCGCACCGCCACCACCUCCGACGGCCGACGAAGCACCAGAUGGGCGAUUGAAACUCCGUAACGGUGAGUUUCUCCUCUUUUUCUUUAUGUAUUUUAUUUUCGUAUUUUUUAGAAAAAAAAAUAGAUUAAAAAAAUAUAAAAAGAUAAAAUAAAGAAAUAAAGAAAAAUCAAUCCUAAAGAAAGUAACCUUUUUGUAUUUCUGAUGUUUUUUGCAAAAUCGGGGGCCCCCUUUAUAAUGGUUUUUCAAUCGGUUUUGAACCAAAAAUGAUGCCCCCUUUUCGUUUCUUACAAAUCGGCUUUAUAGCCAAAAGAAAAUAAAAAUUUUGGUCUUGUCUCCUUCUGCUUCUGCUUGUGUUGCGUGUUUGCAGGGUGAUGGAUGAGCGGCGCGACGUCAGAGGCAGGUGCGGAUGGGACGUAGCGAACGGCGAUGGCAGAGGGGUGGGUACUAUAGAGGUGUACGGCGCAUAUGGGGGAAACUAGGGUUCUGAAACCCUAGUUUUUCAUUGGGUUUUGGCUGUAUUUGGGCCUAUUGUUUGUAUUUGGGCUGGUCCAAUUAAUUUUGUAAUGUAAUUGGGCCGUUUGGGCUGAAGUUUGUUUUGCUGGUAGGGCCCGGGUGAAAUUGGGCUUCUACAGCUGCCCCUAUUUGCUCGUUGUCGUGUAACGAGAACAGAGCAAAGACUAAGAAAGACCAAUUUCACCCGGACUCGUUAAUUCUUGAUUUGCUCUGGUGCCUCUCUUCUUCAGGUAGCCUUCUUCCAAUCCACUGUGUCUUGUUGCUUCAAUCCACUCCACUGCACUUCAAAAAGAUACGGCUCGUAACUUCAAUCUUCUUCGCAGCAACUUCAGGGGGACGAGAUUGGUUUUAGUUUGCUCCACUGCAACGUCAAGGAGAUAAGACUUGUAUCUUCAACUUGCCCCACUGGAACUUCAAGGGGAUAAGGUUAGUGACUUCGAUCUGCUUCGCUACCGGUACAGGGAGACAAGAUCUAGUGUUUUCAAUUUGCUUUACUACCGGUACAGGAAGACAAGAUCUGCUAUCUUCGAUCUCUUCCGCUGCCAAAUACAGGAAGACAAGAUCUGCUAUCUUCGAUCUCCUCCGCUGCCAAAUACAGGAAGACAAGAUCUGCUAUCUUCGAUCUCCUCUGCUGCCAAAUACAGGAAGACAAGAUCUGUUGUCUUCAACCAGUUCCGCUACAACCGAGAGAGGCAAGGUUUGUGUCUUCGAUCUACUUCACUGUCAAUGUAGGAAGGCAAGAUCUGUUGUCUUCAACUAGCUCCGCUACAACCGAGAGAGGCAAGGUUUGUGUCUUCGAUCUGCUUCGCUGUGAAGGCAGGAAGGCAAGAUCUGUUGUCUUCAACCAACUCUACUAAAACCGAGAGAGGCAAGGUUUGUUUUUGGUCUGCUUCACUGUUAACGCAGGAAGGCAAUAUCUGUUAUCUUUAACCAGCUCCACUGCAACCGAUUGAGGCAAGGCUUUGUUUUCGAUCUGCUUCGCCGUUAAUGUAGAAAGGCAAAAUCUGUUAUCUUCAACCAGCUCCACUGCAACUGAUGGAGGCAAGGUUUUGUUUUCGAUCUGCUUCGCUGUCAACGCAGGAGGCAAGAUCUGCUAUCUUUAACCAGCUCCACUGCAACCGACAGAGGCAAAGCUUCGUUUUCGAUCUGCUUCGCUGUCAAAGCAGGAAGGCAAAAUCUGUUGUCUUCAACCAGCUCCACUAAAAUCGAGAGAGACAAGGUUUGUUUUUGGUCUGCUUCGCUGUUAACGCAGGAAGGCAAGAUCUGUUAUCUUUAACCAGCUCCACUGCAACCGAUGGAGACAAGGCUUUGUUUUCGAUCUGCUUCGCUGUCAAGGCAGGAAGGCAAGAUCUGUUGUCUUCAACCAGCUCCACUAAAACCGAGAGAGGCAAGGUUUGUUUUUGGUCUGCUUCGCUGUUAACGCAGGAAGGCAAGAUCUGUUAUCUUUAACCAGCUCCACUGCAACCGAUGGAGGCAAGGCUUCGUUUUCGAUUUGCUUCACUAUUAACGCAGGAAGGCAAGAUCUGCUAUCUUUAACCAGUUCCACUGCAACCGAUGGAGGAAAGGUUUCGUUUUUGAUCUGCUUCGCUGUUAACGCAGGACGGCAAGAUCUGCUCUCUUUAACCAGCUCCACUAAAACCGAGAGAGGCAAGGUUUGGUUUUGGUCUGCUUCGCUGUUAACGCAGGAAGGCAAGAUCUGUUAUCUUUAACCAGCUCCACUGUAACCUCGGGGAGAUAAGAUCUGAAAUUCUUCGGUCUACUCCACUGUAACCUCAGUGAGAUAAGACCUGAUACGAUCUACUCUACUGUAACUUCAGAGAGAUGAGAUCCUUUAUUUUAAUCCGCUCCACUGUAACUUCAGGGAGACAGGAUAGUGUCUUGGAUCUGCUCCGCUGUAAUCUCAGGGAGAUAAGAUCUCUGGCUUCAAUCUACUCCACUAUAACCUCAGAGAGAUAAAAUCUGAAAUUCUUUGGUCUACUCCACUGUAACCUCAGGGAGAUAAGACCUGAUGCGAUCUACUCUACUGUAACAUCAGAGAGAUGAGAUCCUUUAUUUUAAUCCGCUCCACUGUAACUUCAAGGAGAUAGGAUAGUGUAUUGGAUCUGCUCCGCUGUAAUCUCAGAGAGAUAAAAUCUCUGGCUUCAAUCUGCUCCACUGUAACCUCAAGGAGAUAAGAUCUGAAAUUCUUCGGUCUACUCCACUGUAACCUCAAGGAGAUAAGACCUGAUGCGAUCUACUCUACUGUAACUUCAGAGAGAUGGGAUCCUUUAUUUUAAUCCGCUCCACUGUAACUUCAGAGAGAUAGGAUAGUGUCUUGGAUCUGCUCCGCUGUAAUCUCAGGGAGAUAAGAUCUGAUACGAUCUACUCUACUGUAACUUCAGAGAUAUAAGAUUCUUUAUUUUAAUCCACUCCAUUGUAAUCUCAGGGAGAUAGGAUUACCAGCUUCAAUCUGCUCCGCUGUAAUUUCAGGGAGAUAAGAUCUGAUAUUCUUCGGUCUAUUCCCUAGGGAACACUACCUGUGUAAUGAACCUAAUUAUGCCUAAUGAUUAGGAUGGCAUGAUCAAAAUGAAUUAAAUGCUCCUAACUAGACAUGUGUGAAUGGUGUUUGCAUGAAUGCAGAAUUUUAUUUUUCGUGAAUGAUCUCGCUUAGGUUAUCAUUACUCGAAGUUUAUUAAGGCUUUGUCAUCGAAGUGCUAUAACACCUUCCUUCACGACUGGCGUUUUCUGAAGAAACAUUUAGCCAGGCUGCCCCUACUGUAAACCUCAAAGUUAUAUCCACUGGGACGCCAAAAUUUGUACCAUCUUUCUCCCGCUAUAAUACAAGGGUAUAAAUAUGUGGCUUUUCCUCUGUCUUUUUUUGUCACAAUUCAGGAUCUGAAUCGUUCUAGUUUCUUAUACCAUUCUCAGAGUGUCGUACCAAGCACUCAUGCGCUAAUGAAGGCUCUCUUCUUUGAGGUAACCUCUUCCUAUUACCUGAUGAUCAUUGCUUGAUCAUUUAUUUAAGCUUUGUCAUUAACAUUACAUCUUGUCAUUUUGUUCAAUCAAUGCACUUGACAACAUAAUCCAAAGAGAAAGUCUAAAUUUAAACUCUUCCUUCUCAAAUUUCUAACUCCUAAAUUUGGUGCUCUAAACAAUUGUCCUGUUUCAGGUUCCUAUAUUAUUUAGAAACUUUUCAGAGUAAUAUGCAAAACUUCCUUUGUGAAAGUUUUAUUAGUCCAUUAAUCAUUAUUCCAAUGCAACAUGCUUACAAAAAGGGUCAUAACAAUGGAUAAGAACUGAGCAUAGCUCGAAAGAACAAGUUAUCCAAAAAAUAGUAAAGAAUGAUGACAAAGAAAUUGAUUGGGAAUGUAUAUCUUGGAAAAGAAAAAAGGUAUUCCAAGAACAACAAAUAAUAUGAGAAUUGGGUGCCUCAAAUAUUGCAGCUUGAACUUCUCUGUACAAACCUUCUGAAGACCAUUUUGAGUUUAACAUGAGUUUAGGAGAUCUACAGUGCUUUGUCGAUGCCCCAAGAUGUCGCAUACCCCUUCCUGUUGACAUGCCCCAAUAUGAUCAAAAUUUGAAUCGCUCUGAUCGCCUCAUGCCCUAUUCUGAACAAAUAUUUGAGCCGCCCUUUUCGAGUUUUCAACUCAAAUCCCCUUUGGCCUAAGGCGCCCUUUCCGGGUUUUCCCCUUAGCCUCUCCAUUUUUCUUUUUCAUUUUUCAUUUUUCAUUCUCAUUUUUCUUUUAUUUUUUUUGACUCAGAGUGCCCUUUGCGGGUUUUCACCUUGGUCCUUUCUCCUUCUUUAAACGAAGUAUUUCUUGACUGGAUCCGAGUUUAUAGGACUAGCAAUCUCACUCAGGAUUAGUGCUCUUCUGAAGAAUGUCUUCUUUACAACGUAGGGACAUUCUUGGUUUGACAUUCAUUUCUCCUUGGAAUCCUUUUGGAGAGGAAUGAUCUUUUUCGACAUCCAACCCUCUCGUGGAAUUCUAUGAGAUGACACUGUUCAUUAUGGGCUCGUAUCAUUUGUUUCUGGUACAUCCGACCCUGAAGAAUAGCUUUUAACCUUUUUCCUAGGUUCAACUGAUCGCAUCGCGAUUGGAUCCAUUCUGCUUUAUCCAAUUCUAGCUCAACUAAUACCCGGAGAGAAAGGAUUUCAAUAGGUAAAACUACCUAAACCCCGCAAACCAAAGAGAAAGGUAUUGCCCCGGUACAGAUGUUCGACAAGCAAGGAAGGCAAAUAGUAAUUUCUCAUGCCAAUCCUUGUAAGUCUCAAUCAUUUUCCUUCAAUUUUCGAUGUUCAACUCUAGGAAAUUCAGUGACGAAUCGUGGUGUCCUCUUCUGAGUUAAUUUGAGACCUCAGCGAUCGUGCUAUUGUUUAAGCUCAAUGCAUUCUCCAAUACCCUCUUCUCUGAAAUUCUAUAUAAUUAUACGAUGACUUUGGCUCAUGAAGUAACCUCUCAAAAUGAAGCAAUGCCCAUUAGAAGUCUUCGAUAAUGGUGAUGUCCAUACCUCAUUGUGCUCGAAAUUUGAGUCGCCCUUUUCGGGUUUUCAACUCAAAACCUCAUUUGGUCACAAAGCGCCCUUUGCGGGUUUUCGCUUUGGCCUCUCCUUUUCUUUUUCUUUUCUUUUUCAUUCUAAUUUUUUCAUCUAGAUUUCUCUUUUUUCAUUCUUCUUUCUUUUUCUCAUUUUCAUUUUGAUCUUGAUUUUGAUUUUUUCUUCUUUCUUCUUUUUUUUUAUUUUGAUUUUUGAUUUUUUUUCAUUUUCAUUUUCAUUUUGACUUUGAUUUUGAUUUUUCUUUUUUUCUUCCCUUUUUUGAUCUGAGCCUUUUGGGGUGUAACUACGACAGAAAACUUUGGAUCUUCCUCUUUAAUCAGGAUGGACCCAACAACAACUUGAAGAGGUAGAAAUUCGACUUCAAAUGGGCAAAGCUAUGCUGACUCUACGAGAAAGGCAUUGCCCCGGCAAAGAAUUACAUCGUUCAUACUGUAAAUUUCUAACAUCGUGCUAUUGUGCAGAUUUCAUUAUUGGCGUUUAACCCGGGGCAUAUCCUGGUAUGAUCAUACGAAGACAUCUUUGAACCCUAGAGGUCACUUAAUAAGGUGUUGCUUCGUCUCUGCAGUCAGGUCAAUUCUAAUCUUUACCACGCUCACAAUUUCUAAUGAUUCUUUGUGAGGUAGGAUCUGUCUAUCCUCUUAUUCAACCAUCCUUAACAAGUUAGGAGAUAAACUACAAUCUUUGUCAUUUUCAAAGCCCUGAGAUCCCUCUGAACACAUACCUCGCUUAAAAGGAAAAUAUGGGUCUGUAGCAGAGUCAUUCACGUCAUUGAUAUCCAGAGACUCAUAAUAAGUACCAAAGAAUAUACAAAAGAAAGUAUAAAUUUAUGAAUAAUUAUUUAUACAAUAUGAUUAUGAAUGAAUGAUGUGGAAGAAAAUCUAAAAGAAUGAAAUAAUCAGAAAUAAUUAUUAAAAACGAAUGAAAGAAUAUUGGCUCAAAAAGGAAUGCAAAGAUGUAUUUUUUUAGAAUAAUGACGUUCAGACAUUAGCCUAUUUCACAAAGAAAUUUCUAUUGCUUUAGGCUAGAAACAACAAAAAUGUUCUGAACAUUACUCUAAAUAAGCCUUGAUAACUACAGGGAUUUCUUCCACAAGCUAAUUGUUUAGAACACUCCAGAACUCAUAAGGGCUGACAUCUAACAAGGUCCCUUCCCAAUUGUGUCUUUAGACACGUCGUUGAUGUGAACAUUUCCCAACACUUCUUCGUACACCUCAUUCACCUGGUCAUUAAUAUGAUUGGACAUUGUAUUUUCUGCACUAGAUGAAUCAUCAAAUUUAACAACGCCCAUACUGAUAAGCCUUUCAGUCAGUUUUUUAAAGGCAAUGCAAUUCUCUACUGAGUGCCCUAAAAUUCCCGCAUGAUAAUCACAUUGCGCGUUCAUAUCGUACCAUUUGGGAUAAGGAGGUUGUAAAGGGGUUAAGUAACGAGGAGCAACAACAUGCGCAUCGAACAAGCUUUGAUACCGCUCCUUAUAUGACAUCGGAAUUGGUGUGAAUUGGAGCUUCUCAGUACCUGGUUUCACUCCAGAUUCUUGCUUUAAAGGGCUCUGAUGGCUGGUGGUCUCCGUCUUUGGCCUGCCCAUAGUGAUUGGUUUUGAGUGGCCCUUGUUAUAUCCACCUACAUUAUACCUUUUAUUCCCCUUCUUCCUUGGGGCAUUUAUAGUAUCUGGGUACUCUACCCUCAUAUUCUUUAUUUCGGCUAGAUUAGCAACAGGAUUAGCUAAAUCAUUCCCCAAAUUGGAUCCUAAGCCUGUCAGGCAAUUCACUGGUGUCGAUUAGGAAUUUUUUUAUGAAAUUUAUUUAGAAUGUUGUAAUUAGUUUUUUUAGAAAAAUAGCAUUAAAAAUAAAAUGAUAAAAAAUAUAUUUAAUAAAAAAUAAAAUACGAAAAGAAAAAAACGGAAAUUAUAUAUUCACGGAAAGUAAUAAAAUCCGAAAAAAUGGUAUAUUUAAUAAAUUUCAAACAUAAUGCACUAAAAUAAAGUAAAAAUAUAAAAUUAGAAAUUAUGAAAUUUUUUAAAGUAAUAACUAACCAUAAUAAUAAUACUAGUUUUUUACUAACAAUAAUACUAAGUAACAUUUAAACCCUAAAAACUAAUAAUAAUAAUACUAACUAAAACUAUCAAUUUGAGUUUUAUUAAUCUUAAUAACUAAACUAAAACAAAAAAUAAUAAAAAUUAUACAAAAAAUAACAACAAGGUAAUCAAUUAUUUUUAAAAAAUACCUUUUUUUCUCUUCUCUCUCUCUUUUUCUCUCUUUUUCCGCAGCAACUCUUCUUUCUCUUCUUAUUUUUCUGCUUCAGCUGGACAGAGCUGGUGGUUAUAACACGACUAGUGCCGCCCAUGGGAAUGGCACCUUUGGUGCCGCCUAUCAGUUAGGCACCUUUGGUGCCGCCAAUCAGAUACCCUCCUCUAGGGUAUUGUCAAAUCGGCUGCAGCUUUUUUUUUCUAUUUUUUGUUUUUUUUAGUAUAUUUUGGUAAAUAAAAAAUAUAUAAUAUUUUGGUUAUUUUUAUUUUCUUUUAUAAUAUUUUAGUAAAAAACCCACCAUUAGGACAAUAGACUUUUUUUUUAAUUUGCUGUGAAAAGAUGUAUUUGAUUUGUAAUAGGGCCCAAUCCACCCAGGCCCAAACAUAAAAAACAGCCCAAAAUAGUCCCUAGCCCAGCAACUAAAGAAAACCUAAGUGAAAAAUAAACCCUAGCCGCAUGUCUGCCCCGACGCCGCCAGCAAGCAUCCAACCACCGCACGCCUCGGGGCCACUCCUCCACGAACGCUCCAUGAUACCUGCAAACACGGACUCAAAGAGUCCGAGAGAGAAUAAAAUAGCAAUAUAGCAAAUUAUAUUCGUUUUUUGCUUUUGUUUUCGGGCUAUAAAAGGCCAUUCUGUAAUCUGUAAAAGGGGACGGGAUUGUAUUAACGAAAAUACACAGAGAAAUACACAAGGAAAUUGAAAGAAACACCUACGUUUUUAAAGUGAACCAUUUUUUUAAUAUAGGCUUUUAUUCUUUUUAUUUCAUUUUUUUAAAGAAAUAAUACAAAAGAAGGGUGAGGGGUUUACCUUCGAAGCUUCGCCGAUGAAGCCCAGCCGCGCUCGAAUCGGAGGUCCGGCGGAGGGCCAAGGCUGGCGAGGGUGUGUUGCGGCGGCCUGGGUUUAAAACCCUAGCAGAGGGGUUUUUUUUUAGUUUUUUUUCUUUUAUUUGAUUUCAAAUGAUUUUUAAGGUAAAAACAUGUUUUAAAUAACGGAUCAAAACGGCGCCGUUUUAGCCAGGCUUGACUCGCGCGGUGUCCCGACCCGAAGGGGAGGAUCCGCGCGCUCUGACGUCAGAUGGGAAAUUUGCGCGAUUGGUCCCUCCCUUUUGCAACGCAUAUCAAUUAAACCAGUUUUAUUUUGUUUUAAAUUGGGCCGCAUAUUUGGUGUCUGUUUCAAUUUAGUCCCUCGUUGCGCAGCGUUUUGGAAGGAGGGGAUAAUUUUCCUUUUGGUCCUCCACUCUUGCGCGCGCAUUCAACGUGGGCUUUUUUUUCCUCCGAAUUUACCCAUUUUUUCCCUUUUAGUUCAGUUUAACCCCUUUUUUUAAACUGUUUUAUUUUUUUUCUAAAUUAUGUUAUACUAUUUUAUCAUGAUUUUAUUAUUAUUUUUUUUAUAACAUACAUACGUUUUAUAAUACAUAUACAUUUUUUAAUUUUAUAAUUCAUACAUUUUCUUUAUAUUAUAUACAUACAGAUUUUCACACACACACAUAUAUAUAUUUUCUCAUAGUUUAUUUAUAUAUUUUGUUCUUUUCUUAUAAAUAUGUACGCAUAUGCAUACGCUUUCAUUUUUUUUUAUUUUCUACUUUUAUAAACUCUAUAUUUUAUAUGUAUAUGCUAAUACAUUUUUCCUAUUCUUUGAAAAUGUAUACACAUCUGCAUGUUUUUAUACUCUUCUUUUAUUGUCAUUACAUAUAUACAUGCAUAUUUUUGGAAAUUAUUAUAAAUUUGUUGUAUGUAUUUCUUCACUCACCCUUUUCAUAUGUACACUUAUAUUUGUAUGCUAAGUAUGUGCCCACUCGUAUUUUCGAAUUUGCUUGUAUAUUGUACUUGUAUAUAUAUUUUGUAAAUAUGUACUCAUAUGUGUUUUACAUUAAAGUUUUGUAUCAUAUCGUACAUUAUUUUUUUAACAUACCCUUUUUGAAAAUAUAUUUUGGUUUUUACCAUUCAUCAAAGUUAUCUUCUUGACUUAAAGGUUUUUUUGAAUAAAAGCAUUAUUGGAAGUUUGAGAUUUUCGAGGGAAAUUGAGCCCUAACGCAUUGGGUUCCGGUUUUCUUUGUCAAUCUUAAAUGACCGAGAAUAUUUUUUAUUCAAAAUGCAUAAAAAUCAUUUUUGGGAACUUAACUUGUUGUGCCCUAACGUAUUGGGUGUGGCAUGUUACUUUCUCGAAAUGAAGAUUUUCGUAUAAAAUAAAAGUGAUACUCAAGUUUGGGGAAUUAUGAGGAAUUGUACCCUAACGUAUUGGGACUCGAUUUCUUUACAUGACUUGAACAAUUGGUUAUCCUUUUGCAAAUUUCAUCAUUCAAGCUUAUUUUAAAAUCUUUUUAACUUUCGACACAAAAACAUCAAAUAAUCAAUUUGGUAUCGAUUUUGGGCGUUACGAGGGUGCUAACCCUUCCUCGUGCGUAACAGACUUCCGAACUCGUUUUCUCAAAAUUCGUAGACCAACAUAAUUUUUAAGGUGAGCCGAUCACACCUUAACAAAGGAUCGGUGGCGACUCCAGUUUUAUUUUAAGAAAAAGUCGACAACUAAAUUUUUUGUUUUUCAAAAAAAACGGUUUCGACAGCUUGGCGACUAUGCUGGGGACCUUGAGAGUCGAGCCAUAAACUGAUUAUGUUUGUCAUUGUGUCGAAAAUCAAAAGUUUUAAAAAUUCACGAGUUCCCUUCGCAUUCAUCGUUCUUUCAUUUUGAUGUUGGCAAAUUUGCAUUUGCAUUUUGCAUUUUACCCUUUAAGUGGGAGCGAGAAACUAGUCCUUCGUGAGGUUUUCACCUCUGUGCAGGGUAGUGGACUACUUCCGGGAUACAUCCGUACCUAUGUCUUCGUGAGAUUUUCAUCUCCGUGCAGCCAUAGGGAAAUGUGUCCCCCUGAACCGAAGUCGAUCCACAUGAGCCUAUAAUGGGUGAGGAUCGAGGAAUCUGCUAGUUUGGGUACCCUUACUCUAGAAACCAAGCCUCAUAUAGUGAGCUUUAGGAACUUGACCUAGGUAGAACUAUCCCAAAACCCUAGUGGAUUCCUGAUUAAGUGUUUCUUGCUAUUUUAUGUUUGUAUUGGAUUAGAUCUCUAUAUGUGAUACUGACUUGGGUUUCUUUUGUUUUGAUUUCAUGACAUCAUGAUUGCACAGCAUUUCAUCCUAAAAGGGCGUUAGUUCAUAUUCGGUUGCUAGAUAGAAAGCUUAUCAUGGAAAAAGGGUUUCUUGAUAAGGUGGAAGAUAAUGCGGCUAUCCAAACUUGGUCUGAAACAAUACAGCAGGAGAAAGGCGAUAGUUUGGCCGAGGGAUAUGUGUCGGAGUUAUGGGACUUCACUCGUGUUAGCGUGACUCAGAAUAACUUACAGGAAUUAAAAGAAAUUUAGGGCCGGUGGAAUAAUGAGAUUAAGCAGCUUUUCUACUCUAGCUAUGGAGACCUACCUUACUUGUUCGACUUAAAGGUGGAUAAGCACUUAUUUCGUGCCUUAGCCCAAUUUUGGAAUCCUGCUUAUAGUUGCUUUACCUUUGGAAAAGUUGACUUAGUGCCUACGAUCGAGGAAUACACGGUAUUGCUUCGUUGUUCAAAAAUUCAAGUGGACAAAGCCUAUUCAAGAGCUGUUAAUGUUCCAACUUUUUGAAGAAAUUGAUGAAUAUUACGGGGAUGAGUGAGCAAUGGGUCGCAGCACGAAUCAAACAAAAGGGAAAUAGUAAGUGCAUUCCUUGGAGGAACCUGAAAGGUUUAAUUCUAGCGCACCCGGAUACGAGGAAGAGGGUUGAUGUCUUUGCCUUGGGUAUUUACGGUUUGGUUGUCUUUCCUAAAGCUUUGGGACAUGUUGAUGAAGCAGUCACUGACCUUUUUGACCAUCUUGACAAGGGGGUUACACCGAUUCCAGCAAUUCUAGCAGAAACCUUCAGAUCUUUGAAUGAAUAUCGAAGAGUAGGUGAGGGUAGAUUCAUCGGAAGCACGCAGCUCCUUUUAGCAUGGUUUCACAGUCACUUUUGGAAAGUGGAUAAGGUUUCCUAUCGGGUUUUUUCUGAAAAUUAUUUGCCCUUGAAGGAAAUAGUGGCAUUACCCAGGCAGGAUGGUAUCUCAGAGGAAAAAUGGAUGGCAACUCUUCAGAAUCUUCAAGAGGGGGAUAUUGAAUGGAGAGCUCCUUGGAUGCUGUCAGAUGAGAUCUUAUAUAGGUGUGGAGAUUUUGACUGGGUCCCUUUACUUGGGAUUUGGGGGGCUAUUGGCUAUGCACCGUUAUUGGUACUGAGACAGUAUAGGUCAAGGUAGUUCGUACCAACAACCCAUGGAUUAGCUCAGUGUGAAUUCUCGUAUAAGUGUGAUGGUUACAAGAAGAGGAUACAAGAAAUGACUAAUGCUUGGAGGCAGACUCGCCGAUUGAAGAGGUUGGCAGUAAGUUCAUCAACGACGCCUGAAUAUAUUGAGUGGCUUAAUAGAAGGAUCAAUGAUAACAUACCUGUACCAGGUCAAUGAGACUGUCAAUUUGUGGAAAAGCAUGUACAUAUGGUCCCUUCUGAGCUAGAAAUUAUAAAGCAAGAUUUUGAAAGAAAAAAUUCUAAGCUUGAGAAGAAGAUAGAGCAAAUGGAAGAGGAGAACAUGAAUUUAAGGCUGGACAUAGAUGCUCAGAAACUGGAAACCGAAGGUCUGAAAAAAGGGAAGUGCAAAGUCGAGGAAGACCUGAACAGCUUGAAGACAGAUUAUAAGAGAUUACGUUUGUCAGUGAGAACUGCUGGGUUGGGAAAAACCUCAGAGCAGUGGCGUCAAGAGAUUCAAGAAGAAAAGGCCAAGGCUGAUAGGGGGAAAAGAGAUUUCAGGAGGCUCAAAAGGAAAAUAAGUCAUUUGAGAGGAGUUUGUCAGAAAGCCAGAAUGAAAGAGAUAAACUAAAGGCUAGAGUGGCUGAACUUGAGAAGAUUGUUUAUCAAUACCGAAAUCAAAAUUCAGUGGCGGAACUGCAAGCAAGUUUAAGCAGGAUCGAGCAAAUGAAGAAAACUAUAGGAGAAUUAGAGACAGCGUCGCAGAACUAUGAAGCCAGGAUUGAGCAUCUGGAAGCAAACGAAGAUCAUCAAAGUGAACAGCUUCACUAUCUCUAGGAUCAAGUUGCAAGAAGGGAUCACAUUAUGGGAGAAGCUGUGGCUCAUAUUCAAGGGGUAGCUGAGCACCUGCAAACUUUGGCAAUACAGGCUGAUAUACUAAGUGUGAAGUACGAAUCGGAAUCAGAUCAGGGGCAGAAGUUGGCAUCAUUACUUAGGGAGAUUAAAGUGCUAAGUAUUAGGGCAAGGCCUUAUUUAUAGCCAUUUUAUGUAAAGAAAUUUUUUCUCUAGUAAAGUUUUCUGAGUGGAAUUGAAUUAUAAUUAACGCCUUUUUUGCAUUCACCUCAUGCAUCGCAUCAUAUGCAUCAGCAUCGCAUCAUAUGCAUUAAAGACCUUUAUUAAAUCCUAAUAAGUUAAAAUCAUUGCUCAGUUAACCUGGAAACCAACCAACCAACCCGACACCGAUACGGCACUCGAGCAAAGACAAAAGAUAUGGAUCAGAGAUUAGAAAAGCUCGAACAGUACCAGAAGGAGAUGCAAGACCGGCUUCAGCUACAAAUGCAGGAGUGGUUAGACAAGAUGAAACAAGAGAUGUCUGAGAAGAUGCGAGAAUCCCAAGAGGAUAUAAUGGCAAAGUUAACCCAACUGAUAACUAAUGGAGGUAAUAAAGAAAAGGGCCCCAUGGCAAAUGUCGAUGAAGGAACUGAUGAUGAAAUUUUCUACCCUCCAGGUUUCACCCCUCUACAUAUGCGAGCCCAAGCUGAGUACCCGCGUAAAUCUACUGUUACUAUCAUGCCUCAGCAUCUUCGGGCUGGUAUUUCGAACCUCCAAACUGGGCCGGGUUCUAAUUCCGAAAAUAAUCCUAUUAACUCUGCCAUUCCUGACUUUGAUGAAGUGGUUGAGAAGGAAAGAGUGAAGGAGGAGUUACCAAGACAGUUAGAGGAAAGAUGCAAGUGGCUCGAGGAGAAGUUCAAGGCAAUAGAGGUCACUGAGAGUUGUCGAGGCAUUGACGCAAAAGAGCUGAGUUUAGUGCCAGAUUUAGUACUCCCUCAUAAGUUUAAGAUGCCUGAAUUCGAAAAGUACAAUGGGACAAGCUGUCCAGAAGCUCACAUCACCAUGUUCUACAGACGAAUGGCGGGAUAUGUUAACAACGACCAACUCCUGAUACACUGUUUCCAAGACAGCCUUGUAGGGGCAGCAUCCAAAUGGUACAAUCAGUUGAGUCGUGCCACGAUUGGUUCAUGGAGGGACCUGGCACAAUCGUUCAUGAAACAAUAUAGUCAUGUGACAGACAUGGCUCCUGAUAGAAUCACCCUUCAAAACAUGGAGAAGAAGCCGAGUGAAAGCUUCAGGCAGUACACAUAGAGAUGGAGGGAGGUUGCGGUCCAGGUUCAGCCACCGCUCUUGGAAAAGGAAAUGACCAUGUUGUUCAUUAACACCCUGAAGGCACCGUUCAUUACACAUAUGUUAGGAAGUGCCACAAAAAGCUUUCCUGACAUAGUCAUGAAUGGUGAGAUGAUUGAGAACGCCAUCAGGAGUGAGAAGAUUGAUACGGGAGAGAGUAACAAAAGAUCGGCCUCGAAGAGGAAGGAAAACGAGGUGAACAACGCGGGCAUGUACAACAAGGGUUACUCAAAGUCAGUAACAGUGAGUCAGCCAGGAAAGGUGGCUGCCAAUCAGCAAAGCUCGUCGAGACAGGAGGUCGGUACAAGGCGAAAUACUGAGAGGCCCCAAUUCACACCAAUUCCUAUGUUGUACAGGGAACUAUACCGAAAUUUAUUCGACGCACACGUAGUUUCCCCUUUCUAUCUGAAGCCCUUGCAACCCCCGUAUCCCAAAUGGUACGAUACGAAUGCACAGUGCGACUAUCAUGCGGGACUAACAGGGCAUUCUAUAGAAAACUGUACGACCUUUAAGAAGUUGGUUGAAAAGCUCAUUGGUAUGGGUGUCAUUAAGUUUGAUGACUCGACCAAAGUAGAAAACCCAUUACCGAAUCACACUGAUGGUGGGGUAAAUAUGGUGGGUGAAGAGAGAAGAAUCAAGGCAGACAUUACGGAUGUAAAAACUCCUUUGAGAUGGGUCUGGAAAGAGAUGGUGAAAAGGGGACUAAUCGUCUCAGAAGAAAGUUGUGCAAAGAGGGAGAACUACUGUGAGUUCCACCAUGAAGUGGGGCAUGAAAUCCAUAAGUGUACGGGGUUCAGAGCCCUGAUACAAGGUAUGAUGGAUAAUAGGGAGGUGGAAUUCUGUGAAUGAGUUCAAGAGGAGAGUUAUGUAUGCGCAUCAGAGUUGGCAUUGGGAGUUCCGAAGGCUAACCGUCCUGUGGUCAUUAUCUCGCGACCUCAGAACAGUGAGAUUGGGGCACGAAUAACACCAAAAGUAAUCAUUCAAAAACUGACUGUGUUUGUAUAUAAGGAUAACAGGAGGGUUCUUUGGAAUUACGAUUGUAAUGUGACAAUCCCGGGGAAGGAGGAUGUAAUCAAUAAAGAGGAACAGGAUGAAGGAAGGCACCACGAACAGAUGAAAGCACGAGUAGAGCCAAUAGGAGGAGAAACUUCAGUUGAAAAGAAGAAGAAUGUGGUUGAACCCGAAUUGUUGGUCAAUGAACCAAUCAAAGAGGAGGAAGCUAGAGAGUUCUUGAAGUUCAUAAAGCAUAGCGAGUAUAGCGUUGUGGAACAACUGCACAAACAACCAGCUCGCAUAUCUGUGCUAGCUUUACUCCUGAACUCGGAGGGACAUCGGAAUGCACUACUGAAGGUGCUAAAUGAAACUUAUGUGGCCGACGAUAUCUCUAUUAACAAGUUGGAUCGACUGGUCGGCAAUAUAAGCGCUGAUAACUUCAUUUCUUUCAGCGAUGACGAAAUACCACCUGGGGGUAUGGGAUCUACUAGAGCUUUACACAUUACUGCAAGGUGUAAAGGGUGCAUAUUACCGGGGGUUCUGGUAGACAAUGGAUCGGCAUUAAAUGUAUUGCUCCUAUCCACGCUCAACAGGCUACCUGUGGAUAGUUCGCAUAUGAAGUCGUGUCAGAACGUGGUUCGAGCAUUUGAUGGUACUGAGAGGAGGGUCAUGGGAAGAAUUGACAUUCCCUUGUUAAUUGACCCAACUAUUUAUGAGGUGGACUUCUUAGUUAUGGAUAUCAAGCCUUCUUACAGUUGCCUAUUAGGAAAGCCAUGGAUUCAUUCAGCAGGUGCAGUACCGUCAUUGUUACAUUAAAAACUGAAGCUGGUGUCAGAAGGCAGGGUUGUGACGAUAGAUGCUGAAGAAGAUAUCAUUGCAUCUGUGACCAACGAUGCGCCUUAUCUAGAAACGAGCGAUGAUGCAAUCGAAUGCUCUUUCCGUUCCUUGGAGUUUGUAAAUGCAACAUUCAUCCGUGAGGGAAACAAGAUCCCGAUGCUGAGAAUAUCAAGGACCACAGAGAUGGGUCUGCAGUUGACUGCUGGAAAGGGAGCUUUGCCGAGAAAAGGAUUGGGGAAGUAUCUUCAAGGUCGAGUUGAGGCUCCAGUGUUGAAAGACAAGUAGGACCGUUUCGGCUUAGGAUACAAGCCAGAUGCUAGGCAGAAGAGGAUAGAGCAGGAAAACAAGCAAGAGAGAAGAAAGGCUCGUUUGAUAGGUGAUGAAGUCAAAUGGGAACCCAUGACCUUUCCACACCUAUCUAAGACUUUUGUAUCAGGAGGAUUCGUCUAUCAAGGAAUGCUAGG